rnacentral:lncRNA from 1 species
GGUAAAGUGUUUUUCUUGAUUAGAAUCCGCACUAUCUCUUGGAUGUUUGACAAGGGAGUCUUAUAGGUCAAGAGGACAGUGGGAGUCUUAAAGGUCUUGAAAGUCUCAAGAACUAAUCAAGAAUAAAACCUGAAGUUCUUCACUAGCACACAACUUGAGGUUCAUAACCUAUCGUGUUGACAUAUUCUGUGCCCAUUCCAGUUAAAGUUGGCUUUGCAUAUGAGUUCUUAGAGUUCUCAAUUUGUUGCACAACAACUUGGAAGCAAUGGCAGGCCCUUGAGCUGCCAGGUGGCAAGAAAUUAAGAUUGAGUUCAGUCCAUAUGAGUUUGGAUUUGUCAUUAUCCUUGUCUUGUGACUAUGGUUUUGACAAUUCACAUGGAUAAGAACACAUACACCAUUAAAUCUAAGUGUCAUAAGGUUUCUCUCCGAUUCAUGAAAAUGAUGGUGAGGAAACACUUUCACUAAGUAGAUUUUAGCUAGAUAGCAAUUGUGAUAUUUGCAUUCUCAAAGUCGUUAGUGGAGCGCGUGUGGUUAACCGGCACACUAAUUUGGACUUGUGAGAAGUGGCAAAAAGGUCUAAACAUUAUGAUUACGGCAUCCCUCUUCAUAAUUGUUUAGAUACACAAGUGUGCUAUCUAAGGGAAGGUGUAUGAUUUUGAUACAGUUUUAUCAAAACAAUCUAGUAUCAGAAAUCUGAACUUUGGUAAGAAAGUCAAUGAAGUAUUGAUUUCUAGAAGUCCAGCUGAUUUCUGAGUACAUGUCAAAGCUAGUGGGAGCAUAAGUGUUAUGCUAAUAAUCAUCAUGUUAGUGGGAGCAUGAUAAUUAUGAUAAGUAUUGCAAGUUAGCAAUGUUAAUUAUAGAAAACAAAAGUUUCAAUUGGGAAAAAGUUGUUUUGCUAUAAUUAAGGGAGAGGAAAUUAUACUUCAUCUCAAAUCUAUAAGCUUAGAUCGUGAGGUUUUAAUCAUUUAGUCAAGGAUAUAUAUGAAUUUCAUGUUGGAAUGGCUCAACAUAAGGAAAUUCUGUAUAUGGGUCCAUUAUUUGCGUUCUAAAAUUCGAUUAUGAUUACGGCAUCCCUUUUCAUAAUCUGAAUUAUGAGAACUUGGCAAAUUGAAAUGGAAAUAUUAUAGCAAAAGACUGGUUUAGUCUUUAUGUGAGACAUCAUGAAUCGUGUCCCAUAUGCUUCGGAUAUAGGAUCGAUUACAUGUGCUAUAUUCAUCCGUUCUAAAAUUUUCCAAAUGCCUGGGGCAUUAAGAAGGGAAAAGGUUUAGAACUGGAUAUGACUAAAAGGAUUAAACAAUUGUCGAGGACAAUCUAAGGUUUACCAAAGAUUGGUUGCUCAAGGACAGUUGGAAGUAUAGUGAUAAUUCUGGAAGGACCAUAUUGACAUAAUCUGUAAGGAGGCAACUCUUGUUCAGAAGUGAUAGUCAAAAUGGAAUCUGGAAAUGUUUCAAAGUUAGAAUUUUCAAUCUGUUUAAGAUUAGGAAACUUAAUGCAAGAAGGAUGUUUCCAAGGAGCUGAUCUCCUUUGGAAUACUCUGUAAUGAUUGUUGUCAAGUCUUUCUGACUUUGUGCAUAAUCAUUACAAGAGGAUCAAUGCAUAUAAGUUUAGAAUCUAACAGAUUUCAGUAAAUGGCAUGAAUUUGGAAUUCUUGCAUUUGCAGUAAGGAUUUGGGAGUGUGAAAAGAGAAUCAUUGAAGUUAUGUUCAAUUGAUCUAGUUCACAAAGUAAAGAUCAUAGACAAACAUAGUAUGCAUACUUGGUGUGUGGCAUGACUAGUGUUUAAGAAAACAUAGUGUACAUGCUUGGAGCAUGGGACAACUAUUGUUUUAAAUUCAAGAAUAAAGUUGAUAGCUGAAACAGUAUACAAUGAAUAAUGUGUAAUCAUAUGGUGAUAAAUAAAAGGUGUUUUAUUUAUGUUCAUAAGUUUUGAUACCAUAUUGGAUUCAAUUAUUAUUGUGUUUCACUUUGCAUGUUUUGACUUCCCGAAUAAACUAGGUUAUUCUUCCGGAAUGACUAAGUUAUUCAAACCAUCCACAGUCGGUCAUAUGUUGGAAGUAGAUAUGAAUUAAGACUGUCAUGGGUUGGCUUGUAGAGGUCUAAGGUGUUGGACAAAGGGCUACAACACUCAUGAGUGCUCAUAAGUUCUGAGUAUUGGAUUCAACCCGCGCUCAUUGGAAUCACUUCAUGGAUUUUAUCACGAGUGAUCAUGAGACGAUAAUAUCUUAUAUUCUUCAAACCUAGAGAUAUGAGUUGUUACUAUGAGUUGAUAGUACAUUGAUUGCACGAAAACGCAUUUGGUAACUCGGUGCUAUAAAACGUGCCUUUGUGUAUGAUUCAACAAGUAGUAGAACAAGCCAUAUGAGUCGAAGUUUAUCCAUUCCUUUUACCUUCGGGAUAAAAGCGAUAUCUGUGGGCCCCUCGAUGAUUUGAUGAUGACAAAUGGAAGUGCUCGGCCGGGCCAGGACUGAUUUGAUUUGUUCAAUUAGUCAGUCGUCAUAAAUCGGAAAUCGGGAAACAACAAAUGGACAGAGAGAAUGAUUAUAAUCCAUGUCUCAGUCCAUAUGAUAUCUAGAAUGGAGGAAUAUAUGAUCCCUUAUCUAAUGGACAAGUCAUUGACAAAGGUCAGAGUUCAUCUACAAGGUCAGAGUUCGACAGAAGCUUUUGAGAGCUACGAUUGCCAGUUGGUUCCUGAAGUCAUACGCAAUAAUAGUUUUAGACUUAUCCAAGUGGGAGACUGUUGGAUUAAUGUCUAAGUCCAUAACUAUAAUUGGUAAGACUUGACCCGACCCGGCAUGGUCCAUUUGGGUUGCAUGGCAUCAUGCACUUGGAUAGACUAUAAUGAGAGAAAUAAGACACUUAUGGUUAUUAAUAUAUUAUAAGUUCUAGUAUAUUAAUAAUAAGAAUAAUAAGAUUAUUUAAUUAGUAUUGAUCAAGAAUUAAUCUAGGAUUAAUUAAGUGAUCAAAAGAAGACUAAUUAAAUAUAUGGGUUGAUUGUGUAAAUCAUCCAUACUUGUAUAGUGGGCUAAUGCUCCAUGGAUAAUCAAGUUGGGCUAAAACCCAUAGGAUGGUCCAUGGAUGCUCCAUGGUGUAUUUGUACCCAUGGAUCAUGGAAAUGAAAGGCCAUGUCAAUUAGGGUUUACAUGGUGUAACCCUAACUAUAUAAGCAUCUUAUUCUUGACCAAAAUCGGCCACUAGUGUGUGAAGAAAAAGGGCUAGCCGAUUUUCAUGAGUGUGGUUUUCUCUCAAGUCAUUCCAUGUGUAUUUGGUGUUGUGUGAACCAUUUGAGGUGUCACACUUGGGGCACUAGGCACUCAAGCUUCAUGAAGACUUUCUACAUCAAAGAGGUAUGUAUUCUAUCUUGCUAUAGUUAUUGUUUUGUAUGCUAGAUUAGGAUAAUACCUUGGAUGUUCUUAUUUGCAUGUAUAAUAGAGAAAACAUAGAUCCAAGGUAUUUAGGGUUGCAUGUACACUUAGGAAGUGUUAGAAUGCUCAAAACCCAACAAUACUAACUUGAAAGAGCUAGAAACACUCACUAGAUUGAAGAUCUCGAAGAAAACCGGGAUGAUACUUGAGAGAGUUUGGGAGUUUACUCUUGGAAAGGUGGAAAAUGCUAAAAAUGGCUAAGUGCCACUUUUAUACCCCUCCCCUUUAGGGUUUACGGCCGUAAACACCAAGUUUAGGCCAUAAACUCUAGACUUUUGAUGUGUCGGGACUUUAUUGUUGCACAAUAAAGCCCAGGGCAUCCUCUCUCCUGAUAUCUCCUAAAGUGUUAAUCCUAGAAUACUCAAACUUAUUCCAAAAAGUCUGAAAUUUAACAGUAACUGUUCUGACUUCUAUUGACUUGAUAUGUUAUACAGAAUGGAAAUUUUGAGUUGUCACAGAUGCUGUUUGAGUGAAACCCUAAAUUUGAGGGCUUGCACCCUAUUUAAACAACUUAUCUCUCCCCAUCUCAGCCUCCAUCAUCCCUUAUACUUCUAGAAAACAUUAGCCUGAAACCCUAGUGUUGUUUGAGUUUUCUAAGGCCAUUUUUGUGCAUUUUGGGGGAUUAUGAAGCUUAAGAAGAGGAAAGGAUCUUGGGAGUUCAAUUUGAAGCUAGAAGAUGCAGAGAUUGUGUUUCAUUUCCAGCUCAUUUUAGGUAAAAGGCUUCUAUCUUGAUCUUCCAUGUGUUUAAUCAUCUUUAGGGCUUGGAUUUUGGUAUAUUUAGGGCAUUCUAAGCCAUUUUCGGGUUGUGGAGGGUAAUAUGGAGUUAUGGCUUCAGAUCUUGGUCUUUGGAGGUGUCUCAUGGCAUAAAGGUGCCAACUCUAUGGCCAUGAGAGCCCAAUGCAUCUUAUAGGUCUCAUUUUUGGUCCUUUUGAGCUUAAAGACCCAUGCAUGGACGUAAAGUUCAUGACUUUACGUGUUAUAUCGACCCUAGGAGGUCAGAUCUACCCUUUAGAUGAGAUGAGCUUAGCAGAAAUCGAGUUUAUGGACAUGGACUUUAGUGGACUCGACGAGUUGUUCUUGGGACUCGGCGAGUCGGGUAGUGGUUCCAACCUUUGUUGUAUUGGGGGUAUGGUUGAGUCUAGAAAAUGACUCAACAAAUUUGGACGAGAUUAUAGACCUGGAAAUCAUGGGACUUGAUGAGUGUAUGAAUAAACUCGAUGACUCCAAGGCAAUCUCCCAACCCAUGAAGAUGGACUCGACAAGUUAUUCAUACAACUCGGCGCGUCAUCGAUUGAACACAUUCUUUUGAGGGAGAUGAACUCGACGAGUUCAAGUGGAACUCGACGAGUCGGUUGAAGAUGGUCCCUAUGGUAAGAUUGAAGGAGAACCCAUCGGGUUCUUGCUAGACUCAACAAGUAGAGUUGGGAGUUGUAUUGAGUUGGAGGAGUAUGGACUCGACGAGUUGGUAGAACAACUCGGCGAGUCAAGUCAACUAGAUGUUGACAAAAGUUGACUUUGACCGGAUUUGAGUUGAACCUCGCUAAGGGUUACUAGUACAAAUUGAUAACUUAGAAGGGUUGUCGUGUACGGAUUGAGGAGUCGAGGAGAGUCUAUUUUCACGUCGAGGACAGUUCAGACACUAAGCGAUAUUGAGGUGAGUUACCUUCCUGGAGAAGUGGGUCUAAGGCACCAAGGCUGACCCACUAGUAUUUGAUUAUAGUUGAGAUGACUGUCUUUGUGAUAAUUGGUUGGUUUGCUAUUACUUGAUAUGUUCUAUGUGCCAGUAUGCCAUGUUCUAUGUGGUAGUGUAGUAUGAGGGAAUAGUCCCCCGAUCGGUUGUUAGGACCGAAGGGUAGGUCGGCACCCCAGAUAUGUCUGACUGCAUGUUUAUGAUAUGUUAUUAUGUGAUAUUAGUAGGGGUGAAAUAGUCCCUGUGACAAGGUCUAGGAGUUGUUAGACAUGGGAUUCAUUAGGCCGAGCAGUUCGCCCUGGGGAGCCCUGAUUUUAUUUGUGAAAAAGAAGGACGGGUCGCAUAGGAUGUGUAUAGAUUACCGGGAGCUAAAUAAGGUAACGGUGAAGAACCGUUUCCCACUCCUGAGGAUUGAUGAUCUCUUUGACUAGCUUCAGGGAGCAUCUUGGUUUUCCAAGAUUAAUUUGCAUUCGGGUUAUCAUCAGAUGAGGGUCAGAGAGGAGGUUGUGCAGAAGACUGCUUUUCGGACACGAUAUGGUCACUAUGAGUUCGUAGUCAUGCCUUUUGGGCUCACCAAUGCUCCUGUCGUGUUCAUUGAUCUCAUGAACCAUGCGUGUAGGUUGAUGUUGGAUAGGUCUGUGAUUGUUUUCAUUGACGAUAUCUUGGUUUAUUCCAAGACGCAGGAGUAGGAUGAGGAGCACUUGCGGGAGGUUUUGGAUACUUUGAGGAGGGAGAGCUUGUAUGAUAAGUUCUCCAAGUGCGAGUUCUGGUUGUGCAAGAUGCAGUUUCUUGGGCACCAGGUGGGAGGUUCCGAGGUCUCCAUAUGAGAUUCGAAGCUUUCUAGGACUGCCAAGCUAUUAUCGGAGAUUCAUUCAGGACUUCUCCAAGAUAGUCGUGCCCCUGACCCGGUUGACGAGGAAAAUCGUGGUCUUACAAUGGGGGCCUGAGUAGCAUGCCGCAUUUGAGACAUUGAGACAGAGAUUGUGCGAGGUGCCAUUCUUAGCCCUAUCGGAGGGCAUGGAUGAUUUUGUAGUGUAUUGUGAUGCGUCCAUCUCGUGUUUGGGUGUGAUAUUGAUGCAGAGAGGACAUGUUAUCGCUUACGCUUCGAGGCAGUUGAAGCCUCACGAUGAGAACUAUAUGACGCAUGAUUUGGAGUUGGGGGCUGUCAUUUUCACCCUCAAGAUUUAACAUCAUUACCUCUACAGGGUUCAUUGUACCAUUUACACGGACCACAAGAAUCUGAGGUAUCUCAUGGAUCAGCCAAAUCUGAAUAUGAGGCAGCGUCGGUGGCCUGAUGUGGUAAAGGAUUAUGAUUGCGAGAUCCUCUACCACCCGGGGAAGGCCAAUGUCAUGGACGGCGUGCUUAGCCGCAAGGCAGCGCUGAUCAGGGAUACCUGUAUGAGGAUGACAGUUGUGACCCCGCUGUUGGAGCAGAUUCGGGAGGCUCAACUGGAGGCCAUGAAGGAGGAAUGCCAAAAGAGUGAGUGUAUUGUGGGUCAGGUUUCCUCCUUUGAUUAUGACAGUCGUGGAUUGUUGACACUACACCGUAGAGUGUGGGACCCAUAUCAUGGGGGUGUACGCCAGGUAUUGAUGGAGGAGGCGCACAGAUCCAGGUUUUCUAUUCAUCCCGUGGCGAUGAAGAUGUACAAGGAUCUUCGUCCUAAUUAUUGGUGGCCCUGCAUGAAGAGGGAUGUAGCUUGGUUUGUAUAGAGACGCAUGACCUGCAAGAAGGUCAAGGCCAAGCAACAGAGGCCACACGGAAAGAAGCAGCCGUUGGACAUUCCGUUGUGGAAAUGGGAGGACAUCACUAUGGAUUUCAUCACAAAGCUUGUCAGGACUGCACGGGGAGUGGAUCCGAUUUGGUUCAUCAUGGAUCGGUUGUCCAAGAGUGCCCAUUUCAUACUGAUCCAGGAGAGCAUCACGGUCGAGAAGUUGGCCGAUAUCUACAUUCAAGAGGUAAUAGCUCGACAGGGAGUGCCAGUAUUAGUGAUUUCGGAUCGAGACGUGUGGUUUACUUCCAGAUUAUGGAAGAAGUUUCAUGACAAGUUGGGUACUCGUUUGCACUUCAGCACUGCUUUUCAUCCACAUACUGAUGGUUAGAGUGAGCGGACCAUCCAGACUCUAGAGAACAUGUUGCAGGCGUGUGUUUUAAACUUCGGAGGUAGCUGGGAUACUUACCUUCCUCUGGCGGAGUUCUCCUAUAAUAACAGCUAUCAUGCGAGUAUUGAUUGUCCUCCUUACAAGAUGUUGUAUGGGAGGAAGUGCAGGACCCCGAUAUGCUGGGGUAAGUUUGGUCAGAGGGUCAUGAGGAGUAUCGAAGUGGUACUCAAGACUACAGAGCGGACCGUCCAGACUCUGGAGGACAUGUUGCAGGUGUGUGUUUUAGACUUCGGAGGUAGCUAGGAUACUUACCUUCCUCUGGCGGAGUUCUCCUAUAAUAACAGCUAUCAUGCGAGUAUUGAUUGUCCUCUUACAAGAUUUUGUAUGGGAGGAAGUGCAGGACCCUAUAUGCUAGGGUGAGGUUGGUCAGAGGGUCAUGAGGAGAACCGAAGUGGUACUCAAGACUACAGAGAGGAUCCAGUAGGUUCGGAGCAGGCUUCAGAUUGCUCAGAGUCGGUAGAAAAGUUAUGCCGACAAGCGUCGAUCGGACCUGGAAUUCCAGGUCGGGGAUAUGGUACUUCUGAAAGUGUCGUGUUGGAAGGGCGUCAUUCGAUUCAGGAAGCGGGGAAAGUUGGGCCCUAGGUAUAUUGGACCUUUCAGGGUUGUAGCUCGGGUAGGUAAGGUGGCCUAAAGGUUGGACCUACCAGCCGAAGUCAUUCAAAUUCACAGUAAGUUCCACGUCUCCCAGUUGCGGAAGUGUCUGGUGGACGACUCGACCGUGCUGUGACGAUCCUUGACCGGAAGUCGAAGGAUUCGAGGAACAAGAGGGUGGAGCUAGUGAAGUUGCAAUGGCAGCACCGCAAGGGCUCGGAGUGGACCUGGGAGCCGGAGGAUGAGAUGAGGGAGCCUUACCCUGAACUUUUUCAGGAACCAGCAAUAGUCUUCGAGGACGAAGUCUAAAAUAAGUGGGGGAGAUUGGUAACACCUGCUUCCUAGUAUGUAUUUAAUUCAAGUAAUUCUUAUAUUUUCCUCUGGGACUCGACGAGUUGGGGGCCCAACUCGUCGAGUAGACUCGUGAUCCGCGUGAAGUUUAAUUGAUCUACUCCACGGGUCGGGAGACCGACUCGGCGAGUAGAUGUUGUUUGAGUGAAACCCUAAAUUUGAGGGUUUGCACCAUAUUUAAACAACUUAUCUCUCCCCAUCUCAACCUCUAUCAUCCCUUAUACUUCAAGAAGACAUUAGCCUGAAACCUUAGCCUUGUUUGAGUGUUCUAAGGUCAUUUUUGUGCAUUCUGGUGGAUUGUAAAGCUUGAGAAGAGGAAAGGAGCUUGGGAGUUCAGGUUGAAGCUAGAAGAUCUAGAGAUUGUGUUCCAUUUCCAUUUCAUUUAAGGUAAAAAGCAUCUAUCUUGAUCUUCCAUGUGUUUAAUCAUCUUUAGGGCUUGGAUUUUGGUAUAUUUAGGGCAUUCUAAGCCAUUUUCGAGUUAUGGAGGGUAAUAUGGAGUUAUGGCUUCAGAUCUUGGUCUUUGGAUGGGUCUCAUGGCAUAAAGGUGCCAACUCUAUGGCCAUGAGAGCCCAAUGCAUCUUGUAGGUCUCAUUUUUGGUCAUUUUGAGCUUAUAGACGCAUGCAUGGACAUAAAGUUCGUAACUUUACGUGGUAUAUCGACCCUAGGAGGUCAGAUCUACCCUUUGGAGUUUAGAUGAGAUGAGCUUAGAAAAAAUCGAGUUUAUGGACAUGGACUUUAGUGGACUCAGCAAGUUGUUCUUGGGACUCGGCGAGUAGAGUAGUGGUUCCCCAACCUUUCGUGUAUUGGGGGUCUGGUUGAGUCUAGAAAAUGACUCAACAAAGUUGGAUGAGAUUAUCGACCUAGAAAUCAUGGGAAUCGACGAGUGCAUGAAUAAACUCGGCGAGUCCAAGGCAAUCUCCUAAACCAUGAAGAUGGACUCGACGAGUUAUUCAUACAACUCGGCGAGUCAUACACUCAACACAUUCUUUUGAGGGAGAUGAACUCGAUGAGUUCAAGGGGAACUCGGCGAGUUGGUUGAAGAUGGUCCAUAUGGUAUGAUUGAAGGAGAACCCGACGGGUUCUUGCUAGACUCGACAAGUAGAGUUGGGAGUUGUAUUGAGUUGGAGGAGUAUGGACUCGACGAGGUGGUAGACCAACUCGGCGAGUCAAGUCAACUGGAUGUUGACCAAAGUUGACUUUGACCAGAUUUGAGUUGACCCUGGCUAAGGGUUACAAGUACAAAUUGAUAACUUAGAAGGGUUGUUGUGUAUGGAUUAAGGAGUUGAGGAGAGUCGAUUUUCACACCGAGGACAGUUCAAACACUAAGCGACAUUGAGCUAAGUUACCUUCCAGGAGAAGUGGGUCUAAGGCACUAAGGCUGAGCCACUAGUAGUUGAUUAUAGUUGAGAUGAUUGUCUUUGUGAUAAUUGUCUAGUUUGCUAUUACUUGAUAUCUUCUAUGUUCCAGUAUGUUAUGUUCUAUGUGAUAGUGGUAGUAUGAGGGAAUAGUCCCCCGAUCGGUUGUUAGGACCGAAGGGUAGGUCGGACACCCCAGAUAUGUCUGACAGCAUGCUUAUGAUAUGUUAUUAUAUGAUAUUAUUAGGGGUGAAAUAGUUCCUUUGACCGGGUGAGAUAGACCAGAGGGUAGGCAGGCACCCUAAAAUGGCGUGACAUGGGUAGUUCGUUUCAUCUCCAGAUUCCGAAGGAAGUUUCAUGAGGAGUUAGGUACUCAAUUGCUUUUCAGCACUGCUUACAACCCCCAGACCAUUGGUCAGAGCAAGCGGACAAUCCAAACACUCGAGGAUAUACUUCGGGCAUGUGUAUUGGAUUUUGGGGGGAGUUGGGAUACUUACCUCCCUGUAGCAGAGUUCUCAAAUGACAAUAGUUAUCAUGCUAGUAUCGAUCGACCCCCGUUUGAUAUGAUGUAUGGUCGGAGGUGUAUGGCUCCAGUUUUUUGGGGGGAGGUUGGACAUCGAGUUAUAAGAAGCACUGAGGUGGUGCUUAAGACCACUAGGUUGACUCAGGAAACAAAGCCUUCUUGCAUUGCAAGACAUCCUCUUCUUCUUUGUUUCUCUUUUCCUGCUCCUUUGCUUCAUUAACCACUUUCAUUGUUUCAUCAAGCUCUCUGUUUCUUUUCUUUCGUUUUAGAGCAUCAGCUAUAGUUUCUUCAACAUCAUUUUCACUGUCAUCAUUAACCCCUUUCUGCUUUGAUUGAGAACCAGAACCCGAAGCUAAAUUAACCUUCGGUUCUGUUGUGACUUUCGGUUGUUCAUCUUCUGUCUUCACAAUCGGUCUCAGUUUAACAAAAUAAUGAGUACUACUCUUUCCCCCUUGUUUUGGAGGUACAACCCCCUCCGAAACACCUUUCAUUUCACUUAAAAUUGCAAUGGCUGGAAGAAGUUUGGAUUGAAGAUGAUUCUGAAUAGUCAGAGUUAAGAUCGGAUCAUGCGCUUCAAGUAAAUUUGUCAGCAUAUCUUUUACAUCACCUGCACAACUUUUAUAAACGGCCCUCUGAACUUUCAACAAAGAAUUUUCUUUCUCUGCCUGGGCCAGCUGCACUUUCUGAAUAUCAAUUGUUGUUUGCUUUUAAGCCAAAUCCUCCUUCAAGGCACCUUCUGUUGCAAGAUUAGCAGCAAAAGCAUCAAAACGAGAAUCCACUGAUUUUAAGAAGGAAGUGGUUUAUGUUUUAACCUCAGAGCGUACAGCCUCAAACUUAGUAGUUUCAUCGUGAAGGAACUUAGAAAAGGAGUCCACAGAGGAUUGAUAGUGUGCUGCAUGGGUGUCAGCAUGAGAUUUUAACGACUCAAGAAAAAUCUGAGUUGUAUGAUUAAUCUCUGAAACGUCUUUGGUGGCCUGCUUAUAGUUGGAAGUAGACUCAUUAACUGCCUUCGUAGAAUUGUCAAUUUCCUGAGUGUACUGUUCAAUGGCUAUCUCCAGAAAUUCUUUAAGAACAACACCACCAUAGGCUUUGCUGUCGGCAAGCAAACGAUCCAACUUCUCAUGAAUGCCCUGUAUUUGUUGACUGGUGACAGGAGCAUCAGUCUCAUCAUCAGUUUGAAGUCGGUAAGGACUGUAGUAAAUUGAGUCAAAUUCUUCAUCGUCUCCCCCAAGAGUAGUACCAGAAUCAGAUGAUGGGGUUGGUGAAGGUGGUUUGGUAUCAAUUGGAGUUGUAGUCACAGUAGUAGCCCCUGUAUCAGAUACAUUGACUUCUACGGUGGAUUUGGGAAUGGUAGUGGUUGUGGAUUCAGUUAUAAGUGGAGAAGAUAAGGAUAUAGUUGAAAUAGGAACUGAAGUAACUGGUGGUGAGGUUGGCAAAGUUGUUGCUUGAGAGGUAAGAGGUGUAGUAACAGGGGGAACAGAAAGUGGAACAGUCUGUUUCGGCGAUUGGGUUGGAGUUGGAACUCUGUUGUGAUUAGGAGAUUCUAGUGGAGUAGGAGAUCAUGGAGGAGUGGGCUCUUGGGUUGAGACAAGAUGAACUUCUUCUUCCUCACUUUGCUCAUCUGCAUGAUCUGUGCCUGGAGGAGUGUUCCCUCUAGAUCUGCGAGCCAUCUUCUUUAUCUUCUUUGGUUUUGGUUGAGAAGUAUCUCCUUCACCAGACUUGCAUUUAGAGCUCUUGGACUUACGUUCCUUAGGAUCCUCUUUCUUUGAAACCCUCUUUCCUCUGUUGGUAGGCUUCUCUAGUGCAUCCAAAGCUACUUGUUGCUCUGGAGACAGAACUUUGGGUCCGAUAGGAGGAAGUUUCCUAUAGUCAGCCAAAACAUUGCUCUUUUCUGUAACACCACGAUACAUGGUUUCAGGAACAUUCCAUAAUGAGGAAACUUGAGCGGAUCAGAGAGAAUUAUCUUCUUUGUAUGGAAUGUGGCAACAGAAGCAAGUAGAGCAUCCUGCAUGAUCGGAAUCUCCAGAGAAUUAAUUGCCUUCCUUGUAAUCAGGGUCCAAAAACGCCACAUGAAACUUCAGAAUGCCGUGUCGAUGUAUUGAGACUCUGCACCACCUGAGACCAGAUUAUAGAGCCAUAAUCAAGAUUGAUCCCGUUGUAGAGGCCGUAAAGAAUGGCGAGAAAACCCUUCCUAGUAGUAUCGGAACCACCACAUCGUUCUGCCAAACCCUUAAUUAGUAGAGUGAGCAAGCCAUUCCAUUGAGAGCGUAAACAAGAUUUCUUCACUUUGGUGAUGGUUGUUAGCAUAUCGGUAUACCCCAUCUCGUACAUCAUGGAAAACAGUUGAGAUGUAGUGAUGAAGUCUGGCAAGAUGACAGAAGAAUCGACUGCAAGAUUCAAAAUCUAACAGAACUUCACCUUUGAAACCGAAGCCUUCUUGUCGUGAAUGAGAAAAUAGAUACGAUCUUUGUUUUUGUCAUAAGUCGCCGUGGAAUAAACCUGUGAUAGCAGUGACAUUGGGACUGCUUCAACCUGGGUUAGGGCUAAAACCAGGGGGAAUGUUUUAAACAUUCCACAACCUGCAGCAUAUACGAGUCAUAUAAGAACGGAUUAAGUUCAAUGAUCAUAUUUUGGUUAGGUUUAAUGGUAAGCAAGGAUGAUGAUGUUGUGUGUUCAUGUACUGAAGAGGAAGUCGCCAUUGGUGGAUGAAGAAGAUGAUGAACAUUGUUUACUCGUCGUUUGAGAGACUUGAAUGCUGGUAAGUUUGAGAGAAUUGAAUGCUGGUAAAAGACAAAUAAGAUGUUCAACCCUUUAUAUACCAUUGCCUGGAGAGAGAAAACCAUGAUGAUUAUGAUGAGAUCACUAAACGUCGCCUGAAAAAACGUGAUGUGACAGUUUGGUUACUCCCAAUUAUACGUCAGCACGCAUGGCUUUAGAAACCAUUCAAAUUCACACGCCUAAAUCUUAUCUUCAAUCGACGUUUAACAUUGCACAUUAGCCCCUCGUUUGGUUACAAUAAAUAAUCCAAAACUUAAACCAAACAGUAACCAGAAUUUUGGAAAAUAAAAAAUUUCGUGCAUCAAUGUGAAAAAGAUAAAGAAACAAAUCAAAUGUGUAUGGGAUGUGAGUGAUGUCUUAUAAUUAGACAGAAAGCAGAGGAUUCCGGGCAAGAAUCACUUCCUUCAAAGUCAAGAGAGACUUGAAGUGCUUGUGUGGUUUGCCGAAAAAUAUGAUCAACUGUUAGUUAAUAAACAUUGAAAGGCUUCUUUUAAUCAUAGGCUUAGGGUAGCUUAUAUUCAACCGAACUUCGAGUUUCAACAUAAAACCGAACGUUGGAAGAAGUACCUGUGAGACCAAUGCGGUCUCUAGAACACGUAGGUGGGUUUUAUUGUUUUAGUGACUAUAGAGAAAUCAGAAAUCUCAUAAAAAAUAAACCGGAUCUCUUUGAGAAGAAAUGCCUUGGUAGUAGACAAUUUCAUAAAAGAUCACACAAAAAUAAAAAGAGAUUUUCUCAGGUAACCAGUAAGUUCUUGAAUAUAUAAUUCACCGUCAAUUCAUUUUUAGUGUUGGAUAUUGGGUUUCACUCAGCACGUGGUAUACGUAUCUAAGAUCACAAACACAGAUGUUUUGUAACCAUAAACCUCAGUGGUAAAGACCGAGAGUCUCAAGGGUUACGUUGGUGAACCGAAAGUAGAUGGAGAAUAUAAGGAGGUGGCUAAAGAACCGAAUGUACCUUCUGCUAGAUAGUCCUGACAAAGUAGAGAAACUCUUUACUCAUAUGAGAAGAGUAAGGUAGCUCUAGACCGAGUGAUAUAAAUUAGCCUGAUUUGGAAGAAACGAUGGGUGUCAACCGAAUCAUUAAGGCCUGCUCAAGAUCGUAGAGGCUUAAGACAACAUGCAGCAGCAUGCUUCUAGGAACCCUUAACUAGUUCAUUUUGAAAUUGAAUCUUACCUUCCUUAGAUCCACAGUCGAUUAUAUGGGUAUUCAUAUCACCUAUGAAAAGUAAAGAAUCACACCAAACAAGCCAAACAGACAAACAUACGAGACAAACAAAAAUAAAAUAAAACAAAAUUAAAACAAAAAGAUAAAAUAUUUUUGAAAUUUUCUGAAAAAGAAUAAAAACAGAAAGAUAAAAUAUUUUUGGAAUUUUUGAAAUUUUUUGAAAAAGAAUAAAAACAGAAAGAAAAAAUAUUUUUGGAAUUUUUGAAAUUUCCUGAAAAAGAAUAAAAACAGAAAGAUAAAAUAUUUAAGUUCAAAUUAAAAGAGAGAUUUGCACAGAAUUUACAACCGAAACCUUAUUUCAAAUGAGUGAACCGAAAUAGACCGAGCGUUCGGUUCAUUUCGGUUCCAGAAAAUUACGGAGCCGAGAUAGACCGAGCGGUCUGUCCAUUUCGGUUGUCUAAUUUUAGUGAGAGUUUUGAGGAUUCGGUACCGACUCUCCUUCCAUCAUGCCCAAGCCUUGUAAGAUUUUGUUAAAGGUUGCUUCUGCAAGGCUUUAGUAAAUAUGUCAGCCAGUUGAUCAGCAGAUUGUACAAAGUGUACUUCCACGUUCCCAUCUUCUACAUGAUCCUUGAUGAAAUGAUACAGAAGUGCAAUAUGCUUGGUUUUUGAGUGUUGCACUAGAUUAUGACAAAUCCUAAUUGUGCUUUCAGAGUCGCAAUAGAGAGGAAUCUUAUUCAUACUUAGCCCAUAAUCUCUCAGUUGACUUUUAAUCCAAUCCACUUGAGAGGUGUAGGAUGUUGCAUCAAUAUAUUCAGCUUCAGCUGUGGAUAAAGAAACACAGGUUUGUUUCUUGGACUGCCAACUAACAAGUUUCCCGUCAAGAAAUUGGCAUCCACCUGUAGUACUCUUUCUGUCCAGUCCACAUCCUCCUAGAUCAGCAUCAGAGAAGGCUUGGAUGAAGAAUCCAGAUCUUGCAGGAUACCAGAGACCGAGAGAUGAAUUUUUCUUCACAUAUCGAAAAAUAUUCUUCACAUCAAGCAUGUGAGGUUCUCUUGGAUUGGCUUGAAACCUGGCACAGUAACAAACAGAAAACAUAAUGUCUUGUGUACUCGCUGUUAGAUACAUAAGGGACCCGAUCAUUUGACGAUAAAGUGUUAUAUACACAGCAGGUUUCUCCAAAGAUGGGGUUAGUUUAGUGCCAAAUGCCAUAGGAACCUUCACUUUUGGGUCACCCUUCAUUACAAAUUUUGUUAGCAAGUUCUUGGUGUAUGCUUCCUGGUUUAUAAAGAUACCUUCUGGUCCUGUCUAAUAUNUUCAAACCAAGGAAAAAGUUAAUUGGACCCAUUGUGCUCAUUUCAAAUUUAGUCUCCAUCAACUUCCUGAAUUUAGCUGUUAAGCUAGGAUUCGUGGAGCCGAAGACGAUAUCAUCAACAUAAAUCUGAACAAUCAUCAAAUGUUCGCCUUCCUUCUUACAAAAGAAGGUUGUGUCAACCGAACCUUGUUUAAAUUUUAACAUUUUCAAGAAGCGAGUUAGCGUUUCAUACCUGGCUCUCGGUGCUUGUUUUAGCCCAUAGACAGCUUUAUCCAGCACACAGCAGUGAUCAGGGUAUUUUUCAUUCACAAAACCAGGUGGUUGCUCAACAUAAAUGGUUUCUUCUAAUUCUCCAUUCAAGAAAGUGCAUUUGACAUCCAUUUGGAAAACUUCAAAGUUCUUGUGAGCAGCAUAUGCAAGAAAGAUUCUGAUAGAUUCUAACCUUGCUACUGGAGCAAAGGUUUCUUCAUAAUCUAUCCCUUCUUCUUGACAAUAACCUUUUACAACCAACCGAGCCUUGUUACGAAUGACAUUCCCUUCUUUGUCCAGCUUAUUUCUAAACACCCAUUUCAGGCCGACAACAGAAGCAUCUUUCGGUGUAGCAAUCAACCUCCAAACUCUAUUGCGUUUGAAUUCAUGGAGCUCAUCCUGUAUCGCUUGAACCCAAUAUGAAUGAUCAAGUGCAGCAUUUACAGUUUUCGGCUCAAUUUUGGAAAUAAACGAAUUGAGCAUACAAAAUUCCACUUUAGAGAAUAAUGCAGUCUGUUUCGCCUUCAGUUGAGAUCGAGUAAGAACACUUUCUGAUGUUUCACCAAUAAUUUGUUCUUUGGGAUGGUCUUUUGUCCAUUUCACUAAUGCAAGAUAGCUUGGAUCAUAUUUUGGAUUCAAUUCAGCUUCUACUUCUAUUUCAACAUCUGACAGAUCACCCUCACCUUCGUCAGUAGAACUAUCACUUUCUUUUUCCUUCUGCCCCUCGACUGGCGAAGUGAAAUCUCUGUCAGCAUCAGAGUCUGCAUUUCUUGUGGAAGUUGGUUUCUCCCCCCUCGAUUUGACUAACACUUGGUUGUUUUGGAUUAGUAUUUGCCCUAUCAUCUGAACCUUUAGAUGUAGGAUCUGAAUUUGGAUUCUCCCCCUCAACAGAAGCUCCGCUUUUCUGUGAGGAUGUAGAGCUCUCCCCCUAGAACGUUGAAUCGUUGUUUGGAGAGCCUGUUGAUGAUUUAGUACUUGGUGGUUCGCUUUCCAUCUCUUUAGUAGCUUCGUCUAUGAUCUUCUUGAGAUUAUAGAGUUUGUUAUCGGCUGUCGUUGCCUCUGAAUGAAUUGCUUUUUCUGGUUCAUCGAAUAGCCGAAUGUAUUCCUCAAACAGGUUGGAUAUUGGAAUCGAGACCUGUCCAAAUUCUGGGAAUAUGUCUCCUAAGGCACUUUCAGUCCUUUGAACCUUCUGCGUAUAAUUGUCAUCAAAGGUGACAUAAUAAGUCUCUUCAAUUGUUUUGGAACACUUAUUCAACACCCUGUAUGCUUUUGAUGACAGAGAGUAACCCAGAAAUAUGCCCUCAUCGGCUUUAACAUCAAACUUAUUUCGGUUCUCUUUAGAAUUAAAAAUAAAGCACCUUGAACCGAAGAUAUGGAAAAAUUUGACAUUCGGCUUCCUAUUGUUGAUGAUCUCAUAAGGAGUUAUGGAGAAUCUCUUGUUGAGCAAGGACCGAUUCUGAGUAUAGCAUGCAGCGGCAAUUGCAUCAGCCCAGAAGUAUAAAGGUAGGGAAGCGAAACUCAACAUGGUUCUGGCUGCUUCACAUAACGAGCGGUUUCGUCUUUCAACAAUCCCAUUCUGCUGUGGUGUAUAAGGGGCCGAAAAAUUGUGAGUUAUCCCCUUAUCAGCCAGAAAGUCCUCAAAAUCCUUGUUCUUGAAUUCCAGACCAUUGUCACUUCUGAUGUUUCUGACCGUUUUCUUUAGUUGUACUUCUAUUUGCUUGAUGAAUGCCUUCAGCUUGGGAGUAGUAUCUGAUUUCUGCUUAAGAAAGAAAACCCAAGUGAAGCGUGAAAAAUCAUCUAUAAUAACAAGAAUGUACUUACUUCUACCGAUACUCUCUAUAGCAGAAGGUCCACAUAAAUCAAUGUGUAACAGUUCAAGUGCUUCCACUAUCUUAGUAUUGAGGCAUGUAGGAUGGCUUCUUCUGCUCUAUUUACCCAUCUCACAUGGUGCACAUAAAUGCUCCUUUUCGAACUUCAGAAGAGGAAGGCCUCGAACAUGAUCACCAAUCACUAAUUUUUUGAUUUCCUUGAAAUUCAGGUGUGAUAGACGUCGAUGCCAUAACCAGCUUUCAUCGGUGUUUUCCUUUGACAGCAGACAGAUAGCUGGUGUCCCUCGAAUUGGGAUAAUAUUCAGAGGGUACAUCUCUCCCUUUCGUGUAGAUUUCAGUAGUACCUUCUUGGAUUGUUUUCAACUAUCUCAGACCCCUCAUCAUCGAAUGGUACCUUCAAACCCGUGCCAACAACUAAUUGUGACACGCUUAUGAGAUUGUGUUGCAAUCCUUCUACAUAAGCCACCUUUCUAAUCGAGAAGUCUCCAUUUGUUAUCAUGUCGUAUCCUUUGAUUGUUCCAUAGGAAUUGUUUCCAAACUUCACAGACCCACCAUCUUUCAGAGACCGAAACUCUCUUAGCUCCUCCUUCCUUCCUAUCAUGUGACGCGAGCAACCACUGUCUAUAUACCAUUCGUCGUCAAACUGCUCGUCACUGAUUACCUACAAAUUCAAGCAGAUUUAGGAACCCAAACUUUCUUGGGUCCUGGUAAGUUUUUCACAGAGAAAGGAAUAACUGCAGAAACAUUAACUAAAAAGGUUCGUUUAAUGAGAGUUGUUUGAUCUUUUCUUUUAAUGGUAUACACCUUGAUUUUUUUUUUUAUCUUCUUUAAAUUUUAGUGUAUCAGUUGAGGUAGUUUUUGAUGGUUUAGGAUUUUUCGUUUGAUUUCUAGCUUUAGUAGAGGAUUUCUUAUUUUCCUUCACAGAGUCUGAUACCAGCUUUCCUUUUCCUUUUCUGUUCUUUAAAGAGUUUGUUUCAGCUUGGGACUUGGAGGAUCCAUUACUAGGAUUGGGACCGAAUCUGGGUUGUGAACCGAAUCUAGGUCGAGGACCGAAAGUGGGUUCAGGACCGAGACAUGACUUUCGGUUCUGGGAUUUGGAAUAGUAGGAAUUUGGACUGAAAUUUUCCUUCAACUUUUCCUUUCCCUUGUCCAUGGAUCCUUUCCUGAGAGGCUCAUAAUUGGAUUUUGAGAAUUCCAAUGCUUUUUCCUUUCAUUCAGAUUCGUGGCAUAUCUCUGAUUUCUCAAGCGUUUCUGUUCAGCUAGCUCUUUCUGAGAUUUGUGAAUAUUGAAGUUGGCCUUUGGUUUCUUCUUCUGAAUUGCAGUUGUCUUACCUUUCAUUUUAGAUUAUGUGCUCUUCUUAGUUUGAACUUUCGGUUCUUCCUUUAUGAUUGGAACAUCAGGUUCAACUAUUGGUUCCCCAGGAACAUCUUUGGUUCCACUUGAGCUUGGAAUAUCGAAACUGGAGGGUUUGUUGAUAGGCUCUGGUAUGUAUCUACCUUUGACUCUCCAUGUGGUUUUCUCAGAUAGUCCCACAGUUUCAUCUGCGCUGUCAAUAGGAGCAGACCAGAAAUAGUCUUCACAUCCUUCAGCGUUAUCUUCGUCAACUAUGAUUCUUAAUUAUGUCGUUUGCCUUUGAGUGACCCCAGUUAUAGCAUAAACCUGAUUUGGCACGGUCUGAACCUUUAGAUAGACCAAGGCCUUUUCCUUGAGUUUUGGUUUCCAUUCUUUUGACAGACGAGCAAACUCAACGGGGUUUUCUGAUAUAAGAGGUUUUUCAUUCUCGGAUUCAUGUUUCAUAAACUUCAAGCAAUCAACCUCAUCCUCUACUGAGAUUUCACUCAUCUCGCUUUUCGCAUCAAAUUCAGACGAAUUAUCUAAGUUUAUUUUAUUAUCUUGAACAAUCUUGGCAUUUGACAGAUCGAAUGUUUGUAUAGUUUCAGUUUUAAUCUUUUGCCUAUCAUUUUCAUCUAAGAUAUUUUGAACAUACUCUUAUGUUCCUUAGAAUCGAUGAAGGUUUCUAUCUUAUCUAAACCUAGCCUAUAUGAACUUGAUGUUUCUUCAGAGGACACCUCUGAUUCACAUUCUGCUAUAACUUCAUCUUCCUUAAAUUCAAGAAAGGGCAAAAUCAUUUUAUGAAUUUUCUUGCCAAUUUCACAGCUUAAAUGUAAUUGAGUAAUGUUAGUAUAAAGACGCUUCGCAAUUAAACAUAAAACAUUUCGUUGUUUUAAUAACUUUAAAUUGUCCCUUUGCAAAUAAAUACAUUCAUCCCUAACUCUAACUAACUCCGCUUCCUUCAGUUCCAUCCACAUUCUCCUUUCCUCACUUUUUGAAGACACCCCGCCGAGUUGGUCAGUUAGGUUAGAAUUUGCUAAGCGGGUUUGCAUGAGGCUACUACUUAGGUUAGAAAAUUUAAAGUUUAAUUCAUUUAAUUCUUCUUGAUAAUCAGAUUUUGAGAUUUUAAGAGACUCAAGAAUAGAAUGUACCUUUUUGAUCAAUCGAUCGCAGUCGUUGAUCUUCUCACUUACUGGCUUGGCCGCAAAGCACUUGUUUUCUGUUUAGUUCGGUUCCGUAUCUGCACUUUCGGUUGAUGGACCAGCAGUGACGAUAAAGCACUUUCCACCCGAACCUUCAUUCUUUGCCACAUAUGCCUGUCCAUGAGUGGGCCUUCUUACCUCCUCGUCUUCAGAGUCGGUUGACCAGACUUCUAUGCUACCGAACUCAUCUUACCUUGCAUUCUCCUGUACGAUUAACGCAUUCAUCGAGCUGUUGGAUGCCUUUUUCUUCUUUACUUCUUCUAAUUUUCGCAUGUAAUACGCCUCAUCAUCUUCACCCUCUCUUUUCUAAGCCAUCUUUCUCAACAUGCAAUCUUUGGCAAAAUGGUUCUUGCCGUGACAAAAGUUGCAGUCGUAUCCAGAGUCUCCUGCAAGCUUGCUCUCCUUUUUCUCUUCAUCCUUUUGAGAGGAGACUUUUGGUUCAUCCUUCAUCUUUUCAGAACUAUAACUUCCCUGCCAGUUUCGGUUCUUGCUGACAGGAAAUUUUCUUCUUGCAAAUUUCUUUGGAUUUGUGACCAUCAUAGCAUACUCCUCACUUGUAAGGUCGCAUUCUGACAUGUCUGUCUCUUCUUCUUCUUCUGCAGUACUUUUUCCUUUAGAAACAAGAGCUAGCGAUCCCACACCAGAGAUCACUUUCGCUUCGUUGGUUACAACACUUUCAUGAGACUUUAGUAUACCUACUAGUUUCGCCAGCGAGUACGAUUUGAACUGUUUAUGCGCCUUCACAGUGGAAACCACAGCCAUCCAUUCUGGUCUCAGCCCGUUCAUAAACGUUACUUUCUGCUCGAUCAUCUUUCUUUCUAUUCCAUGCUUGAUCAUCUUACUGAGGAUAUGAUUGAACCGAUCAAAGGUCUGUACAAGCUUCUCUUCUGGUUUCUGUUCGAAAACUCCAAAUUCUGACAGCAACAGAGUUUGAAUGGAGUGUUCUAGGUCUUCAUCAGUUGAGUAAAGUUCCUUCAACCUAUCCCAGAUCUCUUUAGCAGUUGUGCAUGAACCUACUAGCCGAAAGGUGUCAGACUACAGGGUGAAUCUUAUCAUUCUCAUGGCUUUAACGUUACACAAGAGCUUGUCCUUCUCAUCCUGUGGCAUCUUCUCAACAUCCGUCACCAGCUUUUUGUAAUCCGUUUGCGACUUUACAGUCAUGUUUGUUCCCGAAUGUACAAACGGUCCACGAGUGAUAGCUUCCAGAUGAGAUAGCCAUUGUCUUCAGAUCCAACCACGUAAUCUUCAAAGUGAUGAGCCCAUACUUUGUAGUCUUGAGUAUAGAGUAUGGGUACUCUAGUUGUUGAUCUGAUGCUGUUUGAGAUGUUUAUGGGGUUUGUAUGCGAAUUGUCGUGAGACAUGGUGAGCUGCUAGAAUCAAACCUGUAAACUUGAGAUUAGGGUUUUAUCAAAAACAGAGUUGUCGUCGAUAUGAAGAUGAUGGCUUCUAUCUAUACGAUAAAAGCGGAAACACUAAAGUAUUAUGAAUACAGAAGUAAUGUGUAUUGAUCACACAAUCUCCUGCUCUGAUACCAAUUGUUAGAACAAGGUUCUUUUAGGAUCAUAUGAUUCUAAGCAGGAUAUUAAAUAAGAACGUAAUAAGAACACAAGUAUGGCACUAAAUAUGUCGUAUGAUUAACGUGAUAACACCUCAGAAGAGCUCGAUAAAGAACUUCAAUCUGUAGAGGUGUUUAGGGUUACAAGAAUCUACGUAAUUAAUCACCAUUUUUUUAAUAUACGCAUACAUGCAUGCAUAUAUAUACUAUAACCCUAACAGCUAAUCUAGAUAACAACGAAACUAAUCUAGAUAGACACGGAUGGACAGGCCCAAUCCAGAUACAAAAUCUAUAAGGCCCAAGACGCAACACAAGUGGACUCAACAAGGUGCAAUGGAAGCACUAGAAAGGCUCAAAAUGGACAUGGGAGCCCGAGGAGGAGAUGAGGGAGCAUUAUCCAAGGUUGUUCGAGGCAUCGGUGUAAAACCCUGUUUAUUUAUUAAAUAAAUUAAUUAAUUAAUUAAUUAAUAGAAGCCCUAAAAUAAAUGACUAUAUAUCGAAUGAUGGUCUCGUAGAGCUAAUUGUCACACUUUAAGAGAUUGGGGGUUAAAAGUGUUAAAUCCGGACAUAAUUUGUACGUAUUAUGGAAGGCGGGGACUAAAGGGCAAUUAUUGGGACUUCAUUAAAGAGAUUUUGGAGGCCUAGGGGCGGUUUGGUAAAUCAGGUAUCAAAUUUGAAGGGAAUUUCCGAAGUUGGGGUAUAAAAGGUAAAAUUUGGGCUUAGUUUGCAAAAGAUAUGGUAAGGAGGGGCUGGUUGUGACAAAUCUGUAGAAAGUUUAUAUGGGGUGCGGGUAUUUAACCCAUCGUCAUGCACCGGCCUCCUAAAACCCUAAACCUAAUAUCAUAUGCAUCCGCCACUCAAGUUCAUCAGCCGCCACCACCGGUUUCUCUUUUGUGUUCCGACCAGAUGAAGCUCCGACGACGCCACUUGCUGCCUCGACAUCGAGAUGCCGUCACACCUUGCUACCGGACUCCAUGCACGAAAGAAGAAACCACCAAGAGCGACUUCCGGGUGGCGUGAUGACGCUCUCGGAUGCUCCUCCUCUUUCUUCUCCUGCUUCACCUUCANCUUUCUUCUCCUGCUUCGCCUUCAGCCAACGCCGCCGAUGUCGCUAGGGUUGUCAAACGCCACCACCUGUUGUGCAUCCGUCGUGGGGAAACUAGAAGGCCGACGACUUUAUGGAGCUGUGGUGGUUCGGGGUUGGACUGCUACCUCCCUUCUCCAUGUAUUGCUGCGAACGCGCCGUUCCGAGAUGAUGAAGUCGCUCCUAUCGCCGCUGAUGCCUAUCCAACCGCUGUUAUUGCCGGUUGUUGCGCCACUGCCGCCGCCGCUUACCUUAGGUGGGUGGCUGGGUUCGUUUUGCUACUAGAAGACGAGUGUGUAUGCGUGUGUAUUACAGUCAAGUGAUGUUUGGGUGUUGCUUGGUCGGAUUUUUUUCAAAAAGGAAUCACCGCCACCACCGUGAGGUGGUGGCUGCCACCAUUUACAACCACCGGCCACCAUAAGGUGGUUGUGUUUGUGUGAUUAGUUUGUUUAGUGUUUUUAUUUUGGGUUUAGAGUGUGUAAAAUGUAAUCGUAAAUUGGAAUAAUGAAAAAGGAACCCUAACCACCACCAUNAUCCUGCCGCCACCGGCCGCCGUGUCGGGUGGCGGUGUGCUUGCCUUGUGAGAUUGAUUCGUGUGGGGUGCUAGAAACCCUAAUGGGCUCAAAGGAGCUCUAAUGGGCCCAAUGAAGCUUAAUGGACUCUAAUGGACCCAAUAAAACCCUAAUGGGCUUAAUAAUAUUUUAGCGGGCUAGAUAGGCCCAAUAAAGCCCUAAUUGUCAUAAAAGGCCAACAAAUUGAUAAAUGGGCUAAUAUUUGGAUUUGAACACCCUAAUGCCAAUGAAAACCUAACUUUAAGAAUUAAUCGUGUCAUGCACACGAGAAUUAUUUAAUAACUUGAGAUAUUAAAUAAUAAUCAUUGGUAAAGAUUAAUGUAUGCAAUAUUGGACUUAAUGGGUUAAGUCCUUAAUGGAUUAAGUCCUUAAUGGGUUAAGUAGGAAACUUAACCCUAAGUCUUGCCAUUGCUUUCUCCCCAAGUCUUGCCAUUAGAUGGUGACAUGUGGCACCAAGUUCAGCCAUUUUACAGCUUAUAAAUAGAACCUCUUCUACCCUCAUUUUCUUCACACAUUUCCUAUUUUUUCUUCUCUUUACUCUCUCUCUAGAACCUCUCUCUAUCCCCGAAACCCCCCGAAAAGCCUAGGGAACCUCCCUAGCACGAGGCUGAAGCCCCGGAGUGCUCGACGGCUACGAGAAGAAGAGCUUUUCGGCUCGGGAACACUACUCCAAGCAAAGCCCGGUUUUCUAUAAAACCCGUUGUAAGUGAGCUACGCCUAUGCUAUUUUUAAUAUAGCUUUUAUUUAAUAUAGUAACGGUAUUAGGAACUUAUAAUAAGUACUUGGGAUAUUAUUAUGGGUUAUAUAAGUAUUGUUUAACGCUUAUAUAAUAGUAAUCGGCGAAUAAUAGACUAAACUCUAGUGGUAAUAAUACUAGGUUUCGUCGAAGGAAAUUAUUUUUUUUAUGUAGCGAAGCGCUGUCUGAUUCGGAAUCACCACCUUUUCAAGUGAGUGCAUGGCCCCUUUCAUCUUACACAUAAAUAUGAAGUACUUAAUAUAAAUUACGUGCUAUGUGUCUGAAUACUUGCUGUCUAUGCUGGGUGAAAUAAUUUUAUACACGUUUUAAAUGAUUUAAACUGUAUAUGUAUUUUAUAUCUACAAAAUGUGUUGGGUAAAACAUGGGUAGAUGUAAUAGUUGCUGUGUGACCAAAUAAAAUAAUGAGAGGCCUCGAUAUAGAUGUUAUUGAAGAUCCAGUCAUCUAGCGGAGUAUAGAUGACAACCACAGACUAUUCUAGACAGUCCAGUGGAACGCUAGCAGACUCACAACCUGUAGGUGUUUAUUUGAACUAUGUGCUCACCAAAAAUACUCCAUCCCCCACAUGGUUGCCUUAUUUGACAUGAAUUGUUGAGGAACCCCAGAAGCAUGCGUUGUCACCCCGAUGAAAGUCAUUAGACUAGGUCCCUUGUGUUAGAUGUUUUAGGGACGUAAAGUGAGGAUAACGGGAAUGGGUAAUUCGGUUUGUUUGGUUUGACAAAAUUAAUAAACUAUGACAACCCAAAAAUUUCUGUUAGUUUUAACGUCGAAAUUAAUUACGUCAAAAAUUAGCCAAAUUUAUCCCGAAAAUAUUUUUGACCGGAUUUAAACCCGUUGGAAUAUUUUAAUUAAUAUUCGUCAAACGAAAAUAAAAACACGAAAAUUAUCUUUCCGUUUAUUUGGAAAAAGUUUAUUUUUAUUUGCGGCCAUUUAACCGGUUGAAAUUUUAUACCUCGUUAAACAUAAGUAUCGGGUAGUCGUAUACCGGGUACAACACCCAAGCCCUAUAUAAGGAAGGGUGGACACUCCUUAGAAGCCUUUUCCCACCUUAGACUCUCUCUCUCUCUCUACUUUCUCUCUCUACAAACGGGUUUUGGUCAAAAAUCGCCCCUUCGAGCCUCAAAUCGGUAAGUAAACCUUCCAAGCUUGUUAUCUAACUUAUCUAGCUUGCAAAUUCGUGAGUUAAUCAUCCAAAAACCCCAAUAACAUGAGUUUACGGUCUUGGGAGCCUCCUAAAACCGUAAACCCCUUUGGAAGUGGGUUUGAUGCCCAAAACCCCUCCCAAACACUUCUCAUGCUUAGCAAUGGCUUAGAGGCUUACCCGAAAGGACUUAGAACACCAAAAACGGACCAAAUGGGGAGUAAACAUGAGUUUACGGUAUAAGAACAUCCGUAGACCGUAAACCGAUAUUCAUGGACCAUAAACACCUUUUAAGGUAUUAAACAACCCCUCAAACACCUCCAAAAGCUUCCAUGGGUGCCUAAAACCUUGUAAUCCUUCGUUUGAGGCACCAAAACAUAGGAUUCAUGGACAAAAUGAGUUUACUACCGUAAACUCAUGUGUUUAAGGUAGUAAACUCCCCAAGAACAUCUUCUUAGACCGUAAACACCUUUCCAAGGUGUUUAAGUGCCCUAAACACCUUCCUAUGCUCCUAAAAGUGACUAGAACCUUACAUGCAUGAGUUAGAACCACCAAACAACAAAAGAAAUGGACCAAUAUGAGUUUACUACCGUAAACUCAUGUGUUUAUGGUCGUAAACUCCUCAAGGAGUAGUCAUAGGCCGUAAACUCCUUAAAUGGGCCAUUUUGAAGCCUUAAACCCUUCAUAAGCCCUAGAAUUGAACCUAGCCUAGUUCCACAGGUGUUAUAAGACCUUAAUGUAUCAAAGAACACACCAUCCAUGAGUUUACGGCCGUAAACUCACGGGGAUAAGGUAUUAGGGCCGUAAACUCUAUAAAGAGUUUACUCUUGAAGAGUAAACUCCCUAUCUAGGCCAGACACACCCUUAGAUGUUACCCAGGACACUCCUAGCACUUGACCAAAGUGUUUUUCGCAUUUUAGGAUGCGUAUACAUGUUUAAUUAGUAUUAUAUUUACUAAUUGUGUGUAAACAUAUGUCAUCAUAUGUUAAUAGGUCACUAAGUGUGUUCAAGUCUUUACUUGACACCGAGCACCCAACGGGCACUUUCGUUGGAUCCGCUUACAACAGGUGAGUUCAUACCCCUGAAUUAACGUUUUAAAUGUUUUUACAUGCUUUUAUGGGGGGAUACAAGUUAAAACAUGCCAGUUAUCAUAUCAAUCACAUGUGAUUGAUAACCCGCAUGCACAAGGAUUUAUUACACUGUUAACUAUUUUACCAAGUAUGAUACUGUAAAUGGUUUUCUAAAACGUCUUUACUUGUUCAAAGCUUUUCUCAAAUUGACUCUCGCGCUGUAUGUUUUACUUAAGAUUCAUUUACAGCAGUAUUUUAAACAAAGGAUUUCUUUACUUAUAAUGUUUUAUCAAAGUUUCAUUUAAAACUUGUUUAUGAAAGGUUUUCAAAGGAUUUCUAAAGGUUUUCAAACUUAUUUUACAAAAUAAUACCAAGUCGUGAUUUUCUUAAGUGUAAUGGUUUUCCAAAGUUUUCAUCAAAGUUUUCUUCCAUGUGUUUAUACUCCUACUUCGUUAGAUACUACUACUUCAUUAUACUUCUACUUAGUUAAUGCUCCUACUUAGUUAAAUGCUACUACUUUGUUAACGCUUCUACUUAGUGAUACGCUUCUACUUCUUAACGCUUCUACUUAGUGAUACGCUUCUACUUGUUAACGCUUCUACUUAGUGAUACGCUUCUACUUGUUAACGCUUCUACUUUGUGAAAUGCUCCUACUUUGUUAAUGCUACUACUUCGUAAACGCUUCUACUUUAUUAACGCUUCUACUUUAUUAACGCUUCUACUUCGAGAAAUGCUUCUACUUUGUUAACACUUCUACUUAGUUAAAUGCUUCUACAUCGUUAAAUGCAUGCCUGUACUUGUAUAGUUAUAUAAAUAAUGCUUAGAGGACUUAGGAAGGCUACCUCUCCCUAUUUCCUUUUCCUCGUUUGGAUGUGGUCUGGUGGGAUCAGAUAUCCGUCCGAAAGUUGUUUAAUCAUUAAUUAUAUAUCAUGUAUACAUGUAUAGACAUGAAGGUUUACAUCGGUCAGUUUAUUUGUGAGUCUUUAUCGUUAGCCCAAUAUUUACAUCAGAACUCACUAUACGAGAUGCAUCUUCAGGACACGGCCUUCUCUGUUGUCAAGUUGGUAACCAGAGUCUCUUGUAGGGAGAGCGGGCAUUGUGUGUAUAGAUCUAUACGGGAUUGACACCCCUACACCCUGACUCCUAGCUACAGUCCACGGCCUACCAAGCCAAGGGGUGACAAAUGUCACAUUCUUUCCGAUGCUUGCAGGGCGUCAAGUUCUCUAGUGUCUAUCAGUAUAGUUACGAGUAUCUCAGGGUUACCUUAUAAUUCAUGGCCUUAAGGUAACGGGAAUUAACACUGUAUUCACUGUUUUUAGACCUUGCUAGACGUAUCAUUCAUUUGAUACUGUCUGGGGUCUGUAUUCACUGUUUUUAGACCUUGCUAGACAUAUCAUUCAUUUGAUACUGUCUGGGGUCUGUAUUCACUGUUUUUAGACCUUGCUAGACGUAUCAUUCAUUUGAUACUGUUUGGGGUCUAUAUUCAUUGUUUUUUGACCUUGCUAGACGUAUCAUUCAUUUGAGACUGUCUGGGGUCUGUGUCUCCUUUCGUUAGACUGAGCCAGGCGUGUUGUUCAUUCGAUAUUCCCCUGGAGUCUAUGAUUUCUUUUGCCUUAGUCAGCAGUAUUUCCUGCUGNUUUGCCUUAGUCAGCAGUAUUUCUUGCUGAGGCCUAUGUUAUUUUCCCUAAUGCUUUUACUUGUGAUAUCCUUCUACUUUCAUUAAAGUCAAAUACCGUAUUUUGGUUAUGAUAAUAUUUUAGGGAAAUUCUCUUUAAAACAUAACACUGUCGGGUCUUGGUAGAAGACUACUUUUAUUUAGAAAAUAUAGGAUUUUCUGGAAAGGGACUCUAAUACACCGUUGAUUCAAAACUACUACUUUUUAUAAAGUUAUUUGAAUAAAAUGACACUAAAUACUUAUGAACUCACCAGCAUUUAUAAAAAUGCUGAUACUCGCUUUCAAAUAACUUGUAUUCUCAGGUCAACAAUAGACAGGUACAUUCCAGGAGCUUCUGGUGAAGACAGUUUAGUACCAAGCUGCACCUAUAUUAUUACUUGUAUUACUUUGAUGUUUCUAUGUAAUGUACACUAUGUGUAACAACGCAAAUUUUCAAGCAAUUUUUUUCUUUUUAUAAAUAGAGUAAUUUCAUUCAAACCAAGGCAUAAAUAAUUUAAGUGUCAUGUCAAAUACAAACUGUCUAAAUCCCAAGAUCAUAAAAAAACAUUCUUCAGUGUGUAUCGAUCACGCCGGCGCCUUCCCACGGUCCUCGCUAGUACCUGAAACACAUACAUAACCACUGUAAGCAUAAAUGCUUAGUGAGUCCCCCAAUAUACACUUACGCACAUACGCCUUUCCAGGCCCUGACCUUCCGGUCCUCAACACAACGCCUUCCGGCCCAUAACAUAAUCGCCUUCCGGCCCAUAACAUAUUGCCUUACGGCCCACAUAACAUACAUAGCACACAUAUAACAAAUAACUUACCACAUAUAGCAUACAUAUCACAUAUCAUAUCCGACCUUCCGGUCACACAGUCAAACCCUUCCGGGUACAGUAUAGUGAGAAGACUCACCUCGUAAGUGCUGAAAGCUAGCAACUCCUGAAAUCACUCGCGCACAAACCAACGAGCUACAACCCUCCUAUAACAUUACAUAACUCAUUAACACUCAUAUCAUCUAAGUGUGACUAUCCCUAAGAAGUCAGACUUAGGUCAACCCUGGUCAGCGGUCAACGGUCAACUCGACCGGACUCGGCGAGUGCCAUGGCGACUCGGCGAGUCUAGAUGUUCUCCAACUCUCUGAGAGUCCCUAUCUACUCGUCGAGUAUCCUCCUUGACCCGACGAGUUACUCCUGGAAGAAUCGCGGGGCCACCCCGACUCCACUCGCCGAGUCUGAAGAACAACUCGACGAGUCCCAGUAAAUCUUCAAGCUACUCGCCGAGUCUGAAGAACAACUCGGCGAGUCCAUGCCAUGCAGACGAGUAACUGCUUCCUGGGAUAGGUCUCGUCCCGAAGUACACAUGCAUGGGACCUUCUGGACCUCUAAAGGUCCUAAUACAAGACUAUAAUCGUGGGGUAACAAGGCAUUACUUCAUCAAAUCACUAAAUGGGUUCUAUAAACCCUAAUUUCAUAAAUACAUCAAAAUAACAGAUUUGGUCCGAGUAUUACCUGAAAACGCACUCUCUGUGUCCCCCAAAUCUCAGGACUCAAUCCUCCUUGAUAUUCCUUUAGCCAAAUCCCUCUUCUUCUUGCCUAACCAAUUCUUCCAAGUUCCAAAGCUUUCUCCCUUGCUCUAGGCGUCCACAGCGAUUAGGGUUUCUCUCAAUUGACCAAAAGACUGAAAAUGACGGCCUAAGAGGCGUUAAAUACGAUCCAAACUGAACGGUUAGGGUUUCUGCUGAACAGCGUCGACUCGCCGAGUCCAUAUCUGGACUCGUCGAGUCCAGUCGCGGACCCGCGACCAAGUCCGCGAUCCUACUCGGCGAGUCUAGGCUCCAACUCGCCGAGUCCCCUCUUAAAUCACCCCAAAAACAUAAUUUUAAUAAUACCUGAGAUUCCGGGCUGUUACAACUCUCCCCCACUUGGAUUAGACUUCGCCCUCGAAGUCUCACUCUGCAAAUAGUUCCGGAUGCUGCUCCCGCAUUUCGCGCUCCGGUUCCCAAGUCAUUUCUGAUCCCUUACGGUGUUGCCAUUGAACCAACACCAGAGGUACCUCCUUGUUCCUCAGAACCUUGAUCUUCCGAUCCCUGAUAGCCACUGGUCUCUCCGCGUAAUUCAGGCUCGCAUCCACCUGAAUAUCCUCCAAUGGAACCACUGCCGACUCAUCGGCUAUGCACUUCCUCAACUGCGACACAUGAAAAGUGUCAUGGAUCUGACCCAACUCCGCUGGCAACUCCAACCGAUAGGCUACCCGACCUAUCCUUGCAAUCACACGAAAUGGCCCAAUAUACCGGGGCCCCAACUUGCCCCUCUUCCUGAAUCGAAUCACUCCUUUCCAAGGAGAGACCUUCAGGAGAACGAAGUCGCCGACCUGAAAUUCAAGCUCGGAUCGGCGCCUGUCUGCAUAACUCUUCUGUCGGCUCUGGGCAGUCAAUAACCUUUGUCUCACUCGCUGAAUCUGCUCUGUCGUCUGGAGCACGAUCUCCGUGCUGCCCAUCACUCUCUGUCCCACCUCUCCCCAGCAAAUGGGGGUCCGACACCUCCUACCAUACAACAGCUCGAAAGGUGGCAUACCAAUGCUCGAAUGAUGGCUGUUGUUGUAGGAGAACUCUGCCAAUGGUAAAUACGCAUCCCAACUACCCCCGAAGUCUAACACACACGCUCGGAGCAUGUCCUCCAGCGUCUGAAUCGUCCGCUCGCUCUGACCGUCUGUCUGGGGAUGGUAUGCGGUACUAAAAUGCAAUUUAGUACCCAGCUCCUCAUGGAAUUUCUUCCAGAAUCUGGAAGUAAAGCGCACAUCACGGUCUGACACAAUCGAGAUCGGCACCCCGUGCCGAGAUACCACCUCUCUCACGUAUAUCUCCGCCAACUUCUCCGCUGAAGAACUCUCACUGAUGGCAAGGAAGUGUGCACUCUUCGUCAACCUAUCCACGAUCACCCAAAUUGCGUCAACUCCCCUAGCAGUCCUUGGCAAUUUGGUGAUAAAAUCCAUAGUGAUCUGUUCCCACUUCCACUCGGGGAUCUCCAAUGGCUGUAACUUGCCAUGCGGUCUCUGGUGCUCAGCCUUAACCCUACGGCAGGUCAAGCACCUCUCAACGAACCAUGCCACGUCCCUCUUCAUACAGGGCCACCAAUAUUCCUUCCUUAAAUCCAAAUACAUCUUUGUAGCACCGGGAUGGAUCGAGAAUUUCGAUCUAUGAGCCUCUUCCAUCAACGUAAUACGCGUACCGCCCACGAACGGUACCCAAAUCCGACCCUGAAACGUCAUAAGGCCUCGACUAUCCUUGACAAACUCUGAGAUUAACCCCACAACCCGCUCUUUCUUCCGCAUUUCUGGUCGCACAGCCUCUGCCUGGGCCCCACGAAUAGCGUCCAAUACUGGAGUCAUCACAGUCAGUCUCAAGCAUACAUCUCGCAAUGGAGUGCUCUCCGCCCUGCGGCUCAAUGCAUCGGCUACCACAUUAGCCUUGCCUGGGUGGUACAGGAUCUCACAAUCAUAAUCCUUGACCACAUCCAACCACCUCCUCUGACGCAUAUUUAGGUUGGGUUGAUCCAUCAAAUACUUCAAACUCUUAUGGUCCGUGUAUAUCGUACAUCGAACCCCAUACAAGUAGUGACGCCAAAUCUUGAGAGCGAACACUACUGCCCCCAACUCUAAAUCAUGCGUGGGAUAUCUCGCCUCAUGAGGCUUCAGCUGCCUCGACGCAUAAGCUAUCACAUGACCCCUCUGCAUCAACACUGCACCCAAUCCCGAAAUCGAUGCGUCGCAAUAUACCACGAAAUCUUCCAUCCCUUCUGGGAGAGCUAAUACCGGGGCUUCGCACAAUCUCUGGCGAAGUGUCUCAAAGGAGGUCUGCUGCUCGGGCCCCCAUGAGAACGUAACACCCUUCCGGGUCAAUCUGGUGAGUGGCACUGCGAUCUUGGAGAAAUCCUUGAUAAAUCUCCGAUAAUACCCUGCCAACCCAAGGAAACUUCUGAUCUCAGAGGGUGACUUCGGCACCUCCCAACUCAUCACCGCCUCAACCUUGGCCGGAUCGACUAAUAUCCCUUUCUGAUUAACCACAUGUCCUAGAAACUGGACCUCCCGCAACCAGAAGUCACAUUUGGAGAACUUUGCAUAAAGCUUCUCCGACCUCAAUACCUCAAGGACCUCCCUCAAAUGCUCCUCAUGCUGCUCUCUAGAUCUCGAAUACACCAGAAUGUCGUCGAUAAAUACAAUCACUGACCGAUCCAACAUCGGCCUGCAUACCCUGUUCAUGAGAUCCAUGAACACAGCCGGGGCAUUGGUGAGUCCAAAAGGCAUCACCACAAACUCAUAAUGUCCAUAUCGCGUCCUAAACGCUGUCUUCUGGACGUCUUCAUCCCGUACUCUCACCUGAUGGUAUCCUGACCUCAGAUCGAUCUUGGAAAACCAAGAUGCUCCCUGCAACUGAUCGAAUAAAUCAUCGAUCCUCGGCAACGGGUAACGGUUCUUGACCGUUAGCUUGUUCAACUCCCGGUAAUCAAUGCACAUCCGGUGUGAACCAUCCUUCUUUUUGACGAACAGAAUAGGUGCUCCCCAUGGCGAGCUGCUCGGCCGAAUGAAUCCCUUCCCCAGCAACUCCUGGAGUUGCGAGGACAACUCUUGCAUCUCUGGAGGUGCAAGACGAUAGGGCACUUUAGCAAUAGGCGCGGCCCCCGGAACCAGAUCGAUACCAAACUCUACUUGCCUCACAGGAGGUACUCCCGGCAGUUCCUCGGGAAAAACAUCUGAAAACUCACGCACCACAGGGACCUCCUCAACUGACUUCGGUCUCUCGGAAACCUCCCGCGUAUCCAUCACAUACGCCACAAAACCCUUACAGCCCUGCCGUAGACACUGCCUCGCCCUAGCGGCCGAACAAAAAGCUGAUCCCGAACGGGUACCCUCGCCGUACACCGAAAGAACUCCCCCUCUAGGGUCUCGUAUAGUCACCAACUGACGCUCACAGUCGAUGACAGCGCCGAAUCGGCUCAACCAGUCCAUGCCCACGAUGACACAGACAUCACCCAUCGCAAUAGGAAUCAGGUCAAUCGGGAAUUCAACCCCGAAAAUCUCUAGUACACAUCCCCGAAGAACCUCCGUAGCACAAAUCACUUUCUCGUCAGCUAUAGAAACUCUCAAAGGUCGACUCAACGACUCACGACUAACGCCGAUAUGCUGACUAAAGGCUAAGGACACAAAGGACCUACUCGCACCCGAGUCAAAUAACACUAAGGCAGGCACAGAGUUCACAAGGAAAGUACCUACGCGCAUAAUAACAUAAGCAUAACAUAUCGACAUUAAAAUAAUUACAUGAAUUACAACAUACCUGCCACAACAUCGGGCGCAGCGCGGACCUCUUCCGCAGUCAGCUGAAAGGCUCUUCCCCGAGCCCUCGGGGCCUCGGCCUUCACCGGUCGAGUCGCAGUAACUCCGGCAGCAGGUGCAGAUCCCUGAAGAAGCUGAGGGCACUCGGCCUUCCUAUGGCCAGUCUGGUUGCAAUGAAAGCAAACCGUAAAUCCCUUGGGACACUCCCUAGCAAUGUGCCCCUCCUUGCCACACUUGUAGCAAGCACCAGAUCGACAUACUCCAUCAUGACUCUUGCCGCACUUCCCGCAAGUGCGACCCUUCGAACCUCCUGUCCUCGAAUCAGCGGACUUGGUCCGCUUGGCUGCCGGCUGGAACUGAGCCGGUCGCCGGUCCACCCGCUGAGACUCGGCCUCCUCCCUGGCCUGGGUCUCCAACUCGAUCUCGCGCUUCCUGGCAUUCGCCUGAAGCUCAGCAAAAGUAUGGUAAGUGGAGUUUGACACAAACUCCCGGAUAUCCCUCCUCAACACUCCCAAGUACCGGCUCAUCCGAGCCUGAUCAGUGGACACCAGCUCGGGGCAGAACAUCGCCCUCUCAUGAAACUUCCGCGUGAUCACCGCAACCGAAUCAGUACCCUGCUUGAGGGUUAAGAACUCCUGAACCAAUCGUUCCCUCUCCACCGGGGGAACGUACUCAUCCCUGAACAUGGCAGUAAACCCCUCCCAUGUCACUGCUGUAGUCUCUGCCAAAGUGAAGUUCGCCGUCACGAACUUCCACCAGUCCUUCGCUCCCAGACGGAGCUGGUUCAAAGCGAACCGUACCCUCAGGUGCUCCGGGCAUGAACAAGUGUAGAAGCACCCCUCUAUAUCCGCGAUCCACCUCAUCGCAGCAAUCGGAUCCUGCGUCCCAUCGAACUCCGGUGGCUUCGUGUUGCUGAACUCUCGGAACAGCAACGAGUCACCCCCCUGUGGCCUAGCAGCGGCCACAGCUGCGGUAGCUGCAGCGGUUGCAGCCUCAGUCAAUGCGGCGUACCGCUCAUCAAACGUCUCCAUCAGGGUGGUCUUAAUAGACCCAAACAUCUCCGGGAUCUCAGCCCGGAUCGCCGCAGCUACCUCCUCGUGAAUCAUCUGACGAAUCUCCUCGUCACUCACACCGCUCGAACUCGCUCCGUGGCGUGGUCUAACCAUGAUGUCUCUGAAAUACAACAUAAAACUAUCAGAGACUCCAUCGAGUAUAAUCGCACUCGAUAACGCAACCCUACUCAGUCUCCGAUAUCCAGGGAUUCUUACUUGGGUCUCCCACUGACCCGGUGUCUUCGGUAGUACGGGCCCAAUACUACCGACCACACCGCAUCAGCAUUCAUCCCAAGUCUUCCUCCCCAAACCCCGGAUAGUGAGUACUCUACUUCUGAUAUGCACUAUCUACCCGCACACUAGCAAAGCAUCUCAUAUCGGCAAACUUCCCUAGACUAAGGCAUCACAAAUCAGGCCACUCUAGUCCUAUCAUGAAUACCUAGUCUUCUAGCAUGCAUAACAAUUCAUAUCAUAUAAUAUUGUAAGGUAUUUUGGGGAUCUUUACCGUUCGGGCGCUGACUGAUCGUACACACUGCUUCUUUCUUGCUUACCACAAAACCAUUUACAAAAGUUUAUGCCUUUAUUUAAAAAGUUUUCCUCAAAUCCUCGGUUUGAGUUCAGUUACUCCCGAAGGUGCACCCGAAUCCCUCAAACCAAGGCUCUGAUACCAAUUGUAACAACGCAAAUUUUCAAACAAAUUUUUCAUUUUAAAAAUAAAGUAUUUCCAUUCAAAACAAGGCAUAAAUAAUUUAAGUGUCAUGUCAAAUACAAAUUGUCUAAAUCCCAAGAUCAUAAAAACAUCCUUCAGUGUGUAUCGAUCACGCCGGCGCCUUCCCACGGUCCUCGCUAGUACCUGAAACACAUACAUAACAACUGUAAGCAUAAAUGCUUAGUGAGUUCCCCAAUAUACAACUUACGCACAUACGCCUUUCCAGGCCCUGACCUUCCGGUCCAUGUGUCUCAGGGGACUUCCGUCCCUGCUGGGUAAACCUUCCGGUCCUACCCACGCCGACCUUCCGGUCCAUCACACAACAUAUUGCCUUCCGGCCCAUAACAUAUUGCCUUCCGGCCCAUAAUAUAAUCGCCUUCCGGCCCAUAACAUACAUAGCACAUAUAACAAACAGCUUACCACAUAUAGCAUACAUAUCACAUAUCAUAUCUGACCUUCCGGUCACACAGUCAAACCCUUCCGGGUACAGUAUAGUGAGAAGACUCACCUCGUGAAUGCUGAAAGCUAGCAAAUCCUGAAAUCACUCGUGCACAAUCCGACGAGCUACAACCUCCCUAUAACAUCACAUAUCUCUCAUUAACACUUAUAUCUUCUAAGUGUGACUAUCCCUAAGAAGUCAGACUUAGGUCAACUCUGGUCAACGGUCAACGGUCAACUCGACCGGACUCGGCGAGUGCCAUGGCGACUCGGCGAGUCUAGACGUCCUCCAACUCUCUGAGAUUCCCUAUCUACUCGUCGAGUAUCCUCCUUGACCCGACGAGUUACUCCUGGAAGAAUCGCGGGGCCACCCCGACUCAACUCGCCGAGUCUGAAGAACAACUCGACGAGUCCCAGUUAAUCUUCAAGCUACUCGCCGAGUCUGUUCAUCGAACUCGGCGAGUCCAUGCCAUGCAACCGCUCAAACUGCAUCCUAAGGUCAGAACUGCUUCGACCAUUCCUAGGUCUGGCCUUCCUAGGCUGAUCCAUCACGUAAAGUCCUCAUUUCAGUGCUCAUGAUACACCAUAUGAUUCAUAAUUUACAUUUUGACCUAAGGCAUAAGGAUUCCAAUCCAAAACCUUCAUCAAUUCCCGAAAUGCACAGACAUGGGACAUUCUGGACCUCCAAAGGUCCCAAUACAGGGUUACAAUCGAUUAGGGGACUAGGGUAACAUUCAAUCUAUUCACAAAAGGGUUCCAUAAACCCUAAUUCCAUAAUCACAUCAACAUAGCAGAGUAUACUCGAAUUCUUACCUGGAUGAUGUAUUCUCUGUGUCCCCAAUCCUCAGAAUGUGACUCCCUUGCUGUUCCUUUAGCCAAUCCCUUCUCUUCCUUGCACAACAACUCUUCUAUAAUCAACAAUGGCCUAUAAUCCUUGCUCCAGAUGCACACAAUCGAUUUAGGGUUCUUCUCAGAAGGCUAAAAUGAACAAUGACGGCCAAUAAGUCCCUUUUAUACGUCCCAAACCUGAACGGUUAGGGUUUUCGCUAAACAGCGUAGACUCGCCGAGUCCAUAUCUGGACUCGUCGAGUCCAGUCGCGAACCCGCGACCAAGUCUGCGAUCCUACUCGGCGAGUCUAGGCUCCAACUCGCCGAGUCCCCUCUUAAAUCACCCCAAAAACAUAAUUUAACAAUACCUGAGAUUCCGGGCUGUUACAACUCUCCCCCACUAGGAUUAGACUUCGCCCUCGAAGUCUCACUCUGAAAAUAGUUCCGGAUGCUGCUCCCGCAUCUCACGUUCCGGCUCCCAAGUCAUUUCCGAUCCCUUACGGUGUUGCCACUGAACCAACACCAGAGGUACCUCCUUGUUCCUCAGAACCUUGAUCUUCCGAUCCCUGAUGGCCACUGGUCUCUCAGCAUAAUUCAGGCUCGCAUCCACCUGAAUAUCCUCUAAUGGAACCACUGCCGACUCAUCGGCUAUGCACUUCCUCAAUUGCGACACAUGAAAAGUGUCGUGGAUCUGUCCCAACUCCGCUGGCAACUCCAACCGAUAGGCUACCCGGCCUAUCCUUGCAAUCACACGAAAUGGCCCAAUAUACCGGGGCCCCAACUUGCCCCUCUUCCUGAAUCGAAUCACUCCUUUCCAAGGAGAGACCUUCAGGAGAACGAAGUCGCCGACUUGAAACUCAAGCUCGGAUCGGCGCCUGUCUGCAUAACUCUUCUGUCGGCUCUGGGCGGUCAAUAACCUCUGUCUAACUUGCUGAAUCUGCUCUGUCGUCUGAAGCACGAUCUCCGUGCUGCCCAUCACUCUCUGUCCCACCUCUCCCCAGCAAAUGGGGGUCCGACACCUCCUACCAUACAACAGCUCAAAAGGUGGCAUACCAAUGCUCGAAUGAUGGCUGUUGUUGUAGGAAAACUCUGCUAAGGGUAAAUACGCAUCCCAGCUACCCCCGAAGUCUAACACACACGCUCGAAGCAUGUCCUCCAGCGUCUGAAUCGUCCGCUCGCUCUGACCGUCUGUCUGGGGAUGGUAUGCGGUACUAAAAUGCAAUUUAGUACCCAGCUCCUCAUGGAAUUUCUUCCAGAACCUGGAAGUGAAGCGCACAUCACGGUCUGAAACAAUCGAGAUCGGCACUCCAUGCCGAGAUACCACUUCUCUCACAUAUAUCUCCGCCAACUUCUCCGCUGAAGAACUCUCGCUGAUGGCAAGGAAGUGUGCACUCUUCGUCAACCUAUCCACAAUCACCCAAAUUGCAUCAACUCCCCUGGCAGUCCUCGGCAAUUUGGUGAUGAAAUCCAUAGUGAUCUGUUCCCACUUCCACUCGGGGAUCUCCAAUGGCUGUAACUUGCCAUGCGGUCUCUGGUGCUCGGCCUUAACCCUACGACAGGUCAAGCACCUCUCAACGAACCAUGCAACGUCCCUCUUCAUACAGGGCCACCAAUACUCUUUCCUCAAGUCCAAAUACAUCUUCGUAGCACCGGGAUGGAUCGAGAAUUUCGAUCUAUGAGCCUCUUCCAUCAAAGUAAUACGCGUACCGCCCACAAACGGUACCCAAAUCCGACCCUGAAACGUCAUAAGCCCUCGCCCAUCCUUAACGAACUCUGAAAUUAACCCCACAACCCGCUCUUUCUUCUGCAUUUCUGGUCGCACAGCUUCGGCCUGCGCCCCACGAAUAGCAUCCAAUACUGGAGUCAUCACAGUCAGUCUCAAGCAUACAUCUCGCAAUGGAGUGCUCUCCGCCCUGCGGCUCAACGCGUCGGCUACCACAUUAGCCUUACCUGGGUGGUACAGGAUCUCACAAUCAUAAUCCUUGACCACAUCCAACCACCUCCUCUGACGCAUAUUUAGGUUGGGCUGAUCCAUCAAAUACUUCAAGCUCUUAUGGUCCGUAUAUAUCGUACAUCGAACCCCAUACAGGUAGUGACGCCAAAUCUUGAGAGCGAACACUACUGUCCCCAACUCUAAAUCAUGCGUGGGAUAUCUCGCCUCAUGAGGCUUCAGCUGCCUCGACGCAUACGCUAUCACAUGACCCCUCUGCAUCAACACUGCACCCAGUCCCGAAAUCGAUGUGUCGCAAUAUACCACAAAAUCCUCCAUCCCUUCUGGGAGAGCUAAUACUGGGGCUUCGCACAACCUCUGGCGAAGUGUCUCAAAGGAGGUCUGCUGCUCGGGCCCCCAUGAGAAUGCAACACCCUUCCGAGUCAAUCUGGUGAGUGGCACUGCAAUCUUGGAGAAAUCCUUAAUGAACUUAUUUAUUGUGGGUUGAAAACCCUAUGUACUCACCAUGUUUCCCAACCUGACCCACUCAGUUCAUUUAUAUCAUAGGUGUUGAUAUGAAGUCACAUUACACUGAGAGAUUAAGGAGAUAUAAAUCACUAGUGAUAAUGAAUGUAAGUUCUCUUUAUGCUUAUGUUUCUGUAUUGACGAUGACAUCCCAAAUGUUUUAAAAUGAAAAAAAAAAUACUUUUCUUCGAAAAUGCUUUGAUAAUGUAUUUAUCAUGUUUUAUUGGGAACAAAUUCCGCAACAUUUUUAUUAAAAGAGGUACUUUGAUUUUUAUAAAGCAUAAACAAAAUCGGUCUUUUCUGGCCGUGAAAAUGGGAAUGUCACAUAUUAUGUUACUUGCUAAUGAAAAAUAUUACUUCCCAGAAAAAAAAAUUCAACUAGUUAAAAGAGUUUAUUGAACACAUAUUAAAAUCAAUUUCUAAUAAAUAAUUAGUUGUAUGAAGUUGUUGUUAGUGUGACCCACCGAAUCAUAUGUUAAUUGGUAAUAUCACUUUAAUAUGACUAUUGAGCAUACAAUAUCUUUCAAUAUUCGAUGAUGUUUAUUUGUGGAAACCUUCUUUGAAUGAGAUUCAAAAACUAUAUGUGGCAUACGAAUAUAGAAGUGCUUUUCCUAGUGUGCUGGGAAGUAUUGAUUACACAUACUGAGAUUAGAGAACUUGUCCCUAAGGGUGGAGAGGGGAAUUUUUGCGCGUUAUGAUGAAGGAAGACCCUUGUUGAUAUUAGAGGUUGUUGCUUCUCAAGAUUUGUGGUUUUGGCAUGCUUAUUUCGGGGGUUACUGGUUCACACAACAACGUCAACUUUCUUGAUUAUUCAUCAAUAUUCAAUGAUAUUUUGUCAAAAAAAUACACUGAAGGCUCCUUAUACAAUGAAUGGAAAUGAAUAUUNNNNNNNNNNNNNNNNNNNNNNNNNNNNNNNNNNNNNNNNNNNNNNNNNNNNNNNNNNNNNNNNNNNNNNNNNNNNNNNNNNNNNNNNNNNNNNNNNNNNNNNNNNNNNNNNNNNNNNNNNNNNNNNNNNNNNNNNNNNNNNNNNNNNNNNNNNNNNNNNNNNNNNNNNNNNNNNNNNNNNNNNNNNNNNNNNNNNNNNNNNNNNNNNNNNNNNNNNNNNNNNNNNNNNNNNNNNNNNNNNNNNNNNNNNNNNNNNNNNNNNNNNNNNNNNNNNNNNNNNNNNNNNNNNNNNNNNNNNNNNNNNNNNNNNNNNNNNNNNNNNNNNNNNNNNNNNNNNNNNNNNNNNNNNNNNNNNNNNNNNNNNNNNNNNNNNNNNNNNNNNNNNNNNNNNNNNNNNNNNNNNNNNNNNNNNNNNNNNNNNNNNNNNNNNNNNNNNNNNNNNNNNNNNNNNNNNNNNNNNNNNNNNNNNNNNNNNNNNNNNNNNNNNNNNNNNNNNNNNNNNNNNNNNNNNNNNNNNNNNNNNNNNNNNNNNNNNNNNNNNNNNNNNNNNNNNNNNNNNNNNNNNNNNNNNNNNNNNNNNNNNNNNNNNNNNNNNNNNNNNNNNNNNNNNNNNNNNNNNNNNNNNNNNNNNNNNNNNNNNNNNNNNNNNNNNNNNNNNNNNNNNNNNNNNNNNNNNNNNNNNNNNNNNNNNNNNNNNNNNNNNNNNNNNNNNNNNNNNNNNNNNNNNNNNNNNNNNNNNNNNNNNNNNNNNNNNNNNNNNNNNNNNNNNNNNNNNUAUAUAUAUAUAUAUAUAACUUUACCACUCUAUAAAUACCAACACUCGACAUUUCUCACACAAAUUUCUAUAUUUGCUCUCAAAAACUCAUUGAACCACAAUAUCAUCAUCGUCAUCUAGUUCAUCGAAUUCGAUGAAGUUAGAAGAUUUAACAUUUAUCGAUUCCGUCAUUGCAAAACCAAUCGCGUAUUUACAAAACAAGGACGCUCAAAGUUCAAGUUUUUGAACGAAAAUAACACCUUUGAAGAGAAAUUGCAAAGCCAGGCACAAUUCAUCUUAUAUAAGACUAUUUUGUGGAUGACGCCGUGUAUACUAAAAAGUUUCGAGGAUGGUUCCAAAUGAUGAAAGAGUUAUUUCUAAGCAUUGUUGGUGACUAGAAGGGUCAAUUUCCAUAUUUUUAGUUGAAACGGGAUGAGAGAGUUAGAAAAGGUUUUUCUCGAAAAAUACACAGUUGCAACUUUUCAGUUAGCAUGUGACAACCCGAAAUUUCUAUUCUGUACAAACAUAUCAAGUCAAAAGAAGUCAGAUCAGUUGCUGUCAAUUUUCAGACUUUUUAGAGUAAGUUUGAGUAUUUCAGGAUUUCACACUUUAGUAAUAACAAGAGAGAGGAUGCACUAGGGUUAUUGUGCAAUGCAGUUAUUCCAAAACUCUAAGAAAUUAGAGUUUACUGCUUGAAUAAAAUAUUUUCUGACAAAAACCCUAAAUCGGAGAGUAUAUAUAGAAGAUCUAGUCGUUAUUUUCACUUUUUCCAAAACUUCUCAAGAUCCAAAACCAUUCUCUCUCAAGUAUCAUCCAAAAAGAUUUUCAAGAUCUUCAAUCUAGUAAGUUUUUCUAGCUUCCUUAAGUGAUUAUAUGCUUAGAUCUAGUGUUUUAAAACACUUCUAACCAUGAAAUCAUUCAAAAAAGGUUGAUUCUUCCUUUUCACCAAGAACACCAAGAACACAUACUAGUGUUCUUGGACUUUUAGCUAUUUUCAAGCUUCCACAAUGUAAGUACUUCUAUCCUAAAGUCUUUUAAAGCUUUGUAUACAUCUUUACAUCAAGGAAAUCACCCAAGAACAUCAAGAACUAAGUGUUCACAGUUCAAGAAGUUCUUGAACCGUAAACACCAAGUUAAGGUGCCUUAGGGUGCUUUAGUCCAUCACAAGCCUUUGUAACAAGUCUAGAUCCUUCCUUGAUGUAUUUAUCACAUAAAAAGCACAAGAAAACACCCAUUUUUAUGUGUUUACGGUUUGGGGAUCUCCCAACACCGUAAACACCUCAAAAGGUGUAUAAAUGUCCCAUGUUUACUCCUUAUGCCUAGAACCUAACCUAGGCUAUUACCUUGAAGUGUUUAGGACUUGAAAACAUCAAAAUACCUAAGUCCGUGAGAGUUUACAGUAGUAAACUCAUGGAGAAAUGGUCCAUAGACCGUAAACUCCAUUUAGGAGUGUUUUGAUGCCACACAACACUUCCUAAGGCUUAAACAUGAAGUAGGAAUGCUUGGAUUGGCUUGGAAAGCUUCAAACAACAAAUGGUCACAAAGGGGGUGAGCUUACGACCGUAAACCCAAGGGUUUACGAGCGUAAACCCUUUUGCUAGUGACCACAAAACUGUAAACUCUCUAAUGGAGUGUUCCUUGAACCCCAAACACACUAGCCUUUCCUAACAACACUUAGAUGCACUCCUUGGGACCUAUAACACUUAUAUAAGGUGUUUUUCAUAUCCUAGGAUGUCGCGAAUUUGUUUAUUAGUUGUUUAAAGACUAAUUGGAUACAUAUACGUGAUAUUAUAUGUUAACUAGGAUCAUAUAGUGUGUUCAAGACUUCACUUGACACCUAGCAGUCCUACAUCUUCAGUUCAUCCGUACCACUCACUACAGGUGAGUUCAUACCCCUUAAUCAAUGUUUUAAAUGUUUUUAUGGGGGGGGAUACAAGUAGAAUCUUGCUAGUUAUUAUAUCAAUGACAUGUGAUUAAUAAGCAGCAUUCAAAUGAUUUACUACUCAUUAGCUGUUUUACCAAACAGUUUUCUUCAAAUAAUUUUCAUAAACGUUUUAUGUGUUUAAAACUCCUUAUUAAACUGUUCCUUAUACACUAUCUGUUUCAUUUCAAACUCAUUUACAACUGUGUUUCAAACAAAUGUUUCUUUAUACUUAAGCUGUUUUAUCAAACAAAUACUUCGAACCAUUUUAUAGGCUGACAUCAAGUCGACCUUUUCUUAGAUAGUAAUCAUGUUCAAAGGUUUUACAAAACUUAUUUUUAUGCUUUUAUAUUGUCAAUUGCAUGCCUAUGUGUGUAUAGUUAUAUAAGAAAUGUUUAAAGGACUUAGGAAGGCUACCCGCUCUAUUUCCUUUUCACCGUUGGGAUGUGGUCUGGUGGGUAGCAGCUAUCCGUCCGAAGGUUGUUUAAAUAUUAGUUAUGUAUCAUGUGUACAUAUAUAGUCAUAAAGGUUCUUCCAGUCAGUUCAAUACCCUUGGGUAGCAAUGGUAUACUUGCAUGUUCAUACGUACCAGUUAUAUAACUAGUAAGCUACCAUAUGGGUAGUUUAGGAAGAUACUAAUACGUUUACUAGAAUGCAGAAAUCAUACCACGAGACAGUUCAUUCAUGAGUCUAUACAUGCUAGAUUGAGAGAGAACACACAUUACAGCUAGUACACACAAUACAUUACUAUACGUUCUAGAUAGAGAGAGAACAGACAUUACAGCUAGUACACACAGUACAUUACUAUACAUGCUAGAUAGAGAGAGAACACACAUUACAGCUAGCACACGCAGAACGUUACAGUACACCACUAUACUAUUACAUGAUUACGUCUAAAUGAUUACAUUUAGAUGAUUACGCUUACAUGAGUACGUUUACAUAGAUACGUUUACAUGAGUGCGUUUCCAUAUACGAUAAUAGGACAGACAUCACUAGGUGCUAUAGCAUGGAACGAUUAUAGGAUCUAACUAUACCAAUGAAUCACAACGCAUUGUGAUAGUUAUAUUGGGUAUACAUGAUCAUAGUAAUUGGAUGUUCAUGGCUUGCAAACAUGUAGGGGUCGUGUAUGGGUCCCAAAAUCUCUUUGACAGGGGAGCGUCUAGCCUGGGAUCUAGCCAUCACAUUAUGCCUUAUCCCUCAAAUAAGGAAAAAUAGUAUAGAAGUAGUCACUUAUUACAAAUACUACAGUACUUAUGAAAUUACCAUAGAAUUAAGGUAGUUAGUACGGUUGUAGUUAUUUGUUACUACACCAUAGUACUAUUUCACUUUCCCAUUACAUUCACUUCGUGAACAUUCACAUGAUGCACGGAAAUGUAGAACCUAUAUUUUUUAUUAAUGAUAGUCAGAUUUGGGAAAAUACACACUCUUACAGGAGACACACACAGAUACUAGAUGCCUUGGUAGAAGGCUACUCUCAGUAGGAAGCAUAGGGCUUUCUAGGAUGUUCAAAACGUUUUCAUACAAAUACUUACAGUUCAUAUACAUACAAAUAAUUACAUACAAAUUAAGACACUAAAAUACUUAUGAUCUCACCAGCUUUAAAGCUGAUACUCCCUUUCAAAAUAACUUGUAUCCUCAGGUCAACAGUAGACAGGUACCGAUGCAAGGUUUAGAGAAGAUGGUGCUCGUUCAAGACGCAUCUUUUAUUUUGAUUUAUACUUUAGUGUUUAUCAUAAUUUGACAGAACACACUUGUAUUAAAAUUAUAUUAUUAAUUCAGUGGAUGAUGUUGUUGCAUGUUUACUACUUUUCAUUUUUGUGAUACUAUACAUUACGUCCUCCUCCCCAGAACGUUUCCGCCGUUCAUGGUUUUGGGGUGUGACAGAUUGGUAUCAGAGCAUUGUUUAUAGUGAAUUAAGUAUAUCGAACCAUAAAAGAUAUACAGACUAUAAAUACAAUGGGAUUAAUACACUCUGACCAAGAGUUAUACUUUAAAUAAUAAAAUAUUUAAUUAAGUAUACGUGCCUGCAUUCAUACUAAAAUCAGUGUCACUAAGACAGUACAAAAGAAUUAUGAUUGUUGGGCAACACAGGUGGACUUAGAGACAUAUAGUCAAAACUGGGAAGAUAUAGCCUGAUCAACUAUAUUAUCCGAGGUUUGACUAGCAUGUGCCUAAGUGUAGUUGUGAGGUUGCAACAAGUCUAAAAUCUUACCAACAACACCACAAUGAGAACAACAGAACAUAAACCUAAAAUACUAUAGGGGUAUUUGGUGUUACUAUAGGUACUUUAUACUUGAGAAUUAAAAAGGAUCUUCAUUACUAAGUUGAUAAUUGCUAAGUGGAUACACUAAGGCUAUAUGUAACUAGGAUGUUAUAGACUUAGAAUCUAUGAAAAAUUUUGCUUUACCCCUAUUCUUCGUGAAUUUGGAGUUAAGGUCACUUAUUCGAAGGCCUAUCCUGUUUCGAUUACAUAUAACUGGUAUGCACUUCACAAAUAGUGAUGUAACUAAUGAAGAUUUUCUAAAUAAAUUAUCUAGAUAGUUCGUCUAAUAAUUUUUUCUUACCCCAAUUCUCGCAUAGAUAACAUGGCUAGACUCCAUCCCCACAUCAAUCCGUACCUUCCGAACGAAGUCAUUGCUGGAUGGUUUGGAGAAGAACCAGAGAAUGAUCAUCCUAUCCCUCUAAAUGAUCGCCAUGAUGAAGACCUUUUGGAUGGUGCUAACUCCGAGCCCGAGGUUGAGAACCUACCCCCGGCAGCUCCCUUUCCAAAUCCUAACCCUCGUCUGGCUUUUCAUAGCCCGGCGCCUCCAUGGGUGGAAUGCUUGGAAACAUGGAGCCAAGGUCAAGAUCAACCCAUGCCACUUAAUGGUGACUGAAGCUUUUAUGACCUGAGCAAUGGGGGCUCAGCAAACAGAAUCUUGCCAAUCCUCCUCCGCAGAGUGGCCCGAAAUGAGAUUCAAGGCAGGACAGCCCUACAUCAGAUCACAAAAGUUGUCACCAAUGCGAGAAUGCAUACCCUCCGCACCAUUCGCCUAGAAGAUGCUCGUGAGAGAUCUGAGAGAGACCAUGAAACCCUACUGUAAGCACUGGCUGAAUCACGAGUCGAAGUCAUAGAACUCCGAGUACGCCAGAGGGUGUACGAAAGACACCUGCUUGAUGUGGAACGCCAACUGGCUGAACUGAGAGUUCACCAUAGGGAUGACCGUCGCCAAUAGUAGAUGCCUUACUUUAAUUUCCUUGUUAAAAGGAAUCGUUUUCUAUCUAUGCCCGAUGUGGCAUUUUCUAUGAAACUAUCUUGUACUGUAAGUACUUUAGUUAGGCCUUUAUGCUGUCAAGGACUAUCUACUCUAGAUAUGAUGUAAGACCUGUUACAAUGUCAUUUUCCCGAACUUGUACAUCAUGAAUAUCAAAGAUAUUGACAGUCGGCUAACUUAUGUGUCAUUCUUUAUUCAAUUACUCUCAUCAUGCCAUCAUGGGAGUCUAUUUGAAACCCACUCUAGUUGAGUUAUUAAACUAGGGUAUUCUAGGUCAGGGAUAAUUCCCAAUUCUUCUUCAAGGGUUGGAUCAUGUUAUUUACCAGUUGAUGGUACCCUGUUUAGAUGUCAAGCGUCAUAAGAUCAUACUACGAACUUACUUCCACUCAUUACUAGGACUGCAUCAUAGGGAUGUAGGUCAAACAUUCGCGAACAUACUUCCAAUCCGUACUAGGACUGCAUCAUAGGGAUGUAGGUCAAACUUUCGAGAACAUACUCUUACUCUUUACUUGAAUAAUCGAAGUACAUCUAGGGUCAACCAAAAUCGCUCACAAAAUCCUUAUCUUUCGUAUUACAGAAUCAUGUCUUCAUCCGGAAACAGCUAGCCGAACAACGAAACAUCUGUUUUUCCUAUGGACACCGCUACUUUCCAAGCCGCAGUUACAGCUUCCGUGAUGGCUGUCGUGACAGCAGUCCUUGCAAACCGUAACGCUAUCAACGCAAGCAAUACCGACGAUAGGGUUAAAAAUCCCGAUCGUAGUAUCAAUCCAGGAAGCCAACAAACGAUAAUAGUUGCAGGCUCGCAAAGCCAUAACUCAGAAUUCAAGAAACGGAAGCGUCAAGCCCAAAAGGGACGCAAGCAAUAUAAGGGAACGCUUCCAAAGUGUAGCAAGUGUAGCUAUCAUCAUAAUGGAGCCUGUCGGGUAUUGCAAUGUAUCAAUUGCAACAGACUGGGGCACAUUGCCCGUUUCUGUGGAACCACCGCCACUAGAGCUAGACAGGGUUGCUAUUAUUGUGGUGAGAUUCGGCACUACAAAAGAAAUUGCCCGAAAAGGGAGAUCAAGGAAAGAACCCGCAUCCCCUUAACUCCUACUCGACACUUCACUUCCACUACCAAUGUUGGUGCUGUCCAGAUAUGUCACCAAUACGGGGAAAUUGGGCACCUCAAUAAGGAUUGUCCAAUAGCAAAGAACUCAGGCGCUGAUGGGAAGAUUCUCAGGAUCACAGCUGCAGGAGAAACUACGUCGGACCCUCGUUAGAGUAUCUAAGGCGUUCAUUAUAACAGACUUAUAAACCGUUUUAAUUUAGUGCGACUCGAGUGUUACCUUUUGAGGGAUCCCGUCAGUUAAGGGACCCAUGUGCUGCGUAUACUUGUCUUUUGUAGUAUACCUUGUUCACAGCAAUAGUCUUAUAGUAAGUCUAAGGUACUGUAACUCUGUUGAUGGUUGCACGGUUGUGUUUUGUCUGUAACGCCUUAUGUUCAAAUCUAAUGUCUUUAAUUUUCCUUAUGAUUCCGACAUUAUCAUACAACUAGAUUCAAUUUGAUCCACACAAAACCAGCUUCAUACGUACAUAUCUUUCUUCGAAAUCGCCUUCCAGCGAAGCCGUCAUAUCAGAACACCGAAGUACUCAUGCAUGGAGUACCCCAUAGUUCUUUUCCCUCCGAAGAAAUCCCGAAGUACCACUCGUACAAUACGUCAAGUUCAAUCUAAAGAUCCAUACGGUUGAUCUGUCGCUGAGGAAUGUAUACAUAGGGGUGAUAUAUAAUCAAGGUUCUAUAGGUUUAGAAUUGAUGAUUCCACAUUAACUUCUUUCCUCGUUGGGAAGUGAGCUUAAAGAAGAAUCAGUUAUUCAACUACCUUUUCAAUCUUAAUUAUAUACGACUCGUAUACACGGGACUGCAAUUGAUGAACCAUGUAUGACGUCUAAUAUGAACUUAAGGACGGAAACUGCCUAAGACUACGAGUAAUCGCAUCGUCAUGUGAACAAACUUAGAACCCAGUAUGACUUCCGUAAAUAGAUUUCCAUAUGGUCUAACACCCAUGGAGAUACAAGAACAAUCCAGACAACUUAGUGAACUACUCAGAAAUAGAAUUGGAAGAGUAGGCUUCUCACCCUGGAGAGCUCCGGUCUUAUUCUUCCAGAGGUAGACAAAUUGCAUCAUAUGUACCUCAGCUAUCGGGGACUCGUCAAUAUUUCAAUUAGAAAUCAUUAUCACUGCCUCACAUGAAUGUGUGGGCUAAGCAAACGCAAGGAACGAUUUACCUUUCAGGAAUGGACCGAGAUCCGAAUAUCAGAAGUUUCGAGUGUUAGGGAAGGAUGUCCCAAAGACUACCUUCCGAACUCGAUGCGGACACUUCGAGUUCGUAGUGAUACCCCUCGGAUAGGACCAAUAUGCCCAUAGCAUUCAUGAGCUUAUUGGGUAGGGUAUCCCAUUAUUACUUGGAUCAGUUCGGCAUUCUCCUUGUAAUGACUUACUUAUCUACCCUCGUAGUAAGAAGGAUCUCAUGGAAACAUUGACCUCGGAGGAACUUUUCGCAAAGUUCUCUGAACACGAGUUUAGAAUUGAAGAGUCAUAUUCCUAAGACACACUAUUAGUGAUGUGGGAAUUCUUGAGCACUCUUUCAAUUUCUCAAAACCGUUGAGAAUUUUUCGACACUGAAGACGCCGACAGAAAUUCGCCAAAUCCUAGGUCUUGCAGACCUACUAUCGUAGUCCAUCCAGAACUCCUCACCAAUUACCGAAAACCUCUUAUGAAUUUGACUCGGAAGGGAGUGGCCCUCGACUGAGAAGACAAGCAAGAGGAAGAAGACCUUGGAAUUUCAAGUGAGAUGCCAAAUCCUUUUGGAAAUCUCACUCUGGGAAUGGCUUAAUACACUUCGAAACACGUGGAAAGCUAAAUCCAAGAUAGUCGGGACCUCCGAGAUUCUUACCGGAAUUAGUUCUGUACCUCAUAGACUAGACCUACUCUGCGAGCUUAGUAACGUACAUUUUACCCUUCGCGUCUCGAUCUUGAAACCGUACCUUUCCGUUAGGACUUUCGUAAUUCCACUCGACAAGAUCGAGAUUAACGAGAUCCUCGCUUACUUAGAAGAACUAUAGUAACCAAGGACCGAGAAGUCGUGCAAACGAUUCAUAGUCGUUUCCCUUGUAGUGAAGGUUCACUGAAAUGCCAACCAGGGACCCGAAUUCACUUGGGAGCAUGAAAAUCGAUCGAUUAGGAAGUAUCCCCACUUCUUGGCUUGAUAAUUCAUGCCCACUUCCUUACCUAAAUUCUAAUUUCGGGACGAAAUUCCUUCUAACGGGGGGAUGAUGUGACAACCCGAAAUUUCUAUUAUGUACAAACAUAUCAAGUCAAUAGAAUUCAGAUCAGUUGCUGUCAAUUUUCAGACUUUUUAGAGUAAGUUUGAGUAUUUCAGGAUUUCACACUUUAGUGAUAACAGGAGAGAGGAUGCACUAGGGUUAUUGUGCAAUGCAGUUAUUCCAAAACUCUAAGAAAUUAGAGUUUACUGCUUGAAUAAAAUAUUUUCUGCCAAAAACCCUAAAUCUGAGAGUAUAUAUAGAAGAUCUAGUCAUUAUUUUCACUUUUUCCAAAACUUCUCAAGAUCCAAAACCAUUCUCUCUCAAGUAUCAUCCAAAAAGAUUUUCAAGAUCUUCAAUCUAGUAAGUGUUUUUAGCUUCCUUAAGUGAUUAUAUGCUUAGAUCUAGUGUUUUAAAACACUUCCAACCGUGAAAUCAUUCCAAAAAGGUUGAUUCUUCCUUUUCACCAAGAACACCAAGAACACACACUAGCGUUCUUGGACUUUUAGCUCAUUUCAAGGUUCCACAAAGUAAGUACUUCUAUCCUAGAGUCUUUUAAAGCUUGCUAUACAUCUUUACAUCAAGUAAAUCACCCAAGAACAUCAAGAACUAAGUGUUCACGGUUCAAGAAGUUCUUGAAUCGUAAACACCAAGUUAAGGUGCCUUAGGGUGCUUUAGUCCAUCACAAGCCUUUGUAACAAGUCUAGAUCCUUCCUUGAUGUAUUUGUCACAUAAAAAUCACAAGAAAACACCCAUUUUUAUGUGUUUACGGUUUGGGGAUCUCCCAAAAUCGUAAACACCUCAAAAGGUGUAUAAAUGUCCCAUAUUUACUCCUUAUGCCUAGAACCUAACCUAGGCUAUUACCUUGAAGUGUUUAGGACUUGAAAACAUCAAAAUACCUAAUUCCAUGAGACUUUACGGUAGUAAACUCAUGGAUAAAUGGUCCAUAGACCGUAAACUCCAUUUAGGAGUGUUUUGAUGCCACACAACACUUCCUAAGGCUUAAACAUGAAGUAGGAAUGCUUGGAUUGGCUUGGAAAGCUUCAAACAACAAAUGGUCACAAAGCAGGUGAGCUUACGACCGUAAACCCUUUUGCUAGUGACCACAAAACCGUAAACUCCCUAAUGGAGUGUUCCUUGAACCCCAAACACACUAGCCUUUCCCUACAGCACUUAGAUGCACUCCUUGGGACCUAUAACACUUAUAUAAGGUUUAGGAAUGCUUGGAUUGGCUUGGAAAGCUUCAAACAACAAAUGGUCACAAAGCAGGUGAGCUUACGACCGUAAACCCUUUUGCUAGUGACCACAAAACCGUAAACUCCCUAAUGGAGUGUUCCUUGAACCCCAAACACACUAGCCUUUCCCUACAGCACUUAGAUGCACUCCUUGGGACCUAUAACACUUAUAUAAGGUUUUUAUCAUGUCCUAGGGUGUCUUGACUUUGUUUAUUAGUUGUUUAAAGACUAAUUGGAUACAUAUACAUGAUAUUAUAUGUUAACUAGGAUCAUAGAGUGUGUUCAAGACUUCACUUGACACCUAGCAGUCCUACAUCUUCAGUUCAUCCGUACCACUCACUACAGGUGAGCUCAUACCCCUUAAUCAAUGUUUUAAAUGUUUUUAAAUGCUUUUAUGGGGUGGGGGAUACAAGUAGAAUCAUGCUAGUUAUUAUAUCAAUCACAUGUGAUUAAUAAGCAGCAUUCAAAUGAUUUACUACUCAUUAGCUGUUUUACCAAACACUUUUCUUCAAAUAAUUUUCAUAAACGUUUUAUAUGUUUAAAACUCCUUAUUAAACUGUUCCUUAUCCAUUGUAUGUUUCAUUUCAAACUCAUUUACAAUUGUGUUUCAAACAAAUGUUUCUUUAUACUUAAGCUGUUUUAUCAAACCAAUAUUUCGACCCGUUUUAUAGGCUGACAUCAAGUCGACCUUUUCUUAGGUAGUAAUCAUGUUCAAAGGUUUUACAAAACUUAUUUUUAUGCUUUUAUAUUGUCAAUUGCAUGCCUAUGUGUGUAUAGUUAUAUAAGAAAUGUUUAAAGGACUUAGGAAGGCUACCCGCUCUAUUUCCUUUUCACCAUUGGGAUGUGGGCUGGUGGGUAUCAGAUUUCCGUCCGAAGGUCGUUUAAAUAUUAGUUAUGUAUCAUGUGUACAUAUAUAGUCAUAAAGGUUCUUCCAGUCAGUUCAAUACCCUUAGGUAGCAAUGGUAUACUUCUAUGUUCAUACGUACCAGUUAUAUUACUAGUAAGCUACCAUAUGGGUAGUUUAGGAAGAUACUAAUACGUUUACUAGAAUGCAGAAAUCAUACCACGAGUCAGUUCAUUCAUGAGUCUAUACAUGCUAGAUAGAGAGAGAACACACAUUACAGCUAGUACACACAGUACAUUACUAUACAUGCUAAAUAGAGAGAGAACACACAUUACAGCUAGUACACACAAUACAUUACUAUACAUGCUAAAUAGAGAGUGAACACACGUUACAGCUAGCACACGCAGAACCUUACAGUACACCACUAUACUAUUACAUGAUUACGUUUAGAUGAUUACGAUGAGUACGUNAUGAUUACGCUUACAUGAGUACGUUUACAUAGAUACGUUUACAUGAGUGCGUUUACAUAUACGAUAAUAGGACAGACAUCACUAGGUGCUAUAGCAUGGAACGAUUUCAGGAUCUAACUAUACCAAUGAAUCACAACGCAUUGUGAUAGUUAUAUUGGGUAUACAUGAUCAUAGUAAUGUGGAUGUUCAUGGCUUGCAAACAUGUAGUGGUGAUGUAUGGGUCCCAAAAUCUCUUUGACAGGGGAGCGUCUAGCCUGGGAUCUAGCCAUCACAUUAUGCCUUAUCCCUCAAAUAAGGCAAAAUAGUAUAGAAGUAGUCACUUAUUACAAAUACUACAGUACUUACGAAAUUACCAUAGAAUUAAGGUAGUUAGUACGGUUGUAGUUAUUUGUUACUACACCAUAGUACUAUUUCACUUUCCCAUUACAUUCACUUCGUGAACAUUCACGCGAUGCACGGAAAUGUAGAAGCUAUAUUUUUUGUUAAUGAUAGUCAGAUUUGGGAAAAUACACACUCUUACAGGAGACACACACAGAUACUAGAUGCCUUGGUAGAAGGCUACUCUCAGUAGGAAGCAUAGGGCUUUCUAGGAUGUUCAAAACGUUUUCAUACAAAUACUUACAGUUCAUAUACAUACAAAUUAAGACACUAAAAUACUUAUGAUCUCACCAGCUUUAAAGCUGAUACUCCCUUUCAAAAUAACGUGUAUCCUCAGGUCAACAGUAGACAGGUACCGAUGCAAGGUUUAGAGAAGAUGGUGCUCGUUCAAGACGCAUCUUUUAUUUUGAUUUAUACUUUAGUGUUUAUCAUAAUUUGACAGAACACACUUGUAUUAAAAUUAUAUUAUUAAUGCAAUGGAUGAUGUUGUUGCUUGUUUACUACUUUUCAUUGUUGUGAUACUGUACAUGACAUCCUCCACCCCAGAACGUUUCCGCCGUUUAUGGUUUUGGGGUGUGACAUAGCAUAUGACACGGGAAUAGAGAAAUGAGAUGAGUAUUUAAGAAUGUCUGAACGUACCAUACAAGAAAAUGUGUAAAAGUUCGCUAAAGCUAUUAUUUUGGUUAUGGCAAAUGAUAUUUUGCGCAAAUAAGUAUUUGUUCCUAAGAAUUCCAGGUAGUAUCUAUUGCAUGCAUUAGUCUUGGACAUUGUGCCCUAACACAUGGUGUGGUCAACACAAGUGGGGUGAUCAUAAAGAGUUGUCGAUUAUUCUAGAAACAAUCACGUCUCAUGAUUUGUUUGCAUGCCAUGCAUUCUUUAGUGUACUUAAGAGACAUUCGCAAGUAUUGCAAGACGGGGCACGAUCAUAUAAAGUUACAAGGUUGCAAAAACAUACUGUGCUGCGUCAUAUUACAUAAUAUGAUUUUAGAAGAUGAUGGAAAAAAGAUACGUCUGUACGAUGAAAACCAAAUUUUGCCAACCGUCGAAGGAGUGGUUGUUGAUAUGCAAGAUUAUAGGGUAAACAGAAGAAAAGUAAAUGAUCACAACAUCAAUCACUCAUUUCGCGUGGAUUUGGUGGAAUAUAUUUACCUGGCUAAUAGACAACAAGUGGUCGAUGAUUAACAUAAUGAUUUGUUUGAUGAAUCAAUUGAAUAUUCGGAUAUGUUCAUUGAGGGUUGGGACGGCCAAUCAAUGUGAUAUAUUAUGUAAUUUUUAAUUAUGUUUUCAUGGUUUUAUUAUGUAAUUUCUUUUAACUAAUGAAAUAUUUUUAUCUUAUUAACUCUUGUGUUUAUUAAUCAAUUUUUUAAUUAAUUAUAUUUAUUUUUUAAAUUAUAGGUUUUAAAAUUAUUAUUUUUUUGUGAAAAAAUAGUGAAAAAGAGAAAUGGAUUAUUUUCUUAGUUUUAAAAAGUAUAAAAUAAAUAAAUAAAUUGCCAGUAAAAUGACAUGUCAUAGUAAAAUGUAAAAAAAUAGUGCAUUAAGUGUAAGACCCAUAUAUUAUAUUGAUUUAUUUAAAAUAAAAAACAAAUAAGAAGUUCUAUAUAUUUGAGAGAGACUUUAAUUUUAAAGAAAAAUAAAAAAAAUAUUGAAUUUUUAAACUUAAUGUGUUUUUUUUCUCUUAUAAAUUUAUAUAUAUAAUUUAGAUAAAUAAACAAAAUAAACAAGCCUUUAAUUUAAAAUUUUAAAAUUAAAAAGAAAAUUUAUUAAUAAAAUAGAUAUGCAUUUAUUAUUACAUUUAUUAUAAUUAUUAUAUUUAAAUAUUAUAUGAGAUUUAAUAAAAUCGAAAAAAAUCAUAAAAUAAUAUAUAAAAUAAAAAUUAAUUUUAAAUAACUGUAAAAUGAUAUAUAACAAAAUAGAUAAAAAUAAUUGAUGGAACCUAUUUUUUAUAUUGUUUUGUAAUCUACGGUGGUUAGCCUUUUUUCUUUAUUAUUAUUAUUAUUCAAAUCUCAUUGCUGUUGACAAAAAAGGCCAGAUUAAGCAUGUGCUGAUCAAAUAAUACUAUUUACCAGCUUUUUAGAACUCAAAGUCCACCCUGUUUCAGGUUUUUUGUCCAUUAGGAAAACAACAAAUAGUUAAAAAAGAAAGUCCGGAAAUGCGACAUAGAAUCAAGACUUUGUGAAAUCUUUGUGGGCUUUUAACAAAAUCUCUUCGGAAUGCAUUUCCCUGCAACAGCUUUCUCUCUCUUCACUUCCUCUUCAUCCUCCACCAUUGACACUGUUGUCUUGGAUAUCCUGACACCAAAUUACAGAUCUGAUAAUUAACGUGAUUAUCCCUAAACAUAUCGAAGAUUUUUCACAAAACAUGCGUCACAAACCUUUCCUCUUUGUAAGAUGAUGAUUUGCUCAACAUGGGUUCCACUUGAACUCUGUCUUCUGUCGUCAUCGUCUCCACAAUGCUCCCACUGAAAUACUCCCUCUCCUCCGCCUGCAAAUUCCCAAACCGUGGAUUCUCCGACAUGCAGCAUAUCUCGUCUUCCUCACCUACACCCACUGCCACCGCCACCGCCGCCUUACACAGAACAUCUUUAUGUAAACUGCUAGAGCUACAGCUGCUCUUUCUAGCCGCUGUGUUGGGUGGUGGUGGUUGUUGAUGAUGAUGAUGAUGAUGAUGAUCAGCUGUUUUUCCUUUAAACCCCAUCGAGCCACCGCAUGCCAUUAAGUGAAGAAGCACCGAGUUACGACUCAGUGGUGGGUAAGGAUCGCCGUCCUCAAACCGCUUGGAUGGAGAUGGAGGUGAUGGUGUGGUGACGAUGGUGGGUUUUGGAAGGAUAUCCCUUGAACAUCUUGAAGGAGUGGUUGUGUAGUUUAUUCUCUUUUCUUCAAAAUCUAAUUCCUCUUCGUUGAAUUCGGUGUGUCGUUUCGGUGUUAUCUGGCUGCGUUUUGGGGCUGCCAUUUGCGAUUCGUGUUUAUCUAAGAAAAAACAUCGAAAGAUUUCAAUAGAAUUGAGUUUUAGUACAAAAAAGUAUGGAAUUUAACUAUCUUCAACACAAUAUAUUAUUUUUUUUUAUAAGAAAACAAGAUAUAUUGAUUACACAAAAUUUAAAUAAGUACCUAAAAUUUGGGAGCAUUUAGAAAUUAUAACGACACAUUAUACAAAGAUGUAAUAAGUUAGAAUUAAAGAAUGUAAUAACUAUUUCUAAUAUACUCAUAUUAGGAGUACAAACUAGUCAAGUUACUCAGCAUCAGCUCCUUAAAAACUCGUUUCGAAUCGAUUUUUAACGAGUUCGAGCCGACCUGAAGCUUAAUAUUAAGCUCAUUNNNNNNNNNNNNNNNNNNNNNNNNNNNNNNNNNNNNNNNNNNNNNNNNNNNNNNNNNNNNNNNNNNNNNNNNNNNNNNNNNNNNNNNNNNNNNNNNNNNNNNNNNNNNNNNNNNNNNNNNNNNNNNNNNNNNNNNNNNNNNNNNNNNNNNNNNNNNNNNNNNNNNNNNNNNNNNNNNNNNNNNNNNNNNNNNNNNNNNNNNNNNNNNNNNNNNNNNNNNNUAUAUAUAUAUAGGGAAUUAGGGAUUUAAGGUUAUAAACAAGCUUCUUAACGAUCUCAAAUCGAACUUAAGCUUAUUCAGGCACGUUAGACAAAACCGGUCGAGCUCGAGCCCAAACCGAGCUUGUAUAUUUCCUUACGAGUUCGAGCCGAACUCAGUACAAGAAAACUGGAAUCGAGCCGAGCUCGAGCCUCAUAUUAGUUAAACAUGCCCGAUCAGAGCUUGACCAGGUCUAGGCUCGGCUCGUAUGUAGCCCUAACUCAUAUCAAUGCAUCAGUUCAUAACUAAUUUCAUUUAAAUUAUGUUUUUAUUCCAAAUUAAAAAAAAAAAAAAAAAAAAUACACAAGUAUUAGAGCAUUGGAGUUUUUAUGUUUAAAUAUUUGAUGUAAUACAUAUAAAUUUGUUAGAUUCGUAAAAUCUAAUUUUAUCUGUUGUAUAAGUAAAUAAAACAAAAAUUUACAAAUCUUAAAAUUAACGGAUGAAUUUGUAAAUAUUUAUAUAUGCAUUACCUUAAAAAAAGAUACCGUUUCAUUGACGUUUACAUUUUACUAUUUACAACACUGAAAUAAUGUAUUUAAUAAGGAAAAUUUGUCAUGAAGACAAGUAUAAUACAGAAUUUAAUACAUGCAUGAAGAUGGUGUUAAUCCGAGACGUACAUAAAAAAAGCCUGUAUGUCUUUUAAGAAGCAAUACAGUGAAAAGCAAAAGUGAAUUUAAUUAGAAAAAGGACUAAGGAGUUGAAUGUCAUUCUCUUGCAUUUAUUUUCAUAUCUUUUUUUAUUAUUCUUUUAACCUGUAAAUCUCAUUUUGUCCUCGCUGCUUUUUUUUAACAAUUUUUUGAUGAACAAAAUAUUGAAAAGCCCUAACAAAUUUUCAACAAAUUAUCUAAAAACCCACUUUUAUUUUUUAAAAUGUUAAAUUGUAUUAUCUAAGACUUUAAUAACAGUAAAUCCUAGAUAGCCACAAAUAUUAGGUUAUCGCCUCUCUCGGUUUGAUGGAUAUUAUCUAUUUUACUACAAAACUUUUGAAAAUAUAGAGAUUUUAAUGGAUGCAUUAAAAAAAAUAAUACAGUGGUUCUUCUAUUGGUUCAAUGAAAAAAUAAGCUGUGUUUAUUUAAGGUCAAAAAACCUAAAAUCAGACUUACAUAAAAUAUAUAAAAUUUUAAUAUAUUAAAAAUAUAGUGGUUUUUCAAAAAGUAUAUUAAAAUCUAUACGAUUUUCUGAAUAUUUAACCAUUUUUAUGUGUUUCUCAAAAACCUAAUAUUCAAAAGAUAUUUUAAUUGACUUUGAAUAAUAAGAAUUAGCGAGUGAAACGAUAAAACAACUUAAUAUCAAUAGUUCAAUACUUUUACACAAUAAACUUCAUCUAUUUUCAAAUUUCAAUCUAUAAAAUAAAUUGUUUUUAGACNNNNNNNNNNNNNNNNNNNNNNNNNNNNNNNNNNNNNNNNNNNNNNNNNNNNNNNNNNNNNNNNNNNNNNNNNNNNNNNNNNNNNNNNNNNNNNNNNNNNNNNNNNNNNNNNNNNNNNNUAUAUAUAUAUAUAUAUAUGAAUUGCUAAAAAUAUAAAGCAUCAUUAUAGACAAACAUAAAUACAUACACAGAUAUCUAUAUUAAGAUAGAUGGUAGUUAUAAGAGUAUACUGUUGCACUUUCUCUCCUAUUUCAUCACAUAACCAUUUAUUUGUUAAAAAAGAAAGAGAAAUUGUAUUUAACCUGGCGAGUGGUGUACGAGUUGAGAAGCCUUGAGUACAUACUCAUCUCCUUCUGAUGGACAAAUUACAUCAUUCUCACCCAAGUCAUUCCACACAUAUCCAUUCUUGUACAUCCUAAAAAAACCACAUUUAUAUCAAUAAAUGAAUAAACAUUUUAUAAUUUAAACACAAAUUGAUAUUUUGAGUGAAAAAGGUAAAAAGCUUCGACCUUUUACAAGACCAAGAAUAGAGAGAAGGCAUUCCUCUACCUCUAAGAACACUGAGUCUCUCCAACACAUCUACAGUAUCAAACGUAUAAGUCAAACACUAAAAGGUAAAAAUUAGAAGGUUAAGACAUAUGAAGAAAAUGAAGAACCUUUGAGACGAAGCUGGUGAUGAACAAAAUGUGUGACUUCUAGGAUAUGAGGGUGCUCAAGUUGACCAUUCUUGGAAAGAUAGUAAACGACUUGGACCUUUUUGAAUGUUGGUUUGACCAUAGUGGUUGACUUUGGUGGAAGUUUGAUUCUUCUUCCCUCGGCCAUUUUUUGUUGAAAGCGAACUUUCUCUUUGGACCACUUUUUAUCCUGAUGCAGGAAAGAUUUGAGAGAGAGAGAGAGAGAGAGAGAGAGAGAGAGAGAGAGAGAGAGANNNNNNNNNNNNNNNNNNNNNNNNNNNNNNNNNNNNNNNNNNNNNNNNNNNNNNNNNNNNNNNNNNNNNNNNNNNNNNNNNNNNNNNNNNNNNNNNNNNNNNNNNNNNNNNNNNNNNNNNNNNNNNNNNNNNNNNNNNAGAGAGGAAGAGAGAGAGAGAGAGAGAGAGAGAGAGAGAGAAGUGACGUGAAAAGUGAGUGUGACCGGUGAUGUUUAAUCUGGAGUCGAUUUCUUUUAUUUAUAUACAAGUUAUAUCUUUUCUAUAAAAAGAUAAAUUCACCAGUUGAUAGCAGUCAUGAUAUUUGGAUUUUAAGAUAUAUUUAGUUACUAAAGUCCAAGAUCUAGUAUUUGUUUUUUACAUUUAUCAUAACAUCACUACAUAAAUUCUAAAUCUGCACUUGGCUAGAUGUAGUUGCGCUUAUAGUGGGGUAGAGGCGAUACCGUCAGUGAAAUAUUUUUGGUCAUCCAAAGGUACCGUAGAUGUGAAUAGGAGGCUAGGAGCGGAUAUAUAAUUCGUUCAAUGUGUCUCUCUCUUUGUACUCUCAAACUUACGAAGUUGUAUUUCAAUUCAUUCAUAAAGAUAUAUAUUGAAAUCGUUUUGUAUGAUAGUUUAGUAGUUUGUGAAUUUGUUUAAUAUUAUGUGAAUUAGUUUAUAUUUACUUCAAAAACAAUUCUAAGUGGGUUGUGAAGGAUGAAAAAGAUGGGUUUACAUAUAAUAUAGGAGGUGUGAAAUUUAUGUGAGAGAAUAUUAUGUAUUUGACAAAAAUUAUAUCUCAAAGUUGUCACCAUAUUCAUUAAUUUGAAAAAAAUGAUGUUUGUAAGGUGUCUUCAUAAGGUGAACUACCUUUAAGAAGAAAACCAAGAUCCUUCAAACUCACCUCUCGUGCUCUACUGGUUCAUAACCGUCCGUGUAAUUAAAAAAAUUGAUUUUAUUUCCUUUUAUAUUAUAUACUAGACCAAUGUCCGUGCGUAGUGUACAAACAUCUAUAUAGUUAAAAUUUUUAUAAAUAUAUGUUUUUUAAAUAUAAUAAUAGCGUUGUUAAAUUUGAUAUAAUAAUUCGUAUGAUAAACUAAUAUAAUAUAUUGAUUAUUUUGAUUAUAUGAAAAUAUAUAAAUCGAUUAUAAUUGCAUAAUCUCAAUCAUUUGAAUGAUUUCUACCCGCGAGUUACACAUGAAUAAAAUUAAAUAUAAUAUAUGGUUUAAUGUUAUUUAUAGUUGUUAUCGUUAAUUAUUUUUUUUAAAAUUUAUUUGUUUAACAUUUUAAUUUCUAUCAUUAUAAUUAUUUAAAACAUCAAACAUUGUUUUUUGAUUUUAAAGAAAACAAUAUAAUUAUUUAUAUAUAGUUAUUUUUAACUGUUGUUAUUAUAAUUUAUUUUAAGCUACUUAUUUGAAAACUUUUAACGAUUAUAAAAAUAUCUUAAUGAAAUAUUUUAGUUAAAUUGAGAUUACAAUUUAGUUUUUGCAUUUAGCACUAUAAUUUAUUACUUUUAAACUAUUCACAAAUAUUCUUUGGGUUUUUUAAGUGGAAUGAAACUUAUAUUUAAGUUGACACUGUAAUGUUAUAUUUAAAUUAAGAGUUUAAGUAUUUUGUCAAAACAGUUCAAAAGUUAUAGCUUUAAACUGAUAAUAGUUUACAUACAACAAUAUAUUAAAUUUAAUAAAUUAAGUAUAAAAUGUUAAAAGUUAGAGACAUAACUUUAUAAAUAGAAGUAAAUAUAUUAUUUUAAUAUUGAAAUUUAGUUUAUUUAUGAUUAUACUUUAGGUUUGAUAUUUAUUUAACCUUAUUAACCAACUUAUAAUCAUUAUUAGAAAGACUCUACAAUUUAUCACUUUUAAGUAUUUCCAAAAUAUUAUGUGGGUUGUUUAAGUUUAACUAAAAUUUAUAUUUAACUUGACCUUAUAAUGUUAUAUUUAAAUUAAUAAUUUAAGUAUUUUAUACAAAUAGUUCAAAAGUUGUAGAUUUAAAAUGAUAAUGCAUUACAUCCAACAAUAUAUUAAAACUAAUAAAUUAAAUAUAAUAUGUUAAAAGUUAAAAAACAUAAUUUUAUAAAGUAGAAGUACUUAUUAUAAUAAACAUAAGAACAUAAUUGCAGCAAUCCUAAAAAACAGAGGCAACGAGUCACAAGAUAGACUAGGAAACCUCUAUAGCUUCAAACUGAUAUGUUAACCUUAGUAUCUUUAGUUCUAGAUAGAGUUUUUUUCAUGGUAUUUCUAAAAGCUAUGGACAUAAAUGUUUCUUCAUGAAACUAACAUACAAAAAGAACAUUAUGCUUCUUCAUAACUAAUCAUCUGAAACGACCCAAAAAUUUUAUUUUUCAAUAUAACCAAAAACCAUAAUCUGAGUGUCAUAUCAUAAAACCAUACGUGAUGUAUCCCAAACAUAAUGAAAACACUGUGCGGAAAACUGUAUCAUAUUUAUGUCAUAUCAAAAUCAAAAACUAAAUCAACUCCCAGGAUAAAAGCUGAAGCUGUGGUGUGUGCGAUGCCAUCAUCCCGAGCUCUUCCCUCUGCUUGUAGAAGUGCCUGAAACCAAAACUGAAACUGUAAGCACGAAGCUUAGUGAGCUCCCCCAAACUACCAGAUACCAUACAAUACAUAUAUAAAGCACAUACUGGGCCUUGCCCACUGCAUCAGACCGAAGUCUGGAACUAGCUGCAUCGGACCAAAGUCCGGAACUGACUGGGACCUUGCCCCCGGCAUCGGACCAGAGUCCGGAACUAACUGCAUCGGACCGAAGUCCGGAACUGACUGCAUCGGACCGAAGUCCAGAACUAACUGCAUCGGACCGAAGUCCGCAACUGACUGCAUCAGACCGAAGUCCAGAACUGACUGAUCAUGGCAUAGCAUAGAACAUAACAAUUAUUAUAAUCACAUAUACUGCAUACUGCAUCGGAACAUGAUGAGAUUAAAACUUAAUCUUGAAGAUCGAUUAGAUCUNNNNNNNNNNNNNNNNNNNNNNNNNNNNNNNNNNNNNNNNNNNNNNNNNNNNNNNNNNNNNNNNNNNNNNNNNNNNNNNNNNNNNNNNNNNNNNNNNNNNCUAGUGCGGAAAGUGUUGGCCACAUCCGCCAACCAUCUAGUACUCUUAAUGGGGUCCCGCGCCCCAUGAUAGUCCGGAGCUCCACAUGCCCUGAACUCCCUGAAUGUAAGGGUGCGCGACCCCAUCAUGGCCGCCACCUCGGCACNNNNNNNNNNNNNNNNNNNNNNNNNNNNNNNNNNNNNNNNNNNNNNNNNNNNNNNNNNNNNNNNNNNNNNNNNNNNNNNNNNNNNNNNNNNNNNNNNNNNNNNNNNNNNNNNNNNNNNNNNNNNNNNNNNNNNNNNNNNNNNNNNNNNNNNNNNNNNNNNNNNNNNNNNNNNNNNNNNNNNNNNNNNNNNNNNNNNNNNNNNNNNNNNNNNNNNNNNNNNNNNNNNNNNNNNNNNNNNNNNNNNNNNNNNNNNNNNNNNNNNNNNNNNNNNNNNNNNNNNNNNNNNNNNNNNNNNNNNNNNNNNNNNNNNNNNNNNNNNNNNNNNNNNNNNNNNNNNNNNNNNNNNNNNNNNNNNNNNNNNNNNNNNNNNNNNNNNNNNNNNNNNNNNNNNNNNNNNNNNNNNNNNNNNNNNNNNNNNNNNNNNNNNNNNNNNNNNNNNNNNNNNNNNNNNNNNNNNNNNNNNNNNNNNNNNNNNNNNNNNNNNNNNNNNNNNNNNNNNNNNNNNNNNNNNNNNNNNNNNNNNNNNNNNNNNNNNNNNNNNNNNNNNNNNNNNNNNNNNNNNNNNNNNNNNNNNNNNNNNNNNNNNNNNNNNNNNNNNNNNNNNNNNNNNNNNNNNNNNNNNNNNNNNNNNNNNNNNNNNNNNNNNNNNNNNNNNNNNNNNNNNNNNNNNNNNNNNNNNNNNNNNNNNNNNNNNNNNNNNNNNNNNNNNNNNNNNNNNNNNNNNNNNNNNNNNNNNNNNNNNNNNNNNNNNNNNNNNNNNNNNNNNNNNNNNNNNNNUGCUAAGCUCAUACUAUCAGGCAUAACCUAAACAGGCUAUCCUACUGCUGUCUACUCAAUACUAGCAUGCAAUACUCAUAAAGCUGUAACACAUAAAGCAGGCACAUAAGGCAUCCUCCUAGAUCCUUAGUCCUAUACUAGCAUGCUGUUCUACUGAAACUGAAACUGAACAAAUAACUUGUAUGGGUAAUUUGGGAGUACUUACUUGAGCUCGGCUGAUCGCAUGCACCACACCCUUAUCUCGUUUAAAAAUUUCUUUCUUUCUAAGUGCUUUCAAAAUUCUUUUAGAAAACAUUUUCCUUUUAAAAAUCUUUUUAUUUCCCCUUAGUUUGAGUUCAGAUACACCCGGAAGUGUAUCCGAAUCCCUCAAACCAGGGUUUUGAUACCAACUUGAAACGACCCAAAAAUACGACCCAAAAAUUUCAUUUUUCAAUAUAACCAAAAACCAUAAUCUGUGUGCCAUAUCAUAAAACCAUACGUGAUGUAUCCCAAACAUAAUGAAAACACUGUGCGGAAAACUGUAUCAUAUCUAUGUCAUAUCAAAAUUAAAAAAUAAAUCAACUCCCAGGAUAAAAGCUGAAGCUGUGGUGUGUGCGAUGCCAUCAUCCCGAGCUCUUCCCUCUGCUUGCGGAAGUACCUGAAACCAAAACUGAAACUGUAAGCACGAAGCUUAGUGAGCUCCCCCAAACUACCACAUACCAUACAAUACAUAUAAAGCACAUACUGGGCCUUGCCCACUGCAUCAGACCGAAGUCUGGAACUAGCUGCAUCGGACCGAAGUCCGGAACUGACUGGGACCUUGUCCCCUGCAUCGGACCAAAGUCCGGAACUAACUGCAUCGGACCGAAGUCCGGAACUGACUGCAUCGGACCGAAGUCCGGAACUAACUGCAUCGGACCGAAGUCCGGAACUGACUGCAUCGGACCGAAGUCCGGAACUGACUGAUCAUGGCAUAGCAUAAAACAUAACAACUAUUAUAAUCACAUAUACUGCAUACUGCAUCGGAACGGAGUCCGGAACACAUAACACAAAUAUGCUUGAAUCACAAAGACAUCAAGCACUCUAGCUACUGCAUCAGACCAAAGUCCGGAACUACUGAUAAUUAAACGGGCCGGCAUUGUGGCCGUAGACCCGUUCCUACUGAAAGGAAACUCACCUCGUGAACUGGCUGCUGAGUGAAUAGCUCUGAGGGCUAACUGCUGCUGCUCCGGUAUCUCCCCGGCUACAAGUCCAUAAACACACUCAAUCAAAUACUAAACACUGCACUAGGUAAAAUGACUCUUUUACCCUUGGUCAAAGUCAACUCUCGGUCAAGGUCAACUCUCGGUCAAAGUCAACUCUCAGUUGACCUGACUCGCCGAGUUGGGCCGCCAACUCGCCGAGUCCCUAUUCUCACUCCUCGACCCUACUCGCUGCUACUCGUCGAGUAUGGCAUCGACUCGACGAGUACCCUCUCGAUCCAAGAACUCAGACAAUCUUCAUCCGACUCGCCGAGUCAUAUGAACAACUCGACGAGUUGUUCUUGAGCUUAAGAAGAUUGCCUUGGACUCGCCGAGUUGUAUGAACAACUCGCCGAGUCCCUCCAUUACUGAGUCUACCCUCAAACUCGCUGAGUCCACUCCACUACUCACUGGUCCCACUCGACACCGCUCAAAAGGAAGAAAUCGGGGACUCGCGACUCGACUCGCCGAGUCGUUCUUCCGACUCGCCGAGUCACAGCCAUGCAACUAUUCUACACUCGAUUCUGCUCGAAUCCAUUACAUACAAAUGAUAGAUCUGAGUCCAAUAAGCUGAUUUACCACGUAAAGUUUCCAACUUUACGUGUACAAACACAUGAAAAAGGGAAUAAAGGCUAAAAAGGCACUUAAAAGGGUAGAUCUAGGGUUAUGAUGCAAAAUAGCUCCAUAAAGGCAAUAGAUCUGGGCUCUACAACUCCCAAAUGAACAGAUCUAAGGAUAUCUCGACAUAAUAGGGCUUCCAUAUCAACAUAAGGCUUGAGAAUAGCGUCAACUAGAUCUAGAGGGGUUUUUAAAGCAUAAAAGAGAAGGAAAUCCGAAGAUUACCUCAAAGAACUCUGGUUUUCCCUUGAAUCUUUUCUCUACAACUCUUCUCCUUGCUCCUUUCUUCUUCUCCUUCUUCAAGCCUUCACAAAUGCACACAAGAUCACUUAAAAUCACUCAAGAACGAAUUAGGGUUUUCUCACAGCUCUCUAAGGGUGAAGGAGGCGAGAAUGGAGGCUAUAAGGUGGCUUAAAUAGUGGGCAACCCGGGGAUUUAGGGUUUCUCCCAGACAGACAGACUCGCCGAGUCGCCAGCUAACACGUGCUCGAAAUCCCGUCCCUACUCGGCGAGUCAGGCUAUGAACUCGCCGAGUCCCUCUUGCAAACUUCAAAAUAAAUUCUAUGGAAUCAUCAUACCGGAGACGGGUCGUUACAUCAUCACUAAACAUAUCAACUCAAAUAUGUAAGAGAAAACAACAUGACAUACAAUUAUUUCUUUUACUUAAAUUGUUUUAGACAAAUAAAUAAGAAAGUUCACCUCCCAACAAGUAUCUAACAUUGUAUGAUUUGAAUCUAAAAAGGAAAAAUGAAUAAGAAAGAAAAGAUGGAAACUAGGAGAGAAAAUACUGAGAAUAUGAGAUAACAUGAAACGUCCAGGCUGUAUGAUUCUUAAAGAUAUGAAAAUUUAAGAAACAAUGAUAUAAAUUAACAAAAAUAAAUCGGUUCAAUAGGAAGAAAACAUACCAAAUCAACAAAAAUUGACCUUCAUUUAUAGAAAAAAAUCCAUCAAUAAUGAGAUCUGCAAAAUAAGAACAUACUUUUAAUGUUAUUCCAUUUUGAUUAUUAAAUUUUCAAAUACUAGAGAAAAUCGAAUUAUGCCAUUGAAGUACCAAUAAUCGACAUAGUAAAUUAAGGUUUUGUCGAUUCCUAAUGCAAAAAUCAGAUGACUACUCCAUGACUGACGAAGUAAUCGAUGUUGGUGAUGAAAUUAUCUUGAAAUCGUUGAUUUAUAUAGGAAUCAGAACCCUGACUUGUAGCAGUCGAGAACUAAAAAUUAGGGUUCGUGGGGACAAGAAUCAUUGGAUGCUUGGCGCUUAAUGGAUUCAACCUCCAGGAGGUUAGAAGUUUGACAUCAAUCUUGAGGGAGGUUGAAGAACGUGGAAAGCUUAAACAGUAGGGAAACUGUAGGGAACGUGUGAGGGGAGACAUGGAGAAGAAUACCAUCUUUAGUGGAACAGUGCAUCAAGCAAAGAAACCAUAAAAUACUUGUAAAUAGUGAAUUAGAACGGUUGGGAUGUAAAUUUGAAGCGAUCCAACGGCUGUGAGUGGGAAAACAGUUAUCGACUCCCUGUGGUUAGAAAUAAUAAUAAUUCAAGGGUUUUCUUAUGUAGAUAUAUUACGCGGAUGUUCUUAUUGUGCAUGUUAAAAUUAUGUACUUAGUUAUAUUAACUAUGAGAUAAUACUUCUUGUGUUAUAUUUCUUGUAUAUGUAUGUUCAAGAAUCAUUAUUGAAUGAUGUUUCUAAUAACAUAUGAUCAUAUAGGGUCACACCUUUAUCAAGUUGACAUAUUUUGAAUAUUUAUUAUUAAUAUAAUUAUUAAUAAUUACACAACUCUUGUACUUAAUUAGUGAAUAAUUAUUUUUUGUGAAAAUAAUAAUUAAAGAGAGCGUAACUAAUUAUUAUAUAAUAUAGUACGAUUUAAUAAGUCAUGAACAAAGUUUUUGACACUUUGACUAACCUUAGAUUUGCUUGGUAUUCACCAUUAGUUACCUUUAUGUAACUAGAGAAACUAGAAAAAUCAUUUUGUCUCAUCUAUACACCAUGGCCGAAAAUAUGGGAGGCAUGGGAGGUUUCUUAUCAACCUAUCUCCCAUGUUCUCCAUGCUUACUUUACUAGGUAAUAAUUUAUAGUAUUUUAUCGAGUAACUUUUAACCAUGUAUGGUAAUAUAUAUAAAGGAGUGUAGAAGCUUGCAAAGUGGCUAGUUUUUUUCCAUGCAUUUCUUCUAUAUUUCUCUCUUCAUGGCCGGGCUAUCUAGUUCUCCCUCCUUCUUUCUCAUGCAAUCUUCUUGCUUGCUUUUUGGAGCUUCCUUUUGUGUCUUUCAUUAGUGGUUACUUAUGUAAGCACUUAAAGUCCUAAAGAAUAAAGUAUUACAAGAAGGAACUAGCAUUUCUAGUGCCUUAUUCUUGAUGGUGGAAACUUGUAGAGAAGAUCAUCCUCUUUGAUCUUUCUAUCUUUAUCAACUCCCCAAAACCAAGUAGGUUCAAAUUCUUCAAAGAUUGUCAUUCUAAAACACCUUAUGGUUGGUUUUCAUAUUAUCCUAACCUCUUUAAAAGUAUCCUUGGUGAUUUUGUUUUGAAAACACCUUAUAUUUUGUAUCAAAACACCUUAUGGUUGUUAUUUUUAAAGCUUCUGUUACGGUGUUUUAUUUAUGAAAAACUCUCUUAUAUUUUGUAUCAAAACCCAUCAAUAUUGAUAUAUAAAAUUAUAAGUUUUUUUUAACAAUAUGAUAAUAUAAUUUUAUAUUAGAAUCAAAUUUUGAAAUGGCUGCUACAUGCGGUUUACGCAUGAAUAAGAUUAAAUAUGAUUCUUAAUUUAGUGUUAGUGUUAAGUAUUAUCAUAAUGUAACACCUUUAUUCUUUUUUUAGAAAAAAUUAAAACUUUUGUAUAGGUCUCUUUUAUAAAUUUCUUUACAUAAAACAUAAUCUUUUAGAUUAAUAGCAAUAGUCUCCAAAAUAAAAAUUUUAAAGCAUAUUAAAGAUAUUCAGCAUAUUAAAUAUAAUUCGGACGUUGUUGCAAUCAGGUCGCGUUCUUCCCUUUGUUCACCCCGGAGAAUCAUAAUCAUUAAUAAACAAUGAGUACGCUUAACUCUUAAUGAGUAAAAAACAAUACUUACUAAUUAUAUUAAGUAUAUAUUGCAUAACAGAUAAAUACUUAUCAUAUAAUCCUAACACAUAUUAUUAGUACCAACCAUAAACUGUCACUUUCUGUAAUAGGGUCACUCAUGACAAAAUUGUGAUCACUUUGCAUUAUAGGGUUACUCAUGAUCAUCCUUUAACCUUGAUCACUUCCUCUUAUAGGGUCACUCAUGAUCAUCACAUAUACAUAUAAAUUUAACUUAAUAAACGAAUUAAUGCAAUUCACUUGAUCAAUCUUGAAUCAACUUAGUAGUUUGGUUUGCAGAUAUGCACAAACAACACAUAUCAAACUAUAAUACUGUAUGGGUUACUGAGUAUUUAAUCAUAGAAACUAAUAUCUAAAUUCUUUAUUAAUCACACUAAUAAUGGAUUGACUAUCAAAAAGGAAUUGGCCAGUCAAGACAUUUGGGAGGCAAGACCAUUUCGACAUAUAACUAUAACAUCUAGUUUCGAAUGUUCCUGAUUUUAGGAUAAAGAGCCAUAAUUUUAUUAGGUAAAGGUCUUAGGCUUCAAGGGAAUAGAUUUUAGAUCUUAUUGUAUGUUGAUAAUGUUGGUUAAGUGAUUUAAUCCCUUGAAUUUUGCGUUAGAUCCAAAGGGGUAAAAUGGGGAAAGUAAUAUUAUGUACUUUUGCACUUAUGAAUAAAUUAAUUUACAUAUACUUUAAGCUAAAAGUCAGUGGAUAGAAUGGUGGGGCUUUUCAGUUCAUCCGUAUACAUAUAAAAAUCACUGAAAACAUAGUUAUAAAAAAGAAAUUAUGAUCGUUUGAAGCUGAAGUAGAAAACCAGAGAAUCAGGAAUUUAUUGGAAAGCAUGGUGCAUCCUUUGAAAUUGCGGGACGUCACCCGUCCAGUGGUCUGUGCAUUUUUUUAGGGUUUUUGGGGGUAUUUAAAGGCUAUUAACCCCAAGUAUUCAUUGUUUUCAACCUCUACCUCCUCUAGAACACAUGUAAUGAAACCAUAACCUCCAUUGAAGUGUUUAGAACUAAUCCUCUCUCCUAAAUCCAUUUGGUACUAUCUUAAUGUAUAUUUAGUGCUUUCUUUUGAUGGUAUUGAGCUCUAAAAGGAAGAAUAACAAGAAAUAUUGGUCUUUGAAGUCAUGUAUUUGAAGUAUUCAACAUCUAUUCACCUCUAGACCUUUGUAAGUCAUAAAGUUCCAAUCUUUAUUGUGUUUUAUAUUCAUAUCUAUGAAUAUUUGGCGUUUUAGUCCAUUAUAUUGAGCUUUGGUCCCUUGGUGGCUUGUUCCAUAGAGUUUUUGAUUGAUGUUUAGGAUGAUCUAUGGUCAUUUGAUGGAGUAGAGAGUGCAAGUCAUAGCUCUCUUUACUCUAAGCAUGAAGAAAGAUGGAUUUUUGGCCAUUUCUCAACUUAGUAUUUUAGAUAUUGGAAGUUUGUAGCCUUAUAAUGGAUAAAGUUGGAAACUUUAUCCAUUUAGACAUCAUGUUGAUUCAAAUCUAAAAGUGGAAGACUUGGGCUUAUUAGAUUAAAACAAGAAAGAUGCAUUUUUGGACUCUUGAGACUUAAAUUAUAGAUAUUGGUUGUUUAAACUAUGGGAAUAGAUAAAGUUGGAAAUGUUAUAUAUUAAGUCACUUGGAAGAAUUAGAUCUAAGAUUUGUGGCUUUGGACUUAGAGGAUUAUGUCCUUAAAGGCAAAUGAUAUUAAGUCGAGAAAUCACGACGUGGAGGGUCAUUGGUCAUAGUGUGGUAGAGGAUAUGUCUUGCAUCUGUUUGUUCGAAUCUUGUCCAUGGUGUAUGUAAUGGCCGUGUUUCUAGGCUAAACAUUAAUAUUGACAUGAUAGUCUAGGUUAAGCUUUGUGACUCAUUUUGGAGAAAUGAAAAGGAAUUAUGUGAAUAUUAUGUGUUUUAUGCUUAAUUAUUAGGGUUUAAAUAAUUAAGAAUAAAAAACUAAAUAUUAUAUAAAGCUGAUAUCCAUUAAGAAACUUGUAGUGGGCGUGACAAGGAUUACAGAUACAUAAAGAACGCCAAAAUCCGAGUUAUAACGAAGAAGUUAUGACCUGUCGAAGUUUCGCGAUAAACCGGCACGGUGCCGAAUGUCGAAAAAAAGUGAGUUUUCGAUAAAAUACUUUUUUGGCCUGAGUGAUCUAAAUGAAACUCGUAGUGUUCAUUAAACCAAGAGUAGGUAUAAAAAGAACACCCAAAUCUGACUUCGUAUGAGGAAGUUAUGAUUUUUCGAAGUUUCAGCUUAGUAGUAGAUAGCUAAAAACUCAAAUUUUAGAUCAAGUGAUUUUUAGCCGACACAAUCUAAACGAGAAUCGAAGGUCUCAUCAUUAGUAGCACAACGGUAAAAAGUCUGACGAAAACAGACGUCGGAUGAAGAAGUUAUGAAUUUUUAACGGAUUUCCUGUCCCGGUCUGUUAAAAAUAAUAAUAUAAAAAUCAAAUUCAAAAUUAGCCGACGAAGUCUAAAUGAAAGUUGUAGAGCGUAAUUUUACCUACGCGUGCAUAUAAAGAACAUCAAAAACGAAGCUCGUAUGCGAAAGUUAUGAAUUUUAGAAGAUUUUGGCACAAAAUUCGAGAAAGUUCGCACAGAUAAGCUUCACCUGGAAAUGCCACGUCUCCCUCGCUGCAUGCUUGCCAUGUGUCUGAAUUGCUGAGUCACCGGUGGCCAGCUGGCGAGGCGUGUCGCACCCUCCUCGCACCAAUGGUUCGGUCCAAUAAGAGGUUGCCCCGUGAUUGGUGCAAUAUGAGAAAAGCCCUUACCCAAACGUUGACCCUCGUCAUUCAGCAGAGUAGGGAUGACAACCAUGGACUGUUCUAAACGGUCUGUGGAACACUAGCAGGCUCGCAACCUGUAGGUGUUAAUGGACUUGAGUGUUCAUUCGCUGUACUCUAUUCCCCUCAUGAGUGCCUUUAGGGCAUGUAUGACUGGGGAAACCACUUAGUAUGUUCAUCAGCUGUAUGUAAAACCCAUUGACAUGUAUUGUGGGGGGGGGGACUCCCAUGGGAAAUACCGUCGAUGAAUAUGAGCUAUGGACUAGCACAUGGCGACGAUGUGACUUCGUGCCUAUUUGACAUAAAUUGCUGAAGGAAAGCAAUGUUGUCACCUUGUUGGUUGUUUUAUGUUAGGAUGUCUUUUUUGACAUAACUUGCUGAGGAACCCCCAAAGCAAUGGUGUCACCCCUAGUGAUAAUCCUUAGGCUAGGUCCCUUGUGAUAGUUGUUUUAGGGACAUAAAGUGAGGAUAAUGGGAAUGGGUAAUUAGGGUUAUUUUGGUUGAUGAAAUUAAUAAAUUUAUUGUUGAUUGAGAACUUUAUAAGUUUAUUAUUUAUUGUGGGUUGAAAACCCUAUAUGCUCACUAGGCUCCCAAGCCUGACCAACUCAGUUUAUUUGUAUCAUAGGUAUCGAUACGAAGUUUCUUUACACAGAGAGAUUAAAUGAGAAGUAGGUCACUAGUGUAAAUGAAUGUAAGUUUUGUUUAUGCUUAUGUUUUGUAUUGACAAUGACAUCCCAAUGGUUUAAGUGAAUAAAAUACAUUUCUUCGAAAAUGAUUUGAUAACAUAUUUAUUAUGUUUUUCUAGGAACAAAUCCGCAACACUUUUAAUCAAAUGAUUACUCUGAAAUCAUUUCAAAAGCCUAAAUUAAACCGGUCUUUUCUUGCCAUGAAUUUGGGGAUGUCACAGUUGGUAUCAGAGCAUUAGUUUAAUCGAACUAAGAAACUGUAAGAUUUCUAGACUUAAACUUAGAAUGCUAAGUGAUGAUUGUGAGAUGAGUGUCUGCUAUAUUUUAGAUACGAGCACAAGUUUUUUUAGGAAAGAUGCCUAAAAUGUUUUAUGUGUUAAAUAUUUUAACUUAGUAGAGAAAUGAGUCAUUUCAGUAACAGUCCAAGUAGAGCAUUAGUAAACUAUUAUAGGUAUAGUUUAGGAGAAUGCUAUUCAUUACUUCUAGUAAAAUGAAGCACGUAAGGAAUCAAUACCAAAACAGAACAAACAUUGAAGAGAAUCAAACAAUACCAGAACAGAACAAACAGUGAAGAGAAUCAAACAAUACCAGAACAGAACAUAACAAACAAGUUAGGUUGCUAUAGCAUGAGAACACACAAACAUGAUCUAAUUAUACUAAUGAAUCACUAACGCAUUAGUGAUAGUUAUAUUAGGUAUACAUGAUCAUAUAACUUUAAUGUGAAUUACACAGCUUGUAAGAAAUUACUGGGGUCGCAUUUGGUUCCCUCAAUCUGUUUACAUUGAGAGCCUUUAGUAGGGGUUCUAGCUUUCACAUUAUGACCAUAAUAAAACAAAUAUGUUUUUAGGUUAUUAGUACCUCCGCAUGUCAUUAUAAACGACAUAGUUAUAAACUAGGGAGAAUAUACUUCUACAUUUGACAAAGGACCAGUCGGGUUCAACUCAGAACAGAAGAUGCCUUGGUAGAAGGCUACGAUUAAAGGUUAGGAUCAUGGUGCUAGCUUUAUGAUUCCUUAAUGUAUACACUAUAGGAUACAUAUAUGCUAGUAGAUUCCGACAGCUAAUAGGAUGUGUGCUCUUCGCUGUAAUUCCUGUUCCCGUUGGAUGUGGGCUUGCACUGAGGUCACCCAAUCUAUUAUCUACCCGAAUCUAUAUAUAUCUAUGCUUAGUAUACAUUAAGUCAUCAUAAGGGUACCAGGUAUGGAUCAGGUCAUAGGACACAGAGUCAAUGCACAGUUAUUCUAGUACAAAACUUACUUAUCAAAGAUAGUAUUUUUGGUAGACAAAACUAGAGAUUUCCCAGAAAAGGGCUUAAUCCAUUUUAUUAAGCCAAUACAGUUUUAGAGACUUUAAGUGAGUUAACUCUAUAACACCUUAGUUUAUACAGCAUGUUUAUAUAUAAAACUAAUAUCCGAUAAAUAGCUAAAUGUGUGUUUUCCCCCAACAUCCUGUUCCCGUUGGAUGUGGGCUUAGGGCAGAUUCCCCCAAUUAACUAUCUACCCGAUAUCAGAUUAUAUAUAGCAGUAUAAACAAAGCUAUUAUAAAAGUAAUCACCGUAGUCAAUAUUUUACUAUAAGAAAUAUAGGUUUUCUUAAAAGAACUCUCCAUUAGAUAUAAAUGAGCCAUUAUAUAUAACUCCAUGAGUAACAAGUGAAUACACCAAUGUUAUAUAUGACAACGAUCUAACAACCAAUGGAAUGUGUGCUAUUCGCCUUACUUGUUGUUCCCCGUUAGGUUGUGAGUUUAGGACAGAUGCGCAUAAUUGAUUGUUUGUUUACUCUAAGUAUGUAUAACGUGUACCCACUUAGUACACAUAGAAAGGCUUGUAGUGUCAUUUUACUUAAUUUCCAUUAUAGUAGGAAAUAUAGGAUUUUCUAGAGGAACAGGCGAAGUUUUCAAAACAGAACUUACAACUUACAUCACUUGUGCAUAUACAUUUUCAACCACAUUUUUACAGCUUACUCACAUCACUAAAAUCUUAUGAACUCACCAGCUUAAUUGCUGAUCAACUCUUUCAAAUAACUUGUACUCUCAUGAGACUAUUAGACAGGUGCUCGUGCUGGGAAUUUAGAAGAUGGAGCAUUACAGCUUAAAGUCUUGUUCUGUUAUUUGUUUAUGACUUCUAUGUUUUGUGAACACACACAUUGUAAACACUUUCUUUCUUAAUGAAAUGGUUGUUCAUUACUUGCUUACCAUAUACAUAUCUCGUGAUACUUUACAUGACGUCCUCCACCCCUGAAUGUUUCCGCCGUUCCGGUUUUGGGGUGUGACAAAAUCUCUAUUUAAUUAAUCACCAUUCAGUUACAAUUUAUUAUUGCUACAUUGGUUCAAAAAAUCAACUAACUACUAAAAUACAAAAUCUAAUAUCAUCUCUAAUCCCCAUGAUCCUAUCAUGCUCGACGUGCUUGACGUUGCCUAAUCCCUUUGUAAGAGGAUCAACAUGAUUAUCCUCCAAUGAUACACGUUUUACCAUGAGUUCACCUUCAUUUACUUUAUGUCUAAUGUAGUGGUUUCCCUUAUCGAUCUGCCUGGAUCUACCAUGAUCCUUUGGUUCUUUAGUUCAAGUCAUCACACCCUCGUCGUUGCAGAAUAUCUCUAUUGGAUCUUGGAUUGAUGGAGCAACUCCAAGAUCUGCUAUAAAAUUCUUCAACUACAUUAUUUCCUUUACCUCCUUUCUUGAUGUGAUGUACUCUGAUUCACAAGUAGAGUAAGCCACUGACUGCUGCUUGGAUCUCUUCCAAGUCAUUGCUCCACUAUUCAAUAAAAAAACCUAGCUAGAUUGUGAAAAACUAUUAUCAUGUUCUAUUUAGAAGUUGGCAUCACUAUAGCCAAUCACCUUAAGCUCAUCUUUUCCACCAAAACAAAGACCAUAUCUUUCGUUUUCCACAAAUACUUAAGAAUUUUUUUCACAACAGUUCAAUACUUUAGUGUGCUAAACCAGAAUUUCCGUGAUAUAUGCUAACCAUGCUCAAGGCAUAAGCCACAUUAGGUCGAGUACAUUUCAUAACAUACAUGAUUGAUCCUAUAGAGAAGCAUAUGGGACUCCACUCAUUGUAUCUAUUUCCUUAUCGCUACUAGGAAAUUAAGUCUUGCUCAACUUAAAUGUAUGAUGCAUCGGUAAGUACCUUUUCUUGGAAUUCUCCAUACUAAAACAUUUUAAUAUUUUAUCCAAGUAUCUACUAUGGCUAAGUCCUAGUAAACGUUUCUGUUUGUUUUUGUGAAUCUUUAUUCCAUGAGUAUAACUAGCCUCUCCCAGAUCCUUCAUAGAGAAAUAUUUUCCAAACCAUGACUUAAUUUAUUGCAAAGUUGGAACAUCAUUUCCUUUUAUUCCAAGAAUAUAAGUAUCCUCUCCCAGACCGUUCAUAGAGAAAUAGUUUCCAAGCUAAGACUUAACUUAUUGCAAAGUUGGAACAUCAUUUCCUAUUAGGAGUAUGUCAUCCACAUACGAGACUAGGAAGGUCAAUACACUCCCAUUAGAUUUGAUAUAUACACGCAAGAAUCAUCUUCACUUCUAGAAAAUGUAAAUUCUUUGACCUUUUUGUAGAAGCAAAGAUUCCAGAUAUGAGAUGCUUGUUUCACUCUAUAGAUGAAAUUCUCAAGCUUGCACACCUUAUUAGGGAAUUUGGCAUGUUCAAAAUCUUAUGGUUGAUCCAUGUAAACAUCAUCAUCUAGUUACUUUUUAAGGAAACUAAUUUUAACAUGCAUUUUCCAUAAUUCAUAGUUACAAUGAGAAGUUAUGGCAAACAUUACCCUAAUUGACUUAAUCUUAGCAACUGGUGAAAAGGUCUCAUCAUAGUCUAUCCCUUGGGUUUGAGUAAAGCCGUUUGCAACCAGCCUUGCCUUGAAGGUCUAUACAUUACCACCCAUGUUAGUCUUCUUCUUGAAGAUUUAUUUGCAAGCUACGAUAUUCCAACCAUCAGCUUGAUCGACCAAGGUCAAAAUUUGGUUAUCAUACAUGGAUUAGAUCUCGCUUUCUAUUGCCUCUUUCAGUUUAGCAUCCUCAGGGACUGCCAUCAUUUCUUUUUAGCUAGCCAACUCAUCCAAAUUUACAAGUGUGUUAUCAUUGAUAAAUAUGUCCCCAUUUUCCGUUAUAUUGAAACCAUAAAACUCAGGUGGUACGGUAACUCUACUAGAUCGAUGAAGAGGUAACGAUCUGUCAAUGGGCUUAACAGGUUCAGCCUCACGUUUAGAGCUCCUGUCAUCAAAGGUUCCUUCAUUGGAUGAAUCUUGAGUUUCUUUAAGAUCAAUUGCAGUGCCAUUUUUCUUUUUGGAUAUGAUCUCUCUCUCUCUCUCUCUCUCUCUCUCUCUCGAAAGACUCUCCUUCGAGUUACGAAGACCACAUUCUCACUAGGUCUGUAGAACAAGUAUCCAAAUGAAUUUUAUGGAUAGCGAAUGCAAAUACAUCUCUCAACUUUGGGUUGCAAUUUAUCUUAGGUCUUGCGUCUAACAAAAACCUCACAUCCCCAAAACUUGAUAUGUACGAGCGAGGGAGGUUUCCAUGUCCACUUCUUAUGAGGUGUUUUAGCAACCUUCGUGGUAGGAACAAUAUUUAGAAUAUGGGAUCUUGUUUCUAUAUCAUAUCCCCAGAAUGAUAUAAUAAGGGAAGAUCAACUCAUCAUGGAACGGACCAUGUCUAAUAAGGUUCAAUUACGCCUCUCACUAUUUUUCAAAUGAUAGGUCAAAAUGAACUGAUCAUAAUUACUAGGUUAGGACUUAUGCACCAUGUCCAUGACAAGCUCCUUGUCGAAGUUCACAUUGAUCUUUUCUAAUCUUUCCAUGUGUCUCUGCAUUUUAUGCACAUAACGACACAUAGAUUCCCCAUCUUUCAACUCACACACCAUAAGGGCCUCAACAAACUCAUAACACUCGUGUCUUGCUUUCUUGAGAAACAUCUUGGAAAGAUCCAAGUUCAUGUCAUAGAGCCAAUAGUCCUCACAUGUCUUUUGCAUCAUAGGUGUCGUGAUUGAAAUCAUAAUACAAACAACCUUUUUAGCAUCAUUAAUAUGCUGGUUUUAAUUAUACAAUUCUUAAGGAUUAGCAGAUUCUUUGUUAAUUUAUGGGAUUGGAACCUUGAGAGCAUAUUCUUUAUUCAUGUAUCUCAACGCAUCUUCAAAUUAGAUAACCAAUCCAUGUAGUUGGGACUAGUAAGCUUGUAUUUUGAGAGGAUAGACAAGAGAGUGAAGUUGUGAGUGGUUGGAGUAAGAGGAGAAAGGUCACCAUUUCCAGACAUCUAAAACAAGAGAUAAGAUUUUAGUUAGUUGAUUCAAUCUUUAAUAUUUUAACCUACAUUGAUAUUCAAGGCUCGGAUCCUUAAAUACAUUUCAGAAUUAUGAAGAGGGAUGUCGUAAUAUAAUUAUGAAUUUAUUUUAGGUGGGUAAAGCAUUUUCCCAAUUUCAAUCUAAUAUGAAAUACCUAAAUCAUUUGAGAUUCAUUGAAAUAUUCAACGGCAUGUUUAAUCUCUGAUUAUGUUCUUCAAUUUUUGCUUGGGAUGCCGAUGAUCACAAAUAAAAUGUGAAUAAGAAUGCCAACCCGCAUGACAUGCUUGAGGUCAUUUAUGAUCUCACAUUGAUGUGCCGGUUAACCGGACACACUCCAUCAACAACCAUAAAUUUGAGUGUGUGCCAUCACUUCAUCUUUGUAGUCUCACAUUAGUGUGUCAGUUAACGACGCACACUCCACUAAUGACUCACAAAGAAAUGAUGUGCAUUUUAAUGGAUUAACAUACAUUUUAAUAUUUUUCCUAAAGUACCUAGAGUGAGAUUUUGUAAAAGGUUUUAGUACUUUAAACAUUAUACUUUUAAUUGGAUUAUGUGCUAUCAAAUCCGUUCGGCUAACGACCCUCCACCAUACGAAGAAGCGAUUGGUGAAAAUGACACCCAUUCAACGGUCAUUUUAUAAAUCGUUUUCUUAUACAUCUCUUAUAGUAUUGCUUCGUGAAUGAGGCGUAUUAGAGAUUUGAUUGACUUUCAAUGGUACAUAUAAUAUUAUACUCUUAUACAUAUAAAGAAGGUGUAUUUUAAAACUUUUUAAAACACACAAGGUUCAAAUGAUAUUAAUAUAGUUAACUUUUAAUAAUUAAUAUUUGAACUAAAUAAGAUUUAAGAAUUAUCUUUUGAUUAAACUUUUAAUUAAUUAAUAUAAAUCUCAUUAAAGGAUAAUUAUGUUAACUUACCAUAGAUCAUUUAAAAACUUCCUUAUAUUCAAAUUAAGAUUUCUAAUUAUCUGGUUAUUAUAUUCAAAUUUUAGACAUUUAAAAUAAUAUUGAUAAACUAAUAAUUAAUAUAUAUUUUGAAUAAGGCAAGUAAAUACAAAAAUUCGAAUUUCAGGCAGUUCCCAUGUCGUGGUAGAGGACUACCCAAGCCGUACCAAUACAGAUUGUCGAUUUUUUUUUUCUAGUUUCAUCUUCUAUUAGUACUAAUGGAAAAGCAUGGCUCUAAUACUGCUAUUGAGAUUUUCAUGUUAAAAUCAAUUUGUACAUGCGAGAUUUCACUUAACUUUUAAAGGUACAUACAACCUAAUGGAUCUAUGUGUUUUCUCAAUUCAUAGCAACAUAUUUAUGAAACAAAAAUUAUAAACCCAAUGAAUCAAAUUCAUGAAUAGAUCCACAUAACUUUUAGAUUAAGUCGAAUUAAGCUAAUAAAAAAACACUUGAUAAUCUCCUUAUAAACUAGCUCCAAAAGUAUGGUUAUCUCUAAUGUGUCUCACCCAAAAUUCAGAAAAACUCUAGGUUUGAAGGAUAGAGGGGAGAGAUAAGAGAAAACUCAGUUUAUCUUUACGGUUAGGAGUGGCCGAAAAUACCAAGGGUACAUCCCUUUAUACGGCUGCCUAAUACUCCCAGAAAUCGUAGAUUUAAACUUAAAAUAAUAAUAUUUCAAAUCAAUAAUUAUCUACUUUCCUAUUAUCGGUUGGAGGCUUCUAAAAUAUCUCUCAAGAGCCGCUAAAACCGUUUAUAAGUAGGAGGAUUCUAGAUCAUCUAUUUUUUUUUUUAACUUUUGAACAAUUACAGUUCAACCUUUGCAUCUUUAAUUUAUUCUAAUUAAUUUUUAUUAUUUCUUAAUUAAUUAUUAUUAUUCCUAAUUAAUAUAUUAGUCAUAUAAUAUAUUCAUAAAUCAUUUAUCUCUCUGCUUUUAUCAAUCCAAGUUAUUUCAUGGUUAUGAGGACAACUCAAAAAGACUUUAUUUUUAUUCAUCAAUAUUAUAUCAAUUUAGUUAGUAUUUUAGACAUCUUAAUGCAACAACUAGAACCAUAUUUCUUAUAAACUUCUUUUCUUGGUUGUUAUUAGAGUAAUAAGAAACUCUUCACCAUCCUUCACCAUCAAUUAUAAGAACAAAAUCUUUAGUUUCAUCAUCAUUUUCUUCACCUUAUUUAUUAUCUAGAACAUACUUUCCCCGACCAACUGUUAACACUAGUGUGAUUAUACCCCCAUACAAAGCUCUUUCUCUUUAUUUUUCCUCGGUCAUUUCUUUUGCAUCAUUCUCAUGCGACUUUAACAAAUUAUACAACGUAGUUAGAGAAUAUGAGUAGAAAUUUUCAUGAGACUUUAUCAUUAGAAUUUUUUUUUCCAUUCUCUGUAAAGACAUUUAAUAAAAUUGAUACUGAUUUCAAGAUCUCCAUUACCAAUUUUGAAUUUAUCCAACAUUAAUAUAAUAAUUGUAACGACCAAAAGCCUGAUCAAUUGUUUUAUUUUCCUUUUUCUUAAAAUCACUUAAUUAUUAAAUUAUAUAUGUAAAAAUAGUUUUACUUAGCAUAUACAUUUGGAGCAAGUCCACCUCCUAAUUUAUUCAUGCUUCUUUUUCCAUUUUCAUUUUUCUUCUUAUUUGUAGCAAGAACAGCCUCACUGUCGAUUAUAAGAAAAAACAACAAACAAAACAUAGAAUAAAUGGACCUUCUUUAAUUACCCCCUAUAAAUCUUCAUCCAUGCGAUAAGCCCUUUCAUCAUGAUGAUCAUAAAGUAACAAUAGGGUUUUGUAAAAAAACCAAGAAGAUUAGCAUAGUCAAUCAUCGUAUAAGUGCUAUCGAAUAUAUUAAAUAAGGUAUAAAAACUUCAAACGGUUUUUAAGAAACAAAUUUUAAAAGUGGAAUGCAUAACUAAGAAUAAAUUUAGACUUGUAAUGAAAUAUGAAUGAAUUUCCACAAAGAUAUGAAAUAACACUAUUUUGACACCACCAAAAGAGUGUUAGAUUCAAGAACAAUUAAAGAUUUAAUGCAAAAUUAUGAAUACCAAGAAGUAAAUAGUGUGUAUGCAUAGGGAUGGCAAAAAGCCCCAUACCUAAUGGGGAACCCGAAACCCGCACCCGUUUUGACUGGGGAAUCCUCAGGUUAACCGGGGAUGGGGGCGGGGAUGAGGAAUACCCGAAAAAAAAAGUGGGGAUGAGGAUGGGGAUGGGGAUACCCAUAAUCCCCGACCCUGGACCCGCCCCCGACAUAUAUUAAUAUAUAAAAAUAAUACAGAACAUAUAUUUAUAAUAUAGUUUAUAAUACAUAAAAUUUGAUCUAAGUAACCUAACUCAUUAGUAAUUACUUGGUUGAAAUUAUACUUUUUGCUUUUUCUUUUAUAUUUUAUAAAAUCUUUAAGCUUAUGCUGGUAAAAUUGAAAUAUAAAGUUUUUUCUUACGUAAAAGCUUGCAUGUUAAAUGAGAAAAAUAAAUCCCCGUUUCCCAGUUGGGGAUCCCCAGUCCCUGUUGGGGGUGGGGAUGCGGAUAGGGAUUGGAAUGAGAAUUUGGAGAUGGAGAUGGGGAUUGGGGUCCCAUGUGUUUCUUGCCCCCAUUGCCAUCUCUAGUUAUGCUCUUUAAAUAGAUGAAAGAAUGGAUUACAAUGAGUAGUUCCAAUGACACUAAAGUUAUUAGACUCUAAAACCGAUAAUCUCUCUAAAUGACANAAAACAAUAAAAACAUAUGAUAUUAUGUCACCUCAACAUUAUAUUUUGGAAAAUAAUUCAUCCAAACCUUGAAAUACAUGAUGAUAAUCGAUGAUAGAUGAGAAUUGUUUCCUAUUAGCAAAGUAUGAUUUUUAACAUUUUUAUUAUUAAAACAUGAAUUUAAAAAUGAUUUAGGACGUGAAAAAAAAUUUAUUCAAACCGUCUUUAAAUCCAUAUUAACAUAACAUCAUCCAAUGUAAAACUUACUAUUUUUAAUUUAUUGCUAAUAAAUAUAUUUUUUUAUAGUACAUUUGUUUGAUUUUUAUAAGAUAAAAUCUGUUUUCGCGUUUUUGCAAAAUAUUUAUGUUUUCGCAUAAACCUACUUUUAUAUAUAUAUAUAUAUAUAUAUAUAUAUGAGAGGGAUACAUUGACAUCACUAAUGUUUUUUAGAUCAAUAGAACGUUUCUAGUGGUUAUACUAUUUUAUGAAUUAAAAUAAAUGUCAUCUUCAUCAUUCUAGUAAAUUAAAUUAAUCUCCAAAUAAAUGAUCACACUCACCAAUGGUAAAGUUUAUUUACACAAAUUUUCUUUUAUAAAUUUAAUAAUAUAUCCUUAUCUAUCUAAAAUAUUUUAAAAAAAAAACUCCCUUAUUUAGUUAGUUAUUUGUUAAACACAAAUCAUAUUUUUAUACGAACAUAUAAAUUAAACUAUAUUGAUUCUUUAUUUAUAUACGUAAAAUAUGAAAAAAAUGUUAUACAAAAAGAAAAUAAAAAACAUUGAAAAUAAUAUGUUAUAGUUAAAAGAUGUAAAAUCAAAUAUCAUUAAAAUAGAAGGGGUUAAGCGUACACUUUAUGAUAGUAUAUUGACCACUCAAUAUAUAUUGAGUGGUCAAAAUAAAAAAGAAAAAAAACUAUGUGGUCCAAUGAUAUUAAGUGAUCAAUUAAAAAAUAUAAUAUCCACAAAAACAAUGAUAAUUUUUUUUUUCAUUUUAAGAACCAAUAAUUUCAUUCAUCAAUUAUCUCUAAAACCAUCAUCAAAUAAAAUAUUAAGAGUAAAUUACAUGAAUGGUCUCUAUGGUUUGGGGUAAUUUUCACGUUUAGUCCCUAACUUAUUUUUUUAACUCGGAAGGUCCCUACUGUUUGUUUAUGUUACACACUUGGUCUCUACUGUUUGUUUUUGUUACAUGCUUGGUCCCUGUGUUACCUAAAAAUACUAUUAUUUAAAUAGGGAAAAGUGAUGGGGGUAGAUAAGGUAUGGUGAGGGAGAUAGUGUUAGGGUUGCGUUUAUUUAAAUAAAUUAAAAAAUCAAUGACAAAAUAAUCUUUUUAGGUAAGACAGGGACUAAGCGCAUAAUAAAAACAAACAGUAGGGACCUUCCGAGUUAAAAAAAUAAGUUAGGGAUCAAACGUGCAAUUUACCCUAAACCAUAGGGACCAUUCGUGUAAUUUACUCAAAUAUCAAAUAUCAAAGAACAGUUAUCCAAAAAGUGCGGAAAUCAUGAGGGGAGGAUGUUGUGACAUUACGUUGGGCCAUUCACUUUCGUAGCAGAAGUACCUAAAACCAUAAACAUAAACUGUAAGCAUAAGGUUUAGUGACUUCCCUAAAGUACCAUAUGUAAAACAUACAUCUGGGCCUAGCCCUGGGGUGUAUUCAAGCCUAAAACACAAAUAUGGGCCUAGCCUUAGGGCCCAUCCCUGGGGUUUAUUUCAACCCAAUCAAACAAUAAUGGGCCCACCCCUAGGGUUUAUUUCAACCUGAUCAUAUAAUUAUGGGCCUAGCCCUAGGGUUUAUUUCAACCCUAUCAAACAAUAAUGGGCCCAACCCUGGGGUUUAUUUCAACCGGAUCACACAAACAUAUAGGAGUCACAUAACAACUAGCAUUCUACAUAACAAAAUACUGGGUCGGCAUUGGUGCCUUCUGUUGGAUUAAUGUCUAGGUCCAUAACUAUAAUUGGUAAGACUUGACCUGACCCGACAUGGUCCAUUUGGGUUGCAUGUCAUCGGGACAAUUGGAUUGACAAGAUGAGGAAAAAGGAUACUAGUGAUUUAUAUUAAUAUAUUAUAAGUUCUAAUAUAUUAAUAUAUAAUCAUAUUAUUUAAUUAGUAUUGAUCAAGAAUUAAUUAUAAUUAAUUAAGUGAUCAAAAGGAACUAAUUAAAUAUAGACUCUUAGAUAUAUAUGUAUGAUGGGCCAAGUUCAUUUUGGUUGGGCUAAGCUUUCAUGGAUAGUCCAUGGAGUGUUUAACCCAUGGAUCAUAUGAAACGAAAGGUCAUGGGUAUUAGGGUUUAACCCUAAUCUCCACAAUAUAUAAAGAUGUCAUUGGUUGGUGAAAUUAGUACUAGUGUGUGUAUACAAAAAGGGCAAGGCCGAUUUCACUAGAGAGAACCAAAGUAUCGUUAUUCUCAAGGUUAUUCCAAGUUUUCAUGGUGUUGUGUGAACCAUUUGAGGUGUCACACUUGGGGCACUAGGCACUCAAGCUUCAUGAAGACAAGUUACAUCAAUAAGGUAUGUAUUCUAUCCAUUUUAUUACCCAAGUAUCAAAAGAUUUUGUAGGGUCCAUUAGGUGUUGCGUCUUGGGCUCAGUUCAUAGUCCAAUUUUGUAUCCGGAUUGGGCCUGUCCAUCCGUGAUUUAUUUAUUAGGGUUUAGUAUUUAUAGAUGCUUGCAUGCAUCUUUGUACGUAAGAUUUGGAGUCGAUCAUUCACAGCGAAUACUUUUGUAACCCUAAACAGCCUCUACAGCAGAAGUUCUUUAUCGAGCUCUGCUGAGGCGUGAAUCUAUUGAAUCAUUCAGCAUAUUUUGAUUCAUUCUUGUGUUUGAUAUUUCUGUUAGUAUUAUUGUGAUUAACCUGUUUAAAGAUAUAAACGAUCAAAGAGUUUUUCAACUCAUCAAUUGGUAUCAGAGCAGAAGACUGUGUAAUUCAUACACAUUUCUUCUGUGAAAGAAGUGAUUAGGGUUUAUUCCGCAUUCAUUGAUAUUUAUUGAGCCGUCACUCCAUAAUUGACAUACCUCUUUAAUUAUUCAUCUUGCCCAAAUAUUACGCAUCACAAAGUCUGAUCUUAUAACAGGUUAAACGAUCAAGCAUGGACGAUUCUCAAUCCAAUCCUAUUAACAUCUCUAACAACAUAGGAUCAACAACCAAGAUUCCAAUCGUCUACACUCAAGACUAUGAAGUGUGGACGCACCACUUUGAAGAUUACGUUAUUGGAUAUGAAGAUAAUGGAUAUCUGAUAUGGGAAGCUAUCAUAUCUGGCCCUUUCGCUCAUUCAAGCACCUCAAGAAUCAUUAAAACUCAAAAGGAGUACAAUGAUCUAUUGAAAGAUGUGAAAGACGUCGCUCAGGACGAAAAAGAGAAGUUUCAAUGCAACAUUAAGGCAUUGAGACUUAUUCGAUUCGCUCUUCAACCCGACACGUUUCGAUUAGUAAGCUCUUGUGGUAUAACAAAGGAAAUCUGGGAUCGGCUGCGAGACCUGUACUCCAUAGAUGAAGAUCUGGAGCGCUUAAUUCAGACUCUGCUUCUCUCUGAAUUUGGAGAGUUCAAGCAGAAGCCAGAGGAGGUUGUUACUCAAGCAUUUGAUCGGUUCAAUCAUCUUCUCAGCAAGAUGAUCAAACAUGACAUUGAAAGGAAGCUCAUCGAACAGAAGGUCACUUUCUUGAAUGGCCUAAGACCCGAAUGGAGAGCAGUCGUGUCGACGGUUAAAGCGCAUGAGCAGUUCAAAUUGUACUCUUUGGCAAAACUGGUGGGGAUUCUGAAAUCCCAGGAAAAGACUGUGUUACAAGAGAAAAGCGUGGUUUCAAACUUGGGGUCCUUGGCGCUUCUGUCCAAAGGUAAGAAUGCAACAGCAGAAGAAGAAGAUUUAAAUUUAAAGAGACUACGAUUUAACAGCUGAAGACUAUGCUAUGAUGGUGUCAAAUCCCAGAAGGUUCAUUAAGAAGAAGCUCCCUACGAACAAGAACUGAAAUUGGCAGGGAAGCUACAGCUCUAAAAAAGUGAAAGAGGAGCCGAAGGUUGAAGAAUCAAAGAAAGAAGCGAAGGGUGAAGCUGACUCUGGUGUCAGUUGUUUUUAUUGUGGUGGGAAAAAUCACUAUGCAAAAGAUUGCGUGUUGAAGAAGAUGGCAGAGAAAGACGAAAAGAAGGAUGAAGAAACAAGUCUCCUGAAAAGACUGGAGGAGAUUAAGAGGAAGAAAGCUGCUACUAAUCCCUCUAUGAAUGCUCUUGUUGUGCAGGGUUCGGUAGAUGAUGAUGAGUUCGGUGGCGUAUAAGUGUGGUCAACCGAUUCAGAAGAUGAUGAAGUGAGAAAGCCUUCUCAUGGAAAGGCUUAUGUGACGAAGAGUGGUGAUGCUGGUGGAAGAUGUCUGAUGGUGACAGAUGUAUCCUAAAUGAGAGGAUACAACACUGAUGGUGAAAACAAAGUGGCUAAGGAGCGAGAGGACGUGUGCUUUACAGUGAAGCCUCUUAGUGUGCAGAUCAGUGAACUUGAUGAACUGAUCAAGAAGGUACAAUCCAUUUUUGUUUCGUUUAAAAUUCAANUCAUAUGAAAAGGAAUUAAAUAACUUGAAUUCAAGAAUUUCAAAUCUAGAUACUUGUUUAACUCAAACACGUGCCACGAAUUCUAAUCUAACUGACCAAAUAAGUAGGGUAUCAUCCAAGAGUGAGGAGCGAAGGAUGUGGAUUGAGCAGAAGGAGUUGGAGCUGGUUAAAUCUAGGGAUGAAAAUAUCUAUUUGCAAAGAGACAAUCUUAAAUUGUUAAAACAGAGAAAUGUUUUGUUUUUUAAUUGCAAAAAGACUUUAUGCUAACAUUACUCAGCUGCAUUUAGACUGUGAAAUAGGCCAGAAGAUACAUCGCAUGAUUUUGCCCUUCCUUGAGUUAAAGGAGGAUGAAAUCGAUGCUGAAGCAUACAACUGUGAAAGUGUUGUAUCUUCAGAUGAUGUAAAUCCCACUUAUAUGUAUGGUCUGGACAAAAUUGAAUCUUUUAUAAAGUCCAAAGACCAUAAGGACAUGCUUAAAAAUCUUUUGGAUGAAAAUGAUAAGUUGAAACUCUGGGCCUAAUCUAUACAGAAAUUUGACUCAUUGAGUACCAAAUUAAGUUCAGAAAAUAAAAUUGAUGUUGAAAAUGCAUCUAAACUUAAUGUGGAUGAUGACAUGAGUGAAAUUUCUGUGGAGGAUGAGGUUGACUGUUCCGAGUUCAUUAGGAGCGAACCUGAAAACCACAAAAACUUGAUUUCUGAAAAUUCUGUGGAAUUCGCUCGUUUGUCCAAAAAUAAGUCCCCAAUCCUUAAAGAAAAGGCCGUUGUAUACCAAAAGGUUAGAACCACACCCAAUCAGGUUUAUAAGGUCAUAGGAGCAACCGAACAUCAGACAGCCGAACUCACUGCCAUAGUGAAUGAAGAUAAUGCAGAUGGCUGUGAUGAGUUUUUCUGGUAUGCACCGAUAGACAACGCAGAUGAAGCAGUUGAUUUGUCGGAGUGAACAUCAUGGAAGGCCAAAGGUAGAUAUGUGGCAGAACCGCUGAAUAAACCUACCAACUUUGACGGGCCAGUUCCAGCGGCACAAAAGAGGUUCCACUGGAAUAUGUCACCUCAACUAGCGAAACCUCUUCCGUGAAAAGUGAACCUGUUGCUAAGAAGCCGAAACAGAAGGCAAACAUUCACACACAACCGAAACAGGUGAAAAAUCAAAAGCGUCAGAGAAAUUUGAGAUACAAGAAAAAUCUCCCAGAGCGAAAGCAGUUUUGGCGCUCCCAAAAUCCUCACUAUACUCACUUUGACAGAAACUCCAAGCCAAAAGGAGAAGAAAACAAGAGUAAAAGGAGCUUCGAUCCAUCAGUUCAAAAGAACUAGAAGAAGACUUUCGGGCCACAGGAAGAACAAAACCGAAAGGAUAGGUUCGGUCCCGAAAGUAACAACAACCGAAAGGCUGGUUUCGGUCCACCAAACAACAACCGAAAGGCUGGUUUCGGUCCACCAAACAACAACAGGCAAAGACCAGAGUUCAGCCCAUCAAGCUUUUACAGCAGAAGACCCAGUUUCGGUCCAACAACCCACAACGACCGAAAAUCUAGCUUCGGUCCAUUAACAAACAGCAAUCGAAGGUCCAGGUUCGGUCCCUCAAAUGAUCACAACCGAAAGGGUCAUUUCAAACCUCAAGUCAGGAAAGAUUCUCAUGCUAACUUAUAUUCUUCUAAUUCUUCUCGCUCUCAUUCUUCUUCUAAGCCUAAUUCUCGUCCUACACCAAACUCACAACCGUCGAAGGAUUUGAAAGGAAAAAGGAAGCUUUCCUCAGCAAAUGAAGACCGAAAGCAAGCUAAAGUCCAAACGCCCGAACCUGAAUCCAAAAUACCUUCACCUAACUCCAAUAAAAUCAAAGUGUUUACCAUUAAGAGGAAAGAUGAAACAACCUUAAUAAAACGAACAUAUCUUGUUGAUGUUUCUCUUACUAUUCGUGUUUCUGUAAAAGGCUCACGUGGACCCAAGAAACUUUGGGUUCCUAAAUCUGCUUAAUUUUUGCAGGUUAUAAGUGACAAGCAGUUCGACGAAGAAUGGUACAUAGACAGUGGCUGCUCACGUCACAUGACAGGAAGGAAGGAAGAGCUAAGGGAGUUUCGGUCACUACAAAACGGUGAAAAUAUCAAGUUUGGUAACAAAUCUUAUGGAACGAUAAAAGGGUUAUGGGAUGAUAACCAAUGGAGACUUUACAAUCAGGAAGGUGUCGUAUGUAGAAGAGUUGCAGCAUAACCUCAUCAGUGUGUCUCAGCUGGUGGGAGGUAUUGGUCUCAAAGUCUCGUUCGAUGACGAAGGUUCAGAGAUAAUAGAGAAGAAAUCCAACAAAGUUAUUCUCAAGUCUGAACGAAAAGGUGAAAUGUUCCCUUUAAAUCUCAGACCAAUCAAAGGGAAUCCAGCCAUAUGUCUGUUGUCCAAAGCCCAUUCAGACGAAAGUUGGUUGUGGCACCGAAGGCUCUCACAUCUCAACUUCAAAGACAUCAACAAGCUAGUCACCGGUGGUCAUGUUCGGGGACUUCCACUGCUUAAGUUCGACCGAGAACACUUAUGUGCUGCAUGUCAAAUAGGGAAACAAAGUCGCCAAAGUCACCCAACUAUCAUCAACACCAAAGUUGUUGAACCACUUGAGUUGAUUCACAUCGACUUAUGUGGUCCAUCAUCAAUCGAGAGCAUUGGUGGUAACAAGUACAUUCUUGUUAUUGCUGAUGACUCCUCACGAUUUACUUGGGUAUUCUUUCUAAAGCACAAAUCUGAGGCGACUCCCAAACUGAAGAUCUUUAUCAAGCAAGUCGAAGCGCAAUUAAGAAAAGUCGUUUGAAAUAUCAGGAGCGACAAUGGAUUGGAAUUCAAGAACAAAGAAUUCGAAGACUUCUUAGCAGAAAAAGGCAGUAGUCAUAAUUUCUCAGCCCCCUAUACACCUUAACAGAAUGGUAUUGUCGAAAGGCGAAAUCGGUCUCUCUGUGAGGUGGAUCGAACCAUGAUGAGUUUUGCUUCCCUUCCUCUAUAUUUCUGGGCUGACGCCAUUGUUGUAGCUUGUUUUACUCAAAACAGAUCAUAUCUCAACAAGCGUUUCUCUCUCACCCCUUAUGAGAUAAUUAACAACAGGAAGCCGAAUGUCAAGUUCUUUCACGUGCUCGGUUCAAGGUGCUUCGUCUUCAACUCCAAAAAACAUCGCAACAAGUUUGAUGUCAAAGUUGAUGAAGGUAUCUUUCUGGGAUAUUCUCUUACUUUAAAGGCAUACAGGGUUUUGAAUAAGCGUUCUAAAAGAAUUGAAGAAACCUACUAUGUGACGUUCGAUGACAAUUACGUUAAGAAGUUGAAGUCCACCGAAAAAACAAUUGGAGAUAUUUUCUCUCAAACAGGUCAAGUCACAGCCUCAAUCGCGAAUCUUUUUGACCGGUUCAUGGAUCUAUUUGAUGAACCUGAGAAAGCUGCUCACUCUGAGGCCACGACAGCAGACAACAAGAUUGAUCACCUUAAGAAGAUUGUCAAAGAUGUAGCCAAACAAAUGGGAGCAGAAGAAUCAGUUCGAAAAGAACCUCCCCAGAGAGGUACUUCGGUCGAGGGGGAGAAUCUAUUUUCUUCAAAUCAACAGGACUCAUAUAUUCAGGGAGAGAAUCCAAUCUUUGACGAACCCAAAAGUCCUGUAGCACCCGAAAGCCCAGCUGCACCCGAAAGUCCUAUAGCACCCGAAAGCCCGGUUGCACCCGAAAGUCCUGUAGCACCCGAAAGCCAUGUUGCACCCGAAAGUCCAGUGACAACCGAAAGUCCGGAUCAGCCUGAAAGCCCAGUCGAAGAAAGAUUUUUGGGUUUACAUCCAAAUGAUUCAUCAUCUGUUGAGGGGGAGAAUUCUGAUAUGCUCUAUGACGAUGAUGUUCAAUCAGAGUUGGAAGAAAUGGUAAAUGCUGAAUUGGAUCCUUCCUACGAUCCAAAUUACCCUCCUCUCACCAAAUGGACCAGAGAUCAUCUUGUGUCUCAAAUAGUGGGUGAUGCAUCAGCAAAGGUUCUAACUCGAUCACAACUGAAGGCGAAGCAAACUGCUCUAUUCUCCAAAGUAGAAUUCUGCAUGUUUAAUUCUUUCAUUUCCAAAAUAGAGCAGAAGACCGUCAAUGUUGCCCUCGAUCAUUCUGAUUGGGUUCAGGCAAUGCAAGACAAACUAAAUGAGUUUGAAAGAAAUAAGGUCUGGAGACUCAUUCCAACACCAAAAGAUGCCUCGAUUGUCGGUCUCAAAUGGGUGUUCAGAAACAAAAUGGAUAAGGAGGGAAAUGUUAUCCGGAAUAAGGCUCGGCUAGUGGUGAAAGGAUAUUGCCAGGAAGAAGGAAUCGAUUAUGAAGAGACAUUCGGUCCGGUGGCAAGGCCGGAAUCCGUUUGUAUAUUUCUUGCCUAUUCUGCACACAAGAACUUUUAGGUCUACCAGAUGGAUGUAAAGUGCGCAUUUCUGAAUGGGGAACUUGAAGAAACCGUGUAUGUGGAGCAACCUCCUGGCUUUGUGAAUCAAAAGUAUCCAGAUCACUGCUACAUCUUGGAUAAGGCUAUUUAUGGUCUGAAACAAGCACCUAGGGCAUGGUAUGAAACCUUAACUAAGGUUUUAAAGAUGUUUAAAUUCAUUCAAGGUUCGGUUGACCCAACCUUCUUUCGUAAAAAGGAAGGUAACCACCUUAUGAUCGUUCAAAUUUAUGUUGAUGAUAUCAUCUUUGGCUCAACGAAUCCUAGCCUAAUAGCUGAAUUCAGAAAGUUGAUGGAGACUAAAUUUGAAAUGAGCUCAAUGGGUUCGAUUUACUUUUUCCUUGGUUUAAAUAUUAGACAGGGACCCAAAGGCAUCUUUAUCAAUCAAGAAGCAUAUACGAAGACUCUCCUUGCGAAGUUCGGCAUGAUGGGAGACUCAAAGGUCAAAGUCCCUAUGGCGUUCGGUACCAAGCUCACACCAUCUUUGGAUAAACCAGCAGUCGACAUAACGCUUUAUCGCCAAAUAAUUGGUUCCCUGAUGUACCUCACAGCUAGGAGGCCAGAUAUAAUGUUUUUAGUAUGCUAUUGUGCCAAGUUUCAAGCAAAUCCUCGUGAACCACACAUGCUAGCAGUAAAGAAUAUAUUCCAGUAUUUGAAGCAAACCACCUCUCUCGGUCUCUGGUAUACCUCAAACUCAGGUUUGUUCGUUCAAGCCUACUCAGAUGCAGACCUAGGAGGAUGUGGUUUAGACCGGAAAACCACUACAGGAGGCUGCCAAUUCGUCAACGGGAAGUUGGUGAGCUGGCAAUCUAAGAAACAAACAUGUGUUUCUCUGUCUACAGCCGAAGCAGAGUACAUUGCAGCAGCCUCCUGCACAUCUCAACUAAUUUGGAUCCAAAGCAAACUCCGGGACUAUGGACUCAAUAUGAAAAAGAUCCCACUAUAUUGCAACUCAGAAAGUGCAAUUCGGAUCUGUCAUAACCCAGUGCAACAUUCCAAGACAAAGCAUAUAGCACUGAGGUAUCACUUUAUUAAGGAUCAUGUGGAUGAUGGAAACGUAGAGAUUCACUUUGUUCGAACCAAUGCUCAACUGGCCGACAUCUUCACCAAAGCCCUUCCUGAAGCAAGUUUCAAUAAAAUUCUAAAGGCCUAGGCAUGAUGGAAUCGGAGUCAAUACCAAAAACACCUUCUCAAAACUAAAAGUUGGAAGCGAAAUGAAAAGAACGCUCGGUCUAUUUCGGGUUUGGUCCCAUUGCACUUGUUUUCGCUUAUCUCAAAAAGGUGAUAUCUUUGGUUGUAUACAUUUGUACAAUAGUUUUUUCCAAAAAUUCCAAUUUUUUUUUUAAGGAACCGAAAUGAACCGAGCGUUCGGUCCAUUUUGGGUUCGGUUCCAAAUUUUUUUUCUGUUUGCUUUGUUUUGUUUUUCUCUUUACAAAAUUAUCAAAAAUUCCAAAAAUAUUUUCUUUUUCGUUUUGUCUCUACUUUUGUUUAUAUUAACAGUUUAUGGAAUAUCGAUGGGGCAGGUAUCAUUCUCACACUUUUUACUAGCUAAGUGUCCCUAGAAGCAUGCUGCUGCAUUUUGUCCAAAGCCUCAACUGAUUCUGAAUAAAGCCUUAUUGACUUGGUAUAUAGAAACCUUGUGCUCCCAAUUAGGCUGCUAAAUUUAUUCUAAUUAUGAGGUACCUUACUCUUUUCUUAUAUGAGUUAAGAGUUUUCUUCUUGGUUACUAUUUUUAUAGCAGGGGUACUUUGGUUUCUUUACAACACCUCAAACAUUUUUCUCCAUCAUAUUCAAUUCAUACAUGUAACCCUUGAGACUCUCAGAAAUUACCACUGAGGUUUAUGGUUACACAAUCUCUGUGUUUGUGAUCUUAUCUUCGUGUUACUACGUGCUAAGUGAAACACACAAUUCAAUACCCACUAUGCAUUGAUGGUGAACAAUUAAAUUUGCUCUAGCUUUCACUUAUGAAUUAACGAAUCCACCCAAGUGGUUGUAUCUUGAAAUCUCUAUUUUCUCUUUUGUGUGAUUCUUCUGAAAUUGUUACAUACCAUAACGUUUCUUCGCAUAGAAUCCAGUUUUAAAUUCUCUCGAGAUUUCACACAAAGCAUUUCCAACAAGUCACUAAAAUAUUGUCCAAUCCUACUUGUUCAACAGACCACAUCGGUCUCACAAGUACUUCAUUCGGUUUCUAUCUUAUGUCAAGAUCAGGAAUUCUGAAUUGAAGCGAAAGCCACCCUUAUAAGCCUCAUUAAAAGAUGCCUUUCAACACUUCUUAGCAAGUGCUUGAUCGUAAUUCAACGGGAAACCACACAAACACUUUAAAGUCACUCUUGACUUUGAAGGAAGAGAUUCGUGCCCGGGAUCCACUGUUUCGUGUCAAUAGUGACAUCACAAUUUCCUACAUAUAUGUUGCUUUAUUUCUUCAUCUUUGACACUCUAUGCACGAAAAUCUUUUUGAUUUUCCAAAAGUCUCGUUUGGUUCACUACAAGCUAUUUUUAUAGCUUUGAUUUUUAAUGCUGUUGUGGUUUAUCUAUGAAGACAGCUCAUUUUAAAAGGAUAAGAUGAUGACUCAGCCGGGAGACUAACGGUUUAGAAAUUCAAAAAGGCAUUUGAUGGGAAGGCAUGCAACACGGAAGAGUUUUUCUCUCUCAUGCGUGAUCAUAGGGGUUGCUAACUGUCACACGUCAAUCAACUCAGGAACCGCUUUGAUUUUCAAGAAGAUUUGGAGGCGAAUUUUUCUCUCUCUUCUACAUGGUAUAAAGGGUAAACCCUAAAUUGUUUUACCUCUUUACUGCACCCAAAAUUCAGAGAGCAAGCAAAGAUUAUUUUCUCCCACUGUUCAUCUUCUUCUUCGAAGCGCUCAUCAAUGGCGGAUUCCUCCUCUGUUCAUGAAACCUCCCACAUUCUCCCAAUCCGACCCCAGCAAAGCUUGAUCAUUGAUCUCACCCCACAUUCCUACGAUGCCUUCAUGUACCCUAUUGUGGAGUGUCUUAAACACUCUCCACUGGUUCUCGCACUGACCAAGGUCGAAAUCGUUCCUAUGGAGUGUUUAUCCCAGAUUUUCUCUACUGCCCACUACGACAAGUCUGUCGAUCGCAUUUUCUUCGACAUUCUUGAUACCAAAACCUCCAUCUCCAAACAACGAUUUUGCUCGCUUCUAGGGUUUGAACCUAAUGAGUCUAGGGUUAACCCUGAGUCGAUUUCUGUGGGAUAGUUGUUCUCCAUGUUUUACAACAUGGGUUACACUGAGACUCUUACCACUGUUACAAAGUUCAAGAAAUCGUGUCUUCCUCCUCAGUGGAAUGGCUUCUUCACAGGUUCUGAUGGGGCUAGCCGUCUGUUCAUGACGAUUCUCUACGGAUUGUACCAUGGCGUUAAUCUUGACUAUGGCUCUAUUUUAUGGCAGUAGUUGAUCCAAAGCCUUGCCUCUACUUCUCGCCAUUCUGAAAUUUCUUAUGCCAGAUUCUGGACGCUUGUCACCAAGUUGGCAAUGGACAAGUAUCAUGUCCCUGUUGUAGCUAAUUCUCCACUCUCCUCGAUUGGCGUCUUCCAUACAAUGAAGAUCAUCGUGACUGAUCUUUCCAAGUUUCAGUUUGUUGGCUCAAUUCCUGAGUCAAUGUAUGCGUAUGUAUCAGGGGAGAGUUGUAUUAUCAAGACCUACAAGGAGUUUCUUCCUUCGGGUCCCAGAGAGCUCACUCCAGAGAUGAUUCAGUCUAUCCAUGACGCCGACAAGCCGGCUCCCAGGGGCAAGAAACCAGAAAUGGGGAAAGACAAGAAGGUGGUCAAAGGAGCGAAAGGCCCUUCUCCAAAGAAGCGAAAACCUACGAAGGCGGCCCAAUCUCCUACACCAAAGAAGAGGAAAACCCAGCCCUUGCGAAAACUCAUUCUUGCCUCUUCCUCCAGUGAAUCAGAGGAUGAGAGCUCAGACUCAGAGGAUUCGCUUCGAGGCGAUACUCCUCCCCGUUCGCCUUCACCUGAGGUACCAGUUUUAACCAAACCUAUCUCUCCUCCACCAAUCACUCUCUCUAUUUCCAUUCCCCCAUAACCUCCACUACUCAUAUUCCACCCAUUUCUAUUCCCAUACCUCCUCCUAUUUUCUCAGACGCUACAACAACAACAACCACUGGAGUUCGAACCAACGUAUCUGAUACGGGGGCUCGUACUUCAGCACCCAAACCUACACCUGCAACCGAACAUACUUCUACACCCGAACCUACUACCACAACCGAACCUCCACCUUCGCGUUCAUCUCCCAAUCACUCCGCAGAUAACGAGACUUUUCUUGGAGGGGAAGACAUGACUUUUUAUUCUGUCUACUACAGUCCCUACCAGGUUCAAAGCGAGGAUGAUGAUGAUGCUCCCGUCACUAAAAAGCAUCUCAAGGAACUUCAUGAGAAAAUCGAUAGUCUCAUCGCUUCCUCCUCCUCCUCUCGGUCCAAUAUCUCAGAGGCUGCCAUUCAGGGGCUAGUUGAUAGUUUCACCAAGGCACAUGGAGCCUCUAUCAACUCCGCCACUGCUGCUAUAGAAGCAUCUACAAAGGUCUUUGCUACUGCGAAUGAAAAAGUUGAAAAACUAUUUCACGAUGCUAACAGUCUUUUACAGUCUUUACAGGGGGGCGCUGAAUCCAAUGCAGCGAAGGUCGAUUCCAUUGUUGAGAAGCUGACUACUUCUUUCGCAUCAGAACAACAACUCUUUGCCGGUCUUCGUCAGACUCUUGUAGCUGACAAUAAAUCUUUUCAGACAACUGUCGAGGAGCGGUUGACCAAGCUCUAAGAAGACCUUGCUUUGGAGAACUCUGUGAUGGAUGUGCUUGCUCGCAAAACCACUGCCCUAAACGUCAAGAGUCUUCAGCUUUCUCAAUCAGAAAAGGAGGUUGCGUCUCUCCGAUCUGAGCGAGCGGUCAUUUCCACUUGUGUUUCGGAUGUCUAUGCCGCCCUCUCCAGCAUUAUUGAAGCACAUGAUCCAAUCCUGAACUAUUCAGUGAGGCGAACUCUAGCCGAGAAGCUUGGUCCCGCCCUUGCCCUGCUCAGCAAAGUUGAAGGGCUUCCUGAGUUCGUGGUCCAUCCAAAACAAGGGGGAGAAGGGGUUUCAAAAGGCGAAAAUCAAUCUCAACCGCCUCCUACCUCUACAUCAGCUUCAACUAAAGCAACCGAGCCUCCAUCAACUGGCCAGGCUUCAGGUUCGGGGGCUGAAGAUAAAGGGAAAAAGAUUCUUUGUGAUAGUGAUGGUGAUGAUGACAAAGAGACCAUUGCUGAUCUCUUGAAGAAACAGGCUAGGGAUAAGGAUUCAGACAUGAGCGCUCGGAUUGCUAGAGAGGUAGAAGCGAACGAAAGAAAAAUGAAGGAGGCUCAUGAUCUCCUUGAAUGUCGGAAAACUCUAUUCCCUCCGUGGACUCUUGAGAAGCUUAUCGAAGAAGCUAUCGAUACCCCCAGCAUCCUCUGGCUUGAACUGGUGAUUUCCUUGGACAGGGUCAAUUCUGUCGACUUUCAGUUUGACAUGCCCUUGACCCGAAAGGCCUUCAUAUUUCAUGCAUUCUCCCAUGUUGCUGAUGUCCCUCAUCCUCACCCGAAGGUCGAUAGGGAGCUCAUUGAAUUCUAUCUGAGGUCUGCUCAGCCUCAGUAUCCGACAUGGAGUGCGCAGAAGAUCAUUAACGUUCGGGUCCUCAAACCCUUUCGAGAGGGUAACUUCAUAAAUAUCAGGUUCAAAGUGUUGAGGGGGUCAGCUAAAACCGAACAUGCCAUUUCUCUUGCUGAUCUUCCUAACCUGAAUCCACAUGAUUGGAUCAUCCUACACAACAUCCUCCUCACUAAUGAAGCUGAAUAUGGGCCAAUCAUAGAUCAAUUCAAAAAGAUGUUGGUUUGCUACAUCAUGGAGGUUGCCAAGAUGGAUCAGGAGAUCGCAAGUGUUUUCAAGAAAUAUCCCACCAUCUCCCCAGUUGGCUUUGCAAGCGAUUUGAAUAAAAUGCAGAUGGGGAGGAUCGAUCCAAAGAGGAACUCAGUCAUGUUCACCAGAAAUGAAGGUCAAAAGUGCAUGUUCGCCUUGGCAGACAAGCAUCUAUCUACCGCCUCGUGCUUGGAACAUGUUCUGGGGAUCAUCAAUCGAUGCAAGCAGAAUUCUGAAGAUGAUAUGAAAUAUUUCGAUGAUAUGAUCCAGUGGUACAUUCGUUUCAGACAAACCAUCCUUGCCAUUAAUCCUCGUCUGUUCGACACCACGAAGAAAGUUCCUGCAGCUGGACCCAGCAAGCCAAAGUAGAGUCUCGCUCCAAUUGACGCAAAGGGGGAGCUUGUAGGGUCCAUUAGGUGUUGCGUCUUGGGCUUAGUUCAUAGUCCAAUUUUGUAUCCGGAUUGGGCCUGUCCAUCCGUGAUUUAUUUAUUAGGGUUUAGUAUUUAUAGAUGCUUGCAUGCAUCUUUGAACGUAAGAUUUGGAGUCGAUCAUUCACAGCGAAUACUUUUCUAACCCUAAACAGCCUCUACAGCGGAAGUUCUUUAUCGAGCUCUGCUGAGGCGUGAAUCUAUUGAAUCAUUCAGCAUAUUUUGAUUCAUUCCUAUGUUUGAUAUUUUUGUUAGUAUUAUUGUGAUUAACCUGUUUAAAGAUGUAAACGAUCAAAGAGUUUCUCAACUCAUCAGAUUGUAUGCUAAUUAGGGUAAUACCUUGGAAUAUUCAUAUUUGCAUGUAUAAUAGAGAAAAACAUAGAUCCAAGGUAUUUAGGGUUGCAUGUACACUUAGGAGUGUUAGAAUGCUCAAAACCCAAUAGUGGUAUCAGAGCCUAGGCUUGUUUUUUGUUAUAGUUGCAAAAUUGGCUGAAAAAUCAAAUUUUUGUGCUGUCUGCUCAGCAGACUCGCCAAGUUCAUGUAGGGACUCGACGAGUCCAAGGAAAAAUGCAUCCAACUCGCCGAGUUGGUUCGUGCACUCGACGAGUUGGACCCCCAGACAACAUAUCUUUGAGUUUUAAAGAUGGAAUUGGUUUAGAAUCAUUACCUUAAGCUGUUUUGGACUUAUAAAGCCUGUUUUUUUUAUAGUGGUAAUGAUAAUAGUAAACCAAUAUCAAGGUUAAAAUCAAAAUUUCAAGUUUUAUUUAUGUUAAUGUAAUUCUUGAAAUUGUUGAUAUGGAUUGUUCAUGCUUAUGAGUUUUGGUAGAUCAUAGGAAUUAUUUACAAAAGUGUUUGUUAGUUAAUUCUUGAUCUAAAUGUAUUUUAAUGGAGUCCAUAAUUUGUACUUAAGUUAUGGAUUACCAAAGGUUUUUUAUGUUUCCUUGAUUUCUGAGUUAGUUUAGAUUAAUGAAAAAAAUUGUGUUUUAGUUGUUUUGAAUCCUAAUUAAUCUAGAGGUAGUUCAUAAAAUGUGUUUUUGUAACUUGUCCUCAAGUUACAUGAAAAGUCACAUUUAUGAAUCUUAAAACUCAUAAAAAUGCAUUAGGUUACAAAAAAUGAAGAUUCUUUUUCUUUUAAAUAGUUUUUAUGGCUCCAUAACUUGUCCUCAAGUUAUGGAGUUUCAAGAGUCUCUUCAUGAAAAGCUUUUUUAAUGCUUUAAUUAAACUCAUAAGUUUUGAAAAUCCAAGUGUUUUGAAUAGUUUCAAAACUUGCCUUCAUGUUUUGGAAUUUGAAAAGUUUUCCCUUAUGCAUACUUAAAUUCCAUGUUAAGCCCUUAGAAUUUUAAAAGUUAAAAUUCAACCCUUAUACUUUAUAAUAUUAAAAGUUAGUAAUGUAUAUAUGUAUAAGAGUAAAGUCAGUCUUACCGCUAGUACGCCUCAUUCACGAAGCCGGUCUAUAAGGNNNNNNNNNNNNNNNNNNNNNNNNNNNNNNNNNNNNNNNNNNNNNNNNNNNNNNNNNNNNNNNNNNNNNNNNNNNNNNNNNNNNNNNNNNNNNNNNNNNNNNNNNNNNNNNNNNNNNNNNNNNNNNNNNNNNNNNNNNNNNNNNNNNNNNNNNNNNNNNNNNNNNNNNNNNNNNNNNNNNNNNNNNNNNNNNNNNNNNNNNNNNNNNNNNNNNNNNNNNNNNNNNNNNNNNNNNNNNNNNNNNNNNNNNNNNNNNNNNNNNNNNNNNNNNNNNNNNNNNNNNNNNNNNNNNNNNNNNNNNNNNNNNNNNNNNNNNNNNNNNNNNNNNNNNNNNNNNNNNNNNNNNNNNNNNNNNNNNNNNNNNNNNNNNNNNNNNNNNNNNNNNNNNNNNNNNNNNNNNNNNNNNNNNNNNNNNNNNNNNNNNNNNNNNNNNNNNNNNNNNNNNNNNNNNNNNNNNNNNNNNNNNNNNNNNNNNNNNNNNNNNNNNNNNNNNNNNNNNNNNNNNNNNNNNNNNNNNNNNNNNNNNNNNNNNNNNNNNNNNNNNNNNNNNNNNNNNNNNNNNNNNNNNNNNNNNNNNNNNNNNNNNNNNNNNNNNNNNNNNNNNNNNNNNNNNNNNNNNNNNNNNNNNNNNNNNNNNNNNNNNNNNNNNNNNNNNNNNNNNNNNNNNNNNNNNNNNNNNNNNNNNNNNNNNNNNNNNNNNNNNNNNNNNNNNNNNNNNNNNNNNNNNNNNNNNNNNNNNNNNNNNNNNNNNNNNNNNNNNNNNNNNNNNNNNNNNNNNNNNNNNNNNNNNNNNNNNNNNNNNNNNNNNNNNNNNNNNNNNNNNNNNNNNNNNNNNNNNNNNNNNNNNNNNNNNNNNNNNNNNNNNNNNNNNNNNNNNNNNNNNNNNNNNNNNNNNNNNNNNNNNNNNNNNNNNNNNNNNNNNNNNNNNNNNNNNNNNNNNNNNNNNNNNNNNNNNNNNNNNNNNNNNNNNNNNNNNNNNNNNNNNNNNNNNNNNNNNNNNNNNNNNNNNNNNNNNNNNNNNNNNNNNNNNNNNNNNNNNNNNNNNNNNNNNNNNNNNNNNNNNNNNNNNNNNNNNNNNNNNNNNNNNNNNNNNNNNNNNNNNNNNNNNNNNNNNNNNNNNNNNNNNNNNNNNNNNNNNNNNNNNNNNNNNNNNNNNNNNNNNNNNNNNNNNNNNNNNNNNNNNNNNNNNNNNNNNNNNNNNNNNNNNNNNNNNNNNNNNNNNNNNNNNNNNNNNNNNNNNNNNNNNNNNNNNNNNNNNNNNNNNNNNNNNNNNNNNNNNNNNNNNNNNNNNNNNNNNNNNNNNNNNNNNNNNNNNNNNNNNNNNNNNNNNNNNNNNNNNNNNNNNNNNNNNNNNNNNNNNNNNNNNNNNNNNNNNNNNNNNNNNNNNNNNNNNNNNNNNNNNNNNNNNNNNNNNNNNNNNNNNNNNNNNNNNNNNNNNNNNNNNNNNNNNNNNNNNNNNNNNNNNNNNNNNNNNNNNNNNNNNNNNNNNNNNNNNNNNNNNNNNNNNNNNNNNNNNNNNNNNNNNNNNNNNNNNNNNNNNNNNNNNNNNNNNNNNNNNNNNNNNNNNNNNNNNNNNNNNNNNNNNNNNNNNNNNNNNNNNNNNNNNNNNNNNNNNNNNNNNNNNNNNNNNNNNNNNNNNNNNNNNNNNNNNNNNNNNNNNNNNNNNNNNNNNNNNNNNNNNNNNNNNNNNNNNNNNNNNNNNNNNNNNNNNNNNNNNNNNNNNNNNNNNNNNNNNNNNNNNNNNNNNNNNNNNNNNNNNNNNNNNNNNNNNNNNNNNNNNNNNNNNNNNNNNNNNNNNNNNNNNNNNNNNNNNNNNNNNNNNNNNNNNNNNNNNNNNNNNNNNNNNNNNNNNNNNNNNNNNNNNNNNNNNNNNNNNNNNNNNNNNNNNNNNNNNNNNNNNNNNNNNNNNNNNNNNNNNNNNNNNNNNNNNNNNNNNNNNNNNNNNNNNNNNNNNNNNNNNNNNNNNNNNNNNNNNNNNNNNNNNNNNNNNNNNNNNNNNNNNNNNNNNNNNNNNNNNNNNNNNNNNNNNNNNNNNNNNNNNNNNNNNNNNNNNNNNNNNNNNNNNNNNNNNNNNNNNNNNNNNNNNNNNNNNNNNNNNNNNNNNNNNNNNNNNNNNNNNNNNNNNNNNNNNNNNNNNNNNNNNNNNNNNNAUAGUAUGGUUAUAAAACUCACAAGGGGUAUUAAAAAUGCAUUGAUUUACAAGGUUUUCAAACACAUUGGUUAUUUUACACUUACAUACAUUUUAGAAACAAACAUUGGUCUUGAGUGAAGGCUACUUUUAUACUAGUAGAAAAUAUAGGAUUUUCUAAACACAAACAAACAAAGACAAAACAUUUCAUUUCAUACAAACAUUGUCACUUGAAUACUUAUGAAACUCACCAGCUUAAAUGUUGAUCUACUCUUUCAAAAUUACUUGUAUGUCCCAGGGAAUCAGUAAUUUCAGGUAUCAUUAUGCUUUUGAUGAAGGGAUGCUGCGGCGCCAGUUUAAUCUCAUAUUUUGACAUCAUAUUGUAAUUGGUUUUGAACAUGUAACUUUUGACAAAUGUAAACUUUCAAUUAUAUAUAUGAUGGUUGUAUUGCUUUCUUUACUAUGUAUUCAUUUGUUACGUUACCACAUGAAGUCAUCCGCCCCCGAACGUUUCCGCCGUUCAGGUUUGGGGGUGUGACAUAAUCCAUGAAAUUACACUUUGCACUUUGUUUAAGUCGGUUAGUGGAGUGUGUGUGGUUAACUGGCACACUAACUUGUAUUUAACAAGGUAGGCAAAGGGUAACUUAAUAUUUCACUUCCUUUUCCUCCUCAAAUUAUUCUCCCUUACCCACAAGUUCAAGGUCACGCAAGCCCUAAUGGCAAGCAAGGUCUAUGUGUGCUCACAUCUUGGAGAUGAAGUCCCAUAUUGACAAGUCGGGAGAGUUGGAUGUCAAAGUCUUAAGAAAGAUGGAUGUUCAAUCAAUUUCUAAGUCGCAUAGUGAGUUACCUUUGGGACUACUAUGAAAUAGACUAUGACAUGACCCUUAAUGAUCUUGUCUAUUUGCUUGGUACUGCUGAAUCAACAAUGAUUUGGAGCUUUGGUAAAGCAAAUUUGAUUCGUAGAUCAACUUUCCAAACCUUCAAUGGACAUUGAAAAUGGUUGCAUUAGGAUACCCAGUAAAAGCUUCCUCUUCCCAAUUGAAAGGGAUUGGCCAUAGUCACGUCGGUUGACCAAAUGGUAAAGAGAAAGGCUAAGUAUGAGAUUGUCCCAUGUACCAUUCCCAAAGGCUCCAUAUGGUUCUAUUGCCAAAAGGAAAGGGCGUUGGUUGUGAAGCUGCCAAAUUUACCUUAAAGAUCAUAAGGCUGGUAGAGUCAAUAAGUUUGACUCUACUUCAGGUAAAGUCCACUAUCUAACUCGAUUAAGUUUCUAUUUUGAGAUUCUCAUUACAUGAUGUGACUGGGUCACAAGUUGAUGUUUUAAGAAUCAAAAGGAAAAGUGAAGGAAACUUAAAGAAAGUGUAUGCUAAAUCUGAUCGCGAAGAUGGAUUUCUAUCGCUUGAUUGAAGAUCGGAUUCUUGAGCUACUCUUAGGAGUUAUGAUAGAUUGCUAAGAAACAUGUAAUAGCAUACUUUUCAUUUAAAUUUGCAUUGUAAGGAAAAGUUUUUUCCGCACUUUUUAAAUAAAUAAAAAUUUGAUUUUAUUUUAGUUUAUAUCUCCUUGCAAUGACUUUUAUUGAAAAUUGAUCUUUAUAUGUUUCUAGCAAUAAUGGAAAUGUGAACUUGAUUCUUUCGUUUGUGGUAGUGUCUAAAUUUACCAAAUAAGGAAAGUUUCUCAUCACCCAAGUUUUUAGUUGGAUAGAAACUUGGAAUCAUACAAGUUGUACAAUAUGGUGAAUGAGAACUUUCAGCUUUGGAAAAUUAAGACUGGUUCCUUGUUCACAUUUAUAUGUGAGUCAAGUGAAGGACUAAGGGAUAGAGUAUACAUUCUUGUGCACAUAUCAAGUCCACCACAAAAUAUCUAUAAGACUAUUUGUCAUGAUUUACUAAAGUUUAGUAAAUAUGGUUACAAUUACAAGUUUAAGUGUAAUUCUGAUACAUUGAAAAAAUUUCGAUGUCUGGCAGAACAAAUGAGUAGAAUCAAAUUAGGCAGAAGGAUAGAAGUUUCUCAAAUCUAAAAAUAUGGGAGAGUAUUUUAGUAUCAUGUUAUAUGAUCAUCUUAAUGAUUAAGAGACCUUAUCACAAUUCAUCCUUUAAAUGCAUUCUGAUAGCUAAGAAGAGGAGCUAUGAAUUGUUGAAGUGGUUAGAUCAAGAAGAUGAUUCAUACUUCAUUCCAAAACAAUUCUUAGAGUCAUACUCCAAGAUUGCAACUUGAGUGACAUAUCUUAAAGGAAGGUUUCUUAACACUAGUCAAAUGUAAGAGUAAAAGUAUCCUACUCUAGUACAUUUGAAAUUGGUAAGUUAUGAUGUUUUGGAUAAAACAAAGACCAACAAAGACUAAUUGUGUGAAGUGUUUUUUCUUGAUAAAGAAUCCAAACUAUCUCUUGAAUAUUUGGCAAGAUAUUCUUAUCUGUCAAGAGGACAGUGGGAGUAUUAAAGAUCCUGAAAAGAAUUUCAAGAUCUAAUCAAGAAUAAAAACCUGUAAUUUAACACUAGCACACGACGUGAGUUUUAUAACCUAUCGUGUUCACAUAUUUCUAUUUUUGUGCCCAUUCUAGUUAUAGUUGGCUUUGCAUAUGAGUUCUUAGAGUUCUCAAUUGGGUGCAUAACAACUUGGAAGCAAUGGCAGGCCAUUGAGUUGCCAGGUGGCAAGAAAUUCAGAUUGAGUUCAGUCCAUAUGAGUUUGGAUUUGUCAUUACCCUUGUCUUGUGACUAUGGUUUUGACAAUUCACAUGGAUAAGAACACAUACACC